rnacentral:lncRNA from 1 species
AGCGCGUCGUCGGCGGGAGCCUUGGUGCUCGGUUCCUCACCCUCCGUGCCUCUGUUCAUUACCUCGCCGCCGCCGUCAGGCCGGCCGGGACCGGGACGAUGAACAAGCCGAGGAGUGGGAGUGGCCAACAGGGGAAGCGCAGGGUAGGAGGAGGAGGCGGCGGCGGACUCGGCGGGGCGCUGAGGAAGCAGAUGGCCAGGCUCUGCAUCAUCCGGGAGUGCGUCAUCAUGCUCCUCUUCUACCAUGACUGAUCCAGUCCCAUCCACUGAUGCCCUUUGCGGUUCUUCCUGGCCAUUGACUACCUUUUUCUUUCUUUUUUUUCUUUUUUUUUUCCCCCUCGUUCAUUGAUCAUAUCCCUUGAUGUGCCUCAUGUAUGUACAUAUAGGGUGGUUGUUCUUGUUCACAUCUGUAUCUCCAUCAUCUUUUAACACUUGUUUGUGGUGUGUUGUUGAUUUUACUCCUAAGUCCGACAAUGGCAAGGAUGUACCGCGAAAUGUUGGCAUGUAUGUAUCCUUUUUGUUCAUUUGCUCAGCUUUAUAAGAAAUGCGAAAACAGAAGAAAAAAAUUGCCUGUGUUCUAUCUUUUGGCCUACUUGUUCUGUUCAUUCAUGCAGCUGUUCCGAGUCAUCCAGCGCAUUUCCACGUUAGAAGCCAUUGAGCGCAUGAUGUCUAACCAACGAUUUUCGUAGACCAGAGAAGGCCAUUGUAUACACUCAUACGCCUUCUUAAUAAUGAAAUAACACGCAGUUCUCCUGCUUAAUUCAAAAAAUACUAGUCCGUACGUAGCUCUGAAGCUACCGUGAACAACUUCAGAAAUGGCAACUCUGCGUGCUCUGCUCUGAAAAAUGGCAGCAACGCAACUCCAGGUUUUCGUCUAGGGCAAGUUUAUUCUUUUCUCGUACAUUAAUUGAGAGCAAAUGCAGCUACUGUAUAUCAGCAGUCAACUCUUCAUUAGCUGAUAUCUGCAUAAGAAGCUCUGAAAAAUGGCAUGGUAAACUGAAUAUUUUGGUGAUGUCUGGCAACGGCAUUGUGACAUUGUCUGUGAUGCUUCUCAGCUUUCAGGUGUUACUGCUUCUCUUUUUCAACUUGUAAUGAGCAUGCGGAUCCUAAUUUUGUUUCUUAAAAAAAGAACAGAUCCCUCACAAGUUAGUAAUAAAUACUAGAUGACCAAGUAGGCAGUUGAGCAUGGUAACAAGCUAACAAUACCACUGAAUAUUUGUCCAAGAAGCAUACAUAUGUGGAAACUUAAAGUACGAAAAACAUGAACUAAGAAAAUCUACGCAACAGUUCAGUAAGAGGUUAAUAGCGCAGCUAGUUACAGUGAGCAACAAGCGCUGGACUACGGAUGAAAUAUUAAGGGUAUGUUUGGAACGCAUAAAUUUUGCAGAAAUUGUGCAUUACGUUCACAGGAACCAGUUUAAUUUCACAAAAAAAUACAGAAAAAGAAAAAAAAUCUGCAUUCCAAAUAGGCCCUGAAAUGGUCUUUUCAACUUUUUUUUUUUGACAAGAGUCUUUACAACGGUUGAGAUCCUGCAGCGGCUAUUGCAACCACACUGGAUCCCGGUCCAAGUGAGAAGCUUCAGGGAUGAAGCUGCAAUAAAUUUGGUCAAAUGACGCUCUCCUUCCCAACAGAAGAAUGUACACAUGUCAUGCUCUAGUAUGGCCAUCAAAGUAAAAUAUGUACUCCCUGUCCACGAAAGAAUCAAUUCCUAAGAUCCGUGCCAGUCAAACUUUUUAAAGUUUGACUAACUUUAUGAAAAGAGUAACAACAUCUAUAAUAUAAAAUGCACAUUAUAUGAAAAUAUAUUCUAUGAUGAAUCUAAUAAUACUAAUUUGAUACUAUAAAUCUUAGCAUUUUUUUCUACAAAUUUGGUCAAAGUUUAAAAGUUUGACUUAGGACAACCCUAGAAAUUGACUCUUUCGUGGACGGAGGGAGUAUCAGUUAGUUGGGCAUCUCCUUGAUGCUUCAACCUGAAAUGAGCCAGCACGAAGCUACAAUUAGUUUAGCCCAGAGAUAACUUAGAUUAGUACAAACUGGCUCGGUUCCAAACACGGUGUUCGUUUUUAAUUACCUAGGGUCGGCAAGACCAGCAGAAUUCUCGCCAUCAGACAGAGAGAGCUCAGGGUGGAGAGGCGUAUACGACAACCACAUGGACAUGGUGUACUGACUGGCUUGAGGAAUCAUGACCAACCGUCCAAGUUCAGAGUUCAGAACUUCAGACAGCCAUUGCUGUAAAAAAUACAAAUACAACACAUAACAGCUUACUUACUCUCCAUUUUUUUUCUUGUUGUACUUGGACCAGUAGCUUGGAUGCUUUGGCUGUUUCUGCUUAGCAUGAGGGUUAGUUUAACUGACGAGGUUAGGAACUAUGAAGUGGUGUAGGAGUGAUGAUGAUGUGAUUGAUAUGGGCAUGUGAGAGGUGACUAAUUUGUGAGAUAGAGAUAUGGUGAGGACGAUUGGAUCCCACGCAAAGGCUAGCUAGGCAUUGCUCUGCGAUUCUGCAUUGCUCACGUUUUUACAGUACUGAAGUGGCUGUCACAGACUCAGAUCAUAGUACCUGCAGUGGUUCAGUGUGUGUAUAUAUAAGCGGCUGUUGAAAGUCAAAUGCUUGAAAAUGCCAUCACCGUUGCGAUCGCACAACUUCAGCCAUGAGAAUACCUGGAGCUGUUGGAAUGGAAGCGGCGCAUGCAGUGAAAUCGGUAUUGGUCAGCCUACUCCAAACUCCAAGAGCCAGAUAGGCAUUGUUUGACGCUGCAAGUUGGCAUGGAAGGGAUAUCAAAGUGUUUGGUCGGUUGUGCCCGUGGUUCCUGAGCUUGAGCUUAGUUUUUUUAACUGACGAGUCAGACUGACUCUUUAGAACUUGCAUGCAUCAACAUCUAGCGCCAAAGUUAUCGCUUCAUUGCAGGCCAUUGCUUCCAAAGAUGGUGGAUCCAUAUGGGUGGAUAUGGGCCUGCGGCAACUGAGGCCAUGGCCUUAGGUGUGGCCCAAAAUAUCUCUUAUACCAUAUGUAAAUUUCUGGCCUAGUUUAAAGUAAUUCUAGGCAUUGGGCUAAAUUCAACAGGCCCAAGCAGAGAGAGAGAGAGAGAGAGAGGAGAGAGUAAUCUGAGUCCUGACUCCGGGCAUCGUCGCAACCCUCACUCCGCAUCUCAUGUCGUGCCGCAAAUCCCCACUCCAGCGCUCUGCCUCUCCUCAUGCCGCUCGUCAACCCACUAGACAACAAUUAUAUUGGCGGGCAACUCAGGGUCACAACCCCUGCUGGCUGCCGCUAGUCACUAGUCACUAGAAGAUGUCCACCUAACCGUCGGAGACGCACUGUGCGUCGGCCGCAUGCAGCCCGCAGGAGCACGUAUGCGUGUGGGAUUGUGGGCAGAGCACCAGGCUGCCAGCCGCAAGUGCAUGAGCACUGACUGCUCAUACGGUCACUUAUCGGCCGUGUGGUAAAUUCCGGUUCUUAGAACCAAUUCUUGGCUUCUCCUCUCUCUAAAAAUUCCAUCAAUGAAAUGUUGAUUUUUUAGAGUUGCACAAUAAAAAGGAUAAUACAUUAAAUUUCUUUUUUACUCUUGUUCCUAAGCCAAACUAUCAUCUGAGAUAAAAAGAAAGAUUUAAGCAUGUAAUUGAAUAUCAGCUAAACUUUUUUUACGAGACUCAGUUAUAGACGCAGAUGCUCAAGAAUUGAGUUGGACCAACAAAUCUCGAGAUUGACGAAAUCACCACAGACGUUUCGCUGUCGACGGACACGCCAUCUACUACUAAAAGCAUAGCGUUGUAAAAUCCUAGAAUAAAUCUAGAAAAAUACGAGAAUCCGUGUCAAGUCGGGGACUUGAAUCCGGGUGGUUAGGUUCCACCACAAGGAACCAACCAUCUAAUCUUGAUCAUGAUCAGUUCAUAAUAUCAGCUAAACUUAUGCAUUUAAUUGUGAGCUAUUUUGAUCUGGUGUGGUGACUAGAAGUAUACAUGGUUUCCUAGUGGCCCUAGACGUAGAAAUUGACGAGCUCUAUCACUAGGUGGAUCAAUAAGCCUAUUAAUUAAUUAAUGUCAUUAGUACUAGCAUCAUUGUAGUUCCCUACAAUGUCCUUACAUAAUGAUCACUUCAAGAAGGAGGAUUUUUUCGCGCGUUGCCACGGAUAUAAAGGAAAAAUAUAAAUAUUGCCUCAUUGUAGUCUAUGAGUCAUCUAUAUAUAGCUUGAUUAUUAUAAUGGUCAGUUUCCAAAGAGAAAAAUACGAACACCCAUGGCAAGACACAAACACAAGGGGAUGGUAGUGGGGAUGUGGAGAAUGUAGAGUUGAUGCUUUGGUUAGUGUGAUAGAAGGCUAGUUAUGUUGAGAGGAUGGCAUCAUGUCUCUUUUUUACAAAAUAAUAGCAUACAGAUAAAUAAUGUGAAUGCUCUCUAUUGCGUGUUUUUUAUUUUUUAAAGUCCAUCCUACUAAUUAAUGUUAUAAUGUGAAAAUGCAUCUUAAUUGCUUUUCGCUCCGAACAAUGUCAGAGUUGCAUGCAAAUUAAAGGAAGUCCGUUUAAUAAAUAAAUCAAUCCAGAUUAAUAUUCGUAGUUUUAAAAAAGGGACUACUCGACUAUAUAUGGAAGGACAAGACUGGAAGUUAAUUUACUCGAGACCAAACGAUUAGUCGCGUACAGUGUUUGACAUGUUUGUCCCGUCACAAUGGUAGUAAGAAAAAAAAAAGUACAGCAGUACAGGUCGUGGAGGUCAUGUUGAAUCGGAUCGGAUAUAGGAGUACUACAUGUGUAGCCGUGGAAAUCUUAACAACUCGGGUGGAAUGGACGAGACGAACAGAGAAACUUACGACGACGAAUCUCCAAAGGAACUCGCUGCACUCGGUUUCCAAAUGGCCUUUGGGAAUAAAGUCGAUCCAUCAGCUAUAUAUAAAGAAAUUAAUCAAGAAGGAUGAAUUUACGAUGAACCUACCAGAGGUAUUUUACGGACAUUCACGUAAUGAAAGAAAUAGAUUAAUUAACAACUGAUAUGUAAGAAAGAGGAUAUAUUAUUCUGGAGAAAAGGAAAGUUCAAACAGGCAAUCAGUAUGUAGGAAAACUAUACUACAGUUGUAAAAAAAAAAAUCUUAGUUAGAAAUCGCGUGCUGCCGUGCUGGGAAUAUACGAUGAAGCAUUGUGCUAAUAGAUUGUGCUGGGAAAUAUUCUAAUCUUGGAGGAAGAUAGCAGAUGGUGGGAACAGGAACACGGGUAGUUCGCCGUGGGAACAGGAACAGCGAGUCCCCCCGUCGCCUUGGGAAACCAAAUUUCCACUGUAGUAACUAAUCUCACCGCAUCUCUGACCGGAACGCCGGAACCCCCGCUGUCUCCGAAAUCCAUCCAUGCAUGCAUGCAUGCAUCGCUAAUCUCAACAACCCGUGCAAUUACUCCUCGGAAGUCGGAACGACGAAGGUCGUACAUAGUCGCGUUCGCGUCCGGCGGUCCGGGCCCUUAAAACCCUGCACCCCAUUCGCUCUUAUCCUACACUUGCCAUCAUCGUUCAGGCCGCGCGCGGUCUAGGUCUAGCCCUUUAUACACCUGCUGCUAAGUGAGAGGCAGCGAGCGGAGCGUGGAUGCAUGGCGGACAACAAGCCGGGCUGCUACACGCUGGUGUCCGGCGAUGGCGGUCGGGCGUCGUCGGGGCGGCUGAUCAGGCGGAGGAUCGCCGACGAUGAGGGCAGCGGCGGCUUCCUCGACCUGUCGCUCGGUUCCAUCUACAACAACAGACCGUCGUCCGCGGUGGCCGACGACGACGUCUUCUCGCCGGUGGAGCGCGCGCUGUUGCCCGCGGCGGCGCUGUUGGAUGCGUCGGGCGUGGCGUCUGUAGUCGCCGCCGCCGCCGCCACGGCGGCCUACGCGCCGCCUGCGCCUGCUAGUCGCGCUUCGCCGUUCGCGCUGGGACUUGCUGCUGCCUCGGCGGUGCCCGGCGACGGCAAUGGCCACGGCGCCCCUGUCUUUUUCCUUGCUGCCAAUGCUGCAGCGACGAAUCAGGGUCGUCAGGUGGCGCCUGCGCUCACGACGCCGUCUGUGUCGUCGUUUCAGCCGCUGUUUGCCCGCGGUGGCAUCGGCGACAAUGGCAACAACCCUUCCGCAGCAGUGCCGGCGCCGGCGCGGGCUAGUGACAGUGCCACGACCCCGCCGCCGGCACCUCGAUCCAAAGGAGUUGUGGCGUUGUUUGCUGCAUCUCCCCCCUCGUCCGCGCAACCGGCGGCUCCCAUAAAAAAAGCCCCACAUGGGCGACGUGACAACACCACCACCGGCCGCCGUCGUCGUCGCCGCAGUGGUGCAGCCGGUGAUGACGCAGACGAUGAUGCUGACGCCGCACCGACCAACGGCGACGAGAACGCGCCGCCGCCGUUCCCAUGGGCGACCAAGACUGCGGGCACGCACCCGACGCUCGCCGAGCUCAUCGAGCGAGGGAUCGCCUCGGUUCAGGGCGAGGUCCGCUGCAAGCGCUGCGACGCCGGCAAGACGAUCUCGUACGAGAUCAGGGCCAAGUUCGAAGAGCUGUCCGGUUUCAUCAUCCGCAACGUGGAGGCCAUGCACGACCGUGCGCCGCCGGAGUGGAUGUGCCCGGCGCUGCCGGACUGCGACAAGUGCGGGCAGAAGAAUAGCCUGCGCCCCGUGAUCGCCGCCGAGAAAUGGAGGAUCAACUGGAUGUUCCUGCUGCUCGGCCAGACGCUGGGGCUGUGCACCCUAGAGCAGCUGAAGCACUUCUGUGCCCGCACCAGGCAGCACCGCACCGGCGCCAAGGACAGAGUCCUCUACUCCACCUACAUGGAGCUCUGCAACCAGCUGUGCCCCGGUGGGCCGUUCGACAUGGCGUCCGAGAGGAAGAACAGGACUCGUCCAUUUGCUUAAGUUGAUUCCCCAUAUUUGCUUAAGUUUGUUCCCAUAUUUGCUGAAGUUAAUUAGUUCCCAUAUAUAUAGAUAUUAUGCAUGCAUAUGCAAGCUUAAGUUAAUUUAGUUCCCAUAUAGAUAUGCGUAUGCAAGCUUAUUGUAAAUAUGUAUUCAGCUCCUCACAUUUAUCAUCUUUUGUUUUCUUGUUUAGUUGUAUUGUUUCCUUAUUUCAUCAAAAGCACAAAGUUAACAUCCGGUGUCCAAACAUUGUUUGCAUUUAGACACAACGUUUGAACAUUCGUUAGUUAUAUUAAAAAAAGACAGUGCAAACAUUAAAUAGUACGACUAUACUUCAUGCUUAAAGACCUUUUUUUUGUUAAUAUAAUAAUAGAACAAGUCACAAUAACAACUACUAAAUGAUUGUACAAUGGUAGUCUAAAAAGCGGCCUUGUUUGAACACACCAAGCGAUCAACUCCAUGGUGUUUUCGGAGAUUUGCUUCGAAUAACGAAAUGUCCAAUCACCACAAACACGCUUGGGCCUUGGCCCAUUAUAGGCCCAUGGGCAAUCGGUCCGCCACUCCGCCUGGUAUUCUUUCGGUCAAUGGCGACCUUUGGUUUGUUUGGCUCGGACUCCUGGAACCGCGUGCUAUAACAGCAACCAAACGGCGGCGAUGCGGCUUUUCUCCGGCGUCCUCGAUUCUUCUUCCGCGUUUGCCUCCGCCGUCCUGGGCUCCGUGUCCGACCGCCUCGGAUUCUCGCGCGUAUUUUUCGGUCGAGCGAGCCCAUCCAGCAUGCCGGCUCUCGCUUGUGAAGCCGCGGCCUCGUCUUCUGCGGCAGCCGGUGCCGACCCCUGUGCCGGCGCCCAGAAACCAUGGCUCUUCGUCGGUCUGGGGAACCCCGGGCGGAUGUACAAAGGCACUCGGCACAACGUAAGUUCGCGAGCUCUCUCUCUCUCCAAUUGCCCGUCCGUCACGUCUCGGGUAGGAUAAAUCUAGGCAUCUAGCUAAGACGACGAUAGCUGCGAGGGCGACAUCCUCGUCGGUGGCUCCACUUACUGUUUGGGGGCAAAAGGAAAUUCGAUAUAGACUAGAUGUUUUUUACUUCGAUAUGUGGAUGGGCUGUCUGUCGAUCAUAGUGGAUUCAGUGGGUUAAGCUGAUGCAGGAGUGGGGAAUAAGGUUGCGUUUGGUUGAGAUAUUCUAGGUGGGCAUGCUCGAUUGAUGACUGUGGUGCUAAAAUUUUAUUUGCAUCAACUCAUCAAGUAAUUCUACAUGCACAUGUUUCCAUCACAAUUACCUUGGCAUUAAGAAUUGAAAAUUCUUCAUGGGGUCUAUCACCUUUUCCAUAUAGUGUGGUUAUGUGCAAUCCCUUUUAAUUCUCUAACGCAGAUAAUUUGUCUUUUUUUUUCUUUCUGGCUGCUGGCAAUGGAAAUUAUCCCCUUUUAGGCUUCUUUCUUGCUGCGGAUAGCAUGUGUCCUGCAUUGAAUCCCCUUUUCUUGUCAUAUUAUUGGAGGAAUUAUGUUGUGUUAGGUGUUAUAUUAUAGAGAUCAUAACCUUGUCGUAAUUAAACAAGUUAUAAGCAUGAAUAGAAUUUCUGAAAUGUAAAUCUUGGUUCAAAAUACAAUUUUGCAUUCACAGAACUAUAACUUCAACUAGAAGAACCAAGAUAGCAUGUUUAUGAGUAAGUUGGGAAGGGCUACCACUUUUUGACGGUUGAAUCUUAUCUUCCAGGCUAGUUCAACUAAAGCUGUUCUUAUUAUAUUUAGUUGUUUCAUACUAUUUCACAGAAAGUUUUGGCAUUUAGGCAUCUCGAGCUUUGCUUAAUUUGUAAAUUGGUUGCCUUGAGCACAUUGGAGCUUCCAUUUAAUUCUUUAUAAUCUGUGUGUAUGUCUUCUAGUGAUUUUAAGUAUGCAUUGGUUUACGAUUCAAACAUAGACAUAAUGUAGCAUUAUUCUAUGGAAAAACUGGAUCUUUAAUUAUGUUAUAGGAUUUAAACUAGUGCUUCAGUAGAGCAUGCUGUGAAUUCAGUAGUAAAUAAUUGUAAGAUCCAGAAUCAUGUUUGGAUCACAGGUUGGCUUUGAGAUGAUUGAUGCUAUUGCAGAAGCUGAGGGCAUUUCAGUCAGCAGUAAGCAAUUUAAGGCGAUUGUUGGAAAAGGUAAUUAAUUUUACUGAUACACAGGUGUGUACCACUGAGUGAUCAACUUCCACCUUCUUUUUUUUGAGGGAAGCGAUCAACUUCCACCUAGCUAAGCAUUUUAUGUUGCCGUCAUAUAGUGAUCAAUUUAGUGUUGCAGUUUCUUUUGCGUGUUGAGAAAUUUGCUGGUACUACAAGUACUUGGCACCCCUUGUCGUGUAUAUUUCAACUCUUACUCUCUAGCAUAGUUGACUCCCUUGUCCCCUAUUUCUGGCUCUGUCCUUGACUGGCCGAAAUGCUGUAAUAUCUGAUAUUUUGUUUUUCUCCUUCCUUUUCUUCUUGCUAGCUAAUUUAAUCAGUUAAUUAUUUGUCAUUUCUCUUGUGUGAUUUGUGCAGAAUGAAGUAAGACUUCAUAUCUCUUGAGUUUUAGCAUUGGUCUUUCUAAGUUUUUUCUUACUUUCAUGUGAACUCCUCUGUUAAACAGUACAAUUAAGUGCUGUUUUUAAGCUUUUGAGCAUUAUCUAAGGUAGUGAGUGCUUCCAGCGGUCAAACAGAUGAAUAUGAGCCCAUUUAUCUGAAUUUUCUGUUUUCUCUGUUCUUGAUCAUACACUUACUGUUUGCACCUUCUGAGUUAAUGCUGUGUAAUAAGUAUCUACUAGCAAGUUCGUUUGGAAUUUUCAAUCAUCUGCAAACAAAGAAAACCUAUUAAUUUGCAAUUUAUGAUUAUAUAUAUCUAUCUAAUGUAAUUAAAACAGACAUUUAUGUUUUUGAAAAUAUAAUGAUUCACUCUAAUUUAGGCCUCAUUGGUGAUGUCCCUGUAAUGCUUGCCAAGCCACAGACUUUUAUGAAUGCAAGUGGUGAGUCUGUAAGUGAAAUUACUCUACUGCAGCUUUAAAUCAGUUGUUCUUUCUAGUCCUUUUCUCCUUACUGCUAUUUGACUAUUUGUGUAGGUGGGACAGUUGGUUUCAUACUUCAAGAUACCACUCAAUCAAUUAGUUGUGGUAAAUGUUGUCCUUGAGCUGGCACUUUGUCAUGUUAUGAGAAUCUUGUCACAUAAAUUGUCUCCUGUUCUUUAUAGAUCUAUGAUGAUCUUGAUCUACCCUUUGCGAAAUUGCGUCUGCUACCAAAGGGGGGACAUGGUGGACACAAUGGGUAUUCAUUUCUUUUCUAGAACCCUUCUUCCCCUUGUACUACAUGGCUAAAUUGAAAGGGACUUGAGUGAAUGCUUCAAUAAAAAUAAAUAAAUAUAUAGCACUUGCUUUAUAAAUUGAUUUUUACUCACAAGCCUUCCCUCCACUAUGAGGCAACUGUUACGUUUCUUUUUCUUCAAAUGGAACUUGGAACAUAAAUCCUUGUGAACCCUCUGUUUUCUUUAAUAGUUUCCAAACAUGAUAAUGUAGUUCUAUCAAAACUGUCAUUCUUUGUUUCGCUUACCCAUUUGUACAAAUUGCAGGAUGAGGAGUAUUAUUGACCAUUUGAAACAAAGCCGCAAUUUCGCGCGUCUAAGGAUUGGUACGGCAAAUAUUUAUUUUUGUAUUCAUCAGGGGUUAAGUCCAAAAUAGGAUUCUCCAAAAAAAAAAUGUUGUGCAGGCAUUGGACGGCCACCUGAGGAGCAGGGUGCUAUCAGUUUUGUUCUACAGUCAUUCACUGUUCAAGAAAAGGAAGAGGUUUGCGCUAGACUAAACUAUGCACGCAAAUUUGCUUGAGCACUAUUCCUAUAUGUUUUUCUUAAGCAGAUCAUGGUAUCAUAAAAUCUUGAGAACUAUUCCUACAAGCAGAAUAUCGUUAACUCUUCUCACCAAUUUCUGCAGCUUGAAGUCGUGUUCCAAAGAGGCUUGCAAGCAGUAAGAAUUAUGGUACAGGAAGGAUUCAACAAGAGCGCACAAUUUGUGAACACUCCACCCCCAGCAGAAAUGUUGAAUAGAUGAAAACCAAACGACACGGAUUAUUAGGUUUGCUUAGAUGUUAACACAAGGGCCAUUGCCGGCAAGAUAUAAUGUACCCUAAUUGAUCUGUAGAGGUUGUAAUUUGAUUACAAAGCAAGUAAUGUAAAUUAGAUACACAUAUUGUUUUCAGAUUACGGGGAUUAUUUGGAUUAGUGUCUUCUCUGUGUUUUUCUCCGUGAUAACUCAGUAUAUGUACUGCUCUAACGUUCAUCGAUCAACACCAUCAAACCCCAAAAUGUUCAACACUGUAUUCAGAUAACUGUUCUGAAGCUACGGUCUCAUGUUUUAGUUCGUGUUGACUAUCCAUUUGGCAUAUAUUUGUGCAUCAAGGUCAGGUAUGCAAUGCCAGGUUUUUCCCUUGACAGUCUGCUAAUUACCACUGCCGACUGGACCUUUUGAUCCAAAAAUCUGUCUCCAACUUCAGGACGGAAUACCUUAUAUUUAAUUUAAUUCAAUUUUGAAAUUUUAAACCUUAGAGAUCCUUCGUAUUUUAGGAUAGAGGGAGUAGGAAGAACAUGAGGUUCUUAUUUUAGGAUAGAGGGGGUAGGAAGAACAUGAGUCCUAAUCGUAAUACAUUUGCUACGUGGCCGAUUACUAAACUGACCUGUUCGGACUACACACACACACGUGGAAAUGCUCCAUUUUGAUUAGCAAGAUUCAUAUAUACGGAAAGAAUAGAUUCCUAGACUAAAAAUUUGUCCCUGAAUAAAUCAAUUUCUAGACUCAAAGUUUUCCAUGAAUAAAUCAAUUUCUAGACUUUUAUUGUGCAUGAGACCCAUUUAGGCCUUGUUUAGUUUCAAAAAAUUUUGCAAAAUAGGAAUAGUAGCACUUUCGUUUGUAUUUAACAAAUAUUAUCCAAUCAUGAACUAACUAGCCUCAAAAGAUUCGUCUCGGCAAUUCUGACCAAACUGUGUAAUUAGUUUUUAUUUUCAUCUAUAUUUAAUACUCCAUGCAAGUGUCUAAAGAUUUGAUGUGAUGGGGAAUUUGAAAAAUUUUGCAAAAUUUUUUGGAACUAAACAAGGCCUACCUCGAAGUUUCCAGCGGUCCACGUACUUAUUUAUUUCUACUGAACAUCUUGUACAAUAACAUUUAAUAUAUUUUUUGAAAACAUCAAAACUUAUUGGGUCUUUUCUUGGUAAGGGGUAGUAAUAUAUUAUUGGAAACACCAACUUCUCGGUAAGUGGUAGGUAAUAAAGGAUAGUAAGGUCUUUUCUUUAGUUUGCUAAUAUAUUCUAAACUUAUUGAGCCUAUUCGCUUGGCACAAAAAAAUAUAGUUGAAAGUAAUGUUGACUAAUUUGGUGUGAGAGAAAAAUAAUGUUAAAUAACCGGUAGAAUUAACGUCUGUUCUGUGAUUAAGAUAUUAUGACUGAAAAUAUUGAUAACUGAUUUAUUAUAAAAGAAAAAUACUAUUACCUAAAAAAAAUACUUCGUUUAUAAAACAAGGAACUGGCUAACUUGUGCUUCCCCACCGUUCGCGGCACGUCCAGCACUCCAGCUCCAGCUUCCCACCAACCCCACCACUCAAAAAAUAAAAAUAAAAAACGAUUCCACAGAUCCACCUUCCUUAAACCCUCCCAUCCACAUCAGACAUCACUCAUCAGUCUCCUCCCCUAAUCCCAGUUCCGCCGCCGCCAGCUUUUUCCCCACCAUGGCGGCGACGACCCACGCCGCCUCCAUGUCGUUCCUCCUCUCCCACCCGCAGUCGCGCUCCGCCACGCCAAGCCGCCACCUCCAGCUCCGCCCGGCAGCCCGCCGCGUCCGCUGCUGCGCCACCGACGCCACCGCCGCCGCCCCCGCAGCCACCACCAAGCACCGGCGCGCGGCGGAUGAGAACAUCCGCGAGGAGGCGGCGCGGCACCCGGCCCCGAAGCAGGGCCUCUCCGCGUGGUACGAGCCCUUCCCGCCGGCCCCGAACGGCGACCCCAACGAGCGCUACUCCCUGGACGAGAUCGUCUACCGCUCCAGCUCGGGGGGCCUCCUCGACGUGCGCCACGACAUGGAGGCGCUGGCCCGCUUCUCCGGCGCCUACUGGCGGGACCUCUUCGACUCCCGCGUCGGCCGCACCACCUGGCCCUACGGCUCCGGCGUCUGGUCCAAGAAGGAGUUCGUGCUCCCCGAGAUCGACCCGGACCACAUCGUCUCCCUCUUCGAGGGCAACUCCAACCUCUUCUGGGCCGAGCGCCUCGGCCGCGACCAUCUCGGCGGGAUGAACGACCUCUGGGUCAAGCACUGCGGCAUCUCCCACACGGGCUCCUUCAAGGACCUCGGCAUGACCGUGCUUGUCAGCCAGGUCAACCGCCUCCGCCGCGCCCCGCUGUCGCGCCCCAUCGCCGGCGUCGGCUGCGCGUCCACGGGGGACACCUCCGCCGCGCUCUCCGCCUACUGCGCCGCCGCGGGGAUCCCGGCCAUUGUCUUCCUCCCUGCCAAUCGCAUCUCGCUGGAGCAGCUCAUCCAGCCCAUCGCCAACGGCGCCACCGUGCUUUCCCUCGACACCGACUUCGAUGGCUGCAUGCGGCUCAUCAGGGAGGUGACUGCCGAGCUGCCUAUCUACCUUGCCAAUUCGCUUAAUUCCCUCCGGCUGGAGGGGCAGAAGACAGCGGCCAUUGAGAUACUGCAGCAGUUCGAUUGGGAGGUGCCCGAUUGGGUGAUUGUGCCGGGAGGCAAUCUGGGGAACAUAUAUGCGUUCUACAAGGGAUUUGAGAUGUGCCGUGUUCUUGGGCUUGUUGAUCGUGUGCCGCGGCUUGUCUGUGCACAGGCAGCCAACGCAAACCCGCUCUAUGGCUAUUACAAGUCAGGCUGGACCGAGUUCCAACCUCAGGUGGCCAGACCAACAUUUGCAUCAGCGAUUCAGAUCGGUGACCCGGUGUCUGUCGACCGAGCUGUGGUCGCGCUCAAGGCAACGAAUGGCAUUGUCGAGGAGGCCACAGAGGAAGAGCUCAUGAACGCAAUGUCACUCGCUGACCGCACUGGGAUGUUUGCUUGCCCACAUACUGGGGUUGCGCUCGCCGCCCUGUUCAAGCUCAGGGACCAGCGCAUCAUCGGGCCAAAUGAUCGCACGGUGGUCGUCAGCACAGCUCACGGCCUGAAGUUCUCGCAGUCAAAGAUCGACUACCAUGAUAGUAAGAUCGAGGACAUGGCUUGCAAGUACUCCAACCCGCCUGUGAGCGUGAAGGCUGACUUUGGCGCCGUCAUGGAUGUGCUGAAGAAGAGGCUCAAGGGUAAGCUCUGAGCGCCUGUGUUUGGCUAACACUUCUCCAACUCCAAUUGGUUACUGUGUGCCAAUUGUGUUCUGCAUCUGAUUUCCAAUUGGUUACUGUAUGCCAAUUGUGUUCUACAUCUGAUUCAAAUGCAGUGGAUUCCGCAGGUGCUAGUUUUUAGGUGGUAUCUUUUAGACUUCAAAAUUUAUGUUUGGGGUAGGCUAUCUGUUUGAGUUUAGCAGGGAGUGGCUAUCUCUUGCAAGACCGGGAGUGGUUACCUCUUGUACUAUGAUGUGUUCCAUGGAGAAUAAGUGAUCGUGUUGCUGUUGGAUUGAAUAAUCAUCACUCGCUCGUCUGCCCUUUGUGCAUGAACUUGUCGAGUACUUUGGCUCUUAACUGAUCAUUUUGGUGUUGCAAUGCUAGCUGAAGCUACUGCUACUGGUGAUAAUGAAUGUCAUCAUUGUUGGUUUUGCCAGUCUGGUAGUGAGUUUUCGUUGCAGAUUUGAUGCUUGAAUUUUGGUUGGUGGUCAAUUACCAUGAUUUGCGCUAAUCAUCGUGAUUCAAAGUAGAUAUUCGUGUGUAUAUGUAUCACAUCCAGACAUCCUAGAUGCCGUUGCAAAUAUGCGAAGCCGACAAUAGCAUGACUGCCAAUAAGGUCCAAUCAAGUAUGAUUAUGACCGUGGUCCAAAGUGGAGUAAUCUGGUAUCCUCUUCUAUGGAAAAUGGUAGAUAAUUUGGAUUUGGUGAUUUUGUUUUGUUUUGGUGGCACAUCGGUGCUUGUUUUCAGUUUAUAGCAACCUACUCAAUGGUUAAAUGCCAGUUAUGAUUUUUUUUUUGUUGAUGUGACAUGGAAUUAGUGAGUGUAUAGAUGCGAAAGUUAUAUCGAGCUUGUUUGGCACAGCUCAACUUCAACUUCAUUAGUAAAACUGUUUUUUUAGGCUUUAUGAGUGACUUUCUAGAUGAAGCUGAGCAAUAGUUUCACAAACUACUUCAUGCAUAGUUGAGAGAGAGAAAUGAGAGAGAGAGCUACAAUAAGCUACUUUUUUUCAGCUUCAUCCCAACUUAUGUCUUUGUGAGAGGAGGAGAAAAAUAGCUUCACCCAUGAAGCUGUUUUGGAAAUAAGUGUUUGGCAAAAAAAAAAAAACAGCUCACAACAGCUCAUGAAGCGGCUGUUGUGAGCUGUACCAAACACCCCCAUCAUCUUGAAGAUACAGCUUGUUCAUAACAUUCAAGAUUAGAGAAAUCCUGCACGAUCCUUAGGCAUAUUGUCAUGGAAAUUAUAUACUCUCUUAUUUCAAAUUAUUUCAAAUUACAAGACGUUUUGACUUUUUCAGAUGUACAUAUCUUUUUUAUGCACUUAUGCCUAGAUACAUACUUACAUAGUAAAAACGAUGUACCUUGGAAAAAAAAACCAAAAUGACUUAUAACUUGGAAUAGAUAGAGUAUAUAGUUAAUUAUUUAGAGCCUUCUAAUUAACAACACCGUGAUACUAUACAUUGGGUGAGAUGUACCGUAAUUGUCAUGACAACUUUGCACUGGGGAUAGUCUUUAAAAGCUAGAAUUUGCGAUCAGAUUGCCUCAACUUUGCACAGCCACUUUCGGGUCUCUGCACACCACUUGACUGGACGCGCGCGAGAUAAAAAAUUCCGUGGAGGUGAGGUUGAUGGACUGAUGGCGUAGGUCAGAAAGUUGAGCGCCGAGCUCGACGCUGGCAAUGUUCGCUCUUCAUGGCGCUCAUCAGGACUCCAGGGGGCCGACGUGCCUGUCCGCCCUGCCGAAAGAAUCCAUAGCUCUGUGAUAAACAUAUUGGGCUGGACGGAUUCAGGCCCAAAAUACACGGGCCUAGGCAGCCUCACAGGUGCUGAUGGAUCUGAUCCGUUGUCCCGCGCGCAUAGAGAGGCCCAUCUGAUCUGCAUGUAGCCCGUCGCAUCCCGAAUCACUCGUGGUCUGUGGAUCUGCAGAGAAACCGGUCUUUUUUGACCAAAAAGGUUUUGGGCGCCGAAGCUUAAAAACAGAAAAGUUUCACCUGCAUUUGACACGGUUGACUAAAGCUAUCCUGCACCCAGGUCUCAAUGCAUCCAUGGCUCCAUGUCCUUGUAGCGUGGCAUGCAGAGGCGAUCCCAAAGCAUGAGCGGUUGUCGUCAUCUUCAACCGACACAGUUGACUCUGAUGAGGCCAGUUUAGUUAGUUAGUUAGUUAGUUAGUUAUCCCUGCACCCUGGUGCAUGCAUCCAGCUUAAAACAUUGUUCCGGCACCACGUCUGGCUGCCUAAAAUACGUGCGCGCCAUUGCAGUGCCACGGCCUGCCUAACCGGCUUACUAUACGCCACCGACGCUAGCUAUGCAGAUUGGAUUGCAGAGCAUGUCAUUUGUCCCAUGCCUGCCUGCCACCACGACCAAGGCCCCGUUUAGUUCCGAAAUGAAAAGUUUUCGGGCACUGUAGCACUUUCGUUUGUUUGUGGUAAAUAUUGUUUAAUUAUAAACUAACUAGGAUUAAAAGAUUCGUAUCGUGAUUUACAGACAAACUGUGUAAUUAGUUUUUGUUGUCAUCUAUAUUUAAUGUUUCAUGAUUGUGUCGUAAAAUUCGAUGUGACGGAAAAUCUUGAAAACUUUUUGAUUUUUGGGGUGAACUAAACAAGGCCCAACUCGUCUCGCCACGGUAGACUCAAAGUCAAACCGGACCGACGCAUGUGGAGGUUUCAUCAAUUUUCAAAAGCGCAUUUUAUUAGGCAGCAGUUAACAACAUCGACCAUCGCCGAGUUUUGGGUGUGUUCACAUAUGCGACCGACUCUGCAUGUACUAGUAUGUUUGCAUUUGUGUUGUACUUGUACGUUAAUGGAAAUGAACCACAGAAGGAACGAUUUGGGAGCAGCGAAAGAAGAGGGCAUUGUCGCUGCAAUCUGAAGACACGAACACGAUUUUGGAAAUUGGAAUGCUGAUGAGACUCUCUCUCUCUCUCCCAACCGGUAAAGUUUAACAGAUCCAAUCGCUAUGCCAUCUUCCAAUGCUUUUUUUUUUGCCUUUUUCCUGUUUCCAGUACGUAUAUUUUUAUAUAAAUAUUAAACAAAUAAAAGAGGAAAUCAUUGGAUCGACCACACUCUUUGGCUGCAAUCUGCACUGACCCAUCAUGAGCCAUGACCAUGAGCCAUCAUGCAUGCAUGGCCCACGUGCACUGGAACAAUCCCAAUCACCAUGGUUCAUUUUUCGUUUGCGAAUUGUGGUUGCUACACUGUAGAGGACCUACAGCUGCUACCUGCUACUGCUCGAUUUGUGUACGCGUGCAACCGUGGCUGCUAAUGAGUGCUGCAGACUGCAGCAAUCCCUUUUUUUCUCUAAAGAAAUGAUAAGACUACUAAACACAAUAUACCAAUAGUAAUAGGUACUAUAAAGUUAAAAAUAAUCAAACAGUUGUUGGAAAAAAGACUUGAUCUUCUAUUGAAAAUUUGAGGUAGGGCAAGUGUGAGUGAGAGGUCGUGCAUCAAAGUUUGGUGAAAGGAAGGGCAAAGAAACCUGACGUCUGAUGCGAAGGCGCGUAAACAUCCGUCCAUGGUUGGAGCACAAAUUACAGUAAUUUACUUUUCAUUCGAUAAGGCAGUCUCAAUGCAGGUUUCAUAAGAGUGUCAUGCACAUUAAAUAGGAUGCCACAUAAGUAUAAUUGCUGACUUGGCAGGGUCAUUAAAUGAAGGAGUUUCAUCAGAUGAGAGAGGAGUUUCAUCGCCAUGAAACUCCUGUGGCUCGGUUACCUAGUUUAUAGUCUUGGUAACUGUGCCAUGAAACUAUACAUUGAGACUGGCCUAACGAUACAUUAUCAGUCUAUUUAGUAUUUACUAUAACAGCUACUGUAGUACGGCUACAGCUCAAGCUCAUCAUUGCUUUGUGGAAAAAAAAAAGAAGAUUAGGAAAAGCAGCAGGAAAACGGGGAGAAUCAGACGGAGACAGCGCGCGUUCCCUCCCCUUUUGCUUCCUGAAGAUGUGCGUGUGUGUUGGAAAUUUUCAAGGAGGAAGAAGGGAAAGCCACCGCUCACCAUCACCCUCCACCACCAAACACACGCAGCUAGCUUGGUAGGAGGGGGAAAAAGGCCUCCCCUUUGGCUUGCCUGCGAGUGGGAUCUCUUCUUCCUCCCCCACCGCCCGUCCCUGCCCUCUUCCGCCGACAGCGAGCGAGUACGCGACGCAUAGCAAGCGGCAGCCACACCGCCGCCGCCUCCAGGCUGCCAACACAUCCCUGCCAUCCCUUUUGACCCUGAGGAUCCCAUCCCACUAGCUUCCUACUACUACUACUACUACUACUUCCCCCAUCCUCUCGAUCUCUCUCCCCGUUCCCCUGACAAGCCGAGCGUCAAGUGGCAGGGAGGGAACGCGGCGGCGCGGGUGAGGAUCAAUGGGGACGGGGAGCGUGCGGGCGCUGGCCCUGGCGCUCGCCGUGUUUCUCGCCUGCUCCGGCAUCGCCGUCGUCACGGCGCAGGAGACCGAGCGGAUCGAAGGUACGCGGCGGCCGCGACCCUCUCUCCCUGCUUGUGUUCGUUUCCAUCAAUCUUCUGAUCUAUAGAUGAGCACGCUCCUGUCAGUUUCCUUUUUGCCUGUAGUGCAUACAUACAUCUAGUAAAUGGGCAAAGCAAGAAUCUUGGCAUCUAUUAGUAUGUUGGUUUGAUCUGUUAGGCUUCUGAAUCCUGAAUUCAUAUACUACUAGGUUACAGAUAAGCAGAAUGCAGGUAGAUCCUUUGGUAUUCUGUUUAUAGUUAUUUGAUCUGGUUCUGGCUUAAUUCAGUUAAAAAGCAAGCUUUUUAAGAACGUCCUGCUACUGCUCACAAUACAUGCUUUAGUUUUUUGUGGUUGACCACCUGAUGCACUCUGUAGAAGUAACCCAUCAAGCUUGACAAACAGGAUCAUACUCGUGGAGCAUUCAAUGAUACAUGAUGAUAAUCAUGAUUCAUUCAGUUUUAACAUAGGCACACAAUUCGUUAUAGACAUGUAGGUUGCCUAGCUAGCAUACCGUUGCUUCAGUGGAUUUCUUAGCUAGGUAUAUUCCUUUCCCCACUUUUAUGCUAGCCCUAAUGCUGUAGCCAAUAAAAUGCAGGAAGCGCUGGUGAUGUGUUGGAAGAUAACCCUGUUGGGAGACUCAAGGUCUAUGUCUAUGAUCUCCCCAGCAAAUACAACAAGAAGCUGCUGAAGAAGGAUCCUAGGUGCCUGAACCACAUGUUUGCCGCUGAGAUCUUCAUGCACCGGUUCCUGUUGUCAAGCGCUGUCCGAACUUUUAAUCCUGAGGAAGCAGAUUGGUUCUACACACCCGUAUACACAACUUGCGAUCUGACCCCUAAGGGUCUUCCCUUGCCUUUCAAGUCUCCUCGAAUGAUGCGUAGCGCAAUCCAGCUGAUUGCUACAAAUUGGCCUUACUGGAAUAGAUCAGAGGGCGCUGAUCAUUUCUUUGUCACGCCCCAUGACUUUGGUGCUUGCUUUCAUUAUCAGGUACAACACUAGUAGAUUAAUUGAGGAGCGGUUGCAUGCAUUUAUUUAUCCUUGUACUAAUGAAGAUUAGAUGUUCAACAAUGGUAGUUUAGUAGUGCAUAGUGCUGAAACAACUGGGACAUAUCUAAUUUUUACAGUAAACAUGGGGGCGAUAUGGGGUAUCAAGAUGCUUGUAUCAAUAUGAAUGAAAAUGAACUACUCUAACUAAUUGGUUCAGGCUCCAUAGUUUCUUUUCCCCUUUUAGAAGGAAAACAUGCACGAGAUUUCAGUUUACUUAGAUACCAUUCUGAUAUCCAUAUUGAUCGUUCACUGACCACCUGGUAGAAAUAGUCACUUACUAGACUUCCAGUCUUCCAUUUGAUUACUGUUACUGUCUAUUUCAAAUUUUCAAUAUCUUGAUGUUUCUGUAAUAAUCAUUUCCACUGUUCAGGAAGAGAAAGCAAUCGGACGGGGAAUCCUUCCCUUGCUUCAGCGUGCUACGCUGGUUCAGACCUUUGGACAGAAGAACCAUGUCUGCCUGAAGGAUGGGUCCAUCACCAUCCCGCCAUAUGCGCCUCCUCAGAAAAUGCAGACUCACCUUAUCCCUGCCGACACCCCUCGAUCCAUCUUUGUGUACUUCCGAGGUCUGUUCUAUGACACUGGCAAUGAUCCUGAGGGCGGUUACUAUGCAAGGUAAUUCAUCUGUCUGUCUACAAGCAGUGGAAUUGACACCUCACUCGUUUUUCAUCCUGCCAUUGCAUCCUGGGUCUAGUCUCUGAUGACAUUGCCUGUUCUACAGAGGUGCUCGUGCGUCAGUCUGGGAGAACUUCAAGAACAACCCGCUCUUUGACAUCUCGACCGAUCACCCACCAACAUACUAUGAAGACAUGCAGCGCUCAGUGUUCUGCCUCUGCCCAUUGGGCUGGGCACCAUGGAGUCCCAGGCUAGUGGAAGCCGUGGUCUUUGGCUGCAUCCCAGUGAUCAUCGCAGAUGACAUUGUCCUUCCCUUUGCGGACGCCAUCCCAUGGGAGGAGAUCGGCGUUUUUGUUGCUGAGGAGGAUGUCCCGCAGCUGGACAGCAUCCUGACAUCCAUUCCCACAGAUGUUGUACUGAGGAAGCAACGGCUCCUUGCGAACCCAUCGAUGAAGCAGGCCAUGUUGUUCCCCCAGCCUGCUCAGCCAGGAGAUGCAUUCCACCAGAUUCUUAAUGGUCUCGCGCGCAAGCUCCCUCACGGCAGCAAUGUUUUCCUGAAGCCCGGCGAGAGGGUCCUGAACUGGACCGCUGGACCACCAGGCGACCUGAAGCCUUGGUAGCAUCUUGUGGAACUGAGAUGGAUGUGACCUUCUUUGGAAAGGAAAUAUCGAGAACAUGAUAUAUAUACCUGUGCCUUUGAAUUAUCAUGGGUGCACAUAGUGCUGACCACAAGCCAAAUGUACAUUUUCUGUAUGUUUUUUCUUCUAUAACUGUUAUUAUAUAUAUCUUCAUUUCUUUUUUCCCCUUUCUAGAUAUAAGAGUGCCAAGCCCUGUCGACCAUAUGUGGAUAUAUCAUAAAUUAAAUUUACAAGAUUGUGCUACUCAUGCUGAUUGUCUGAUCACAUUUCAUUAUCCUACUGCACUGCCAGUUGCCAUACUGUCCAUUGUGUUUGUGGUGCUCGACCUGGCUGAUUUUGAUUCCCUUUGAUUCUGUGUGUCUGAGGCCUUGUUUAGUUCUCAAAAAAUUUUGCAAAAUUUUUCGGAUUCCCCGUCACAUCGAAUCUUUAGACGCAUGCAUGGAGUAUUAAAUAUAGACGAAAAUAAAAACUAAUUGCAUAGUUUGGUCGGAAUUGAUGAGACGAAUCUUUUGAGCCAAGUUAGUCCAUGAUUAGACAAUAUUUGUCACAAACAAACGAAAGUGCUACAGUACCUGUUUUGCAAAAAAUUUUAGAACUAAACAAGGCCUCUGAAUAAUUUGGUGACAAAGGGGAAACUGCUAUCUGAAGCAAGAUCCUCAUAGGUAGGAAUGGCAACGGGUACGUACCCGAUGGGUACUUGCCACCCGUACCCGCACCCGCCAGGUCAAAAUCUAUUCCAUCGGGUUACCCGCGAAAGCAGACGGGUAAGAAAUUCAUUCCGUACCCGCACCCGACGGGUAAUUCUUACCCGACGGGUAUUCCAUACCCGAAAAUAUACCCGAGUUCAAUAGAAAUAUAACAACUUUCAGCAAGUUAAAUAUCACAACUUAUAGGAAAUUAAAUAUAACAACUUGCAGCAAAUUAAUAGUAGCACUAGUAGCACACCAGCCGCUCAACACUUCCCACGUUCAGUCAAUCAGUUCAUGGGCUAUAUGGGCUAAAUUGCUUAGGUUGCUUACUCAUUUUGCGGGUAUUUCUUACCCACGGGUACGCGGGUAUGGGUACUACUAUUCCACACCCGUACCCGCCAUACCCGAUGGGUAAAGAAUUUCACCCAACAACGUACCCGCGGGUACAAAAUCUAUUCCAUACCCGCGUCCUUAUCGGGUAAAACCCGUCGGGUACUCGGGUUUCGGGUACCCAUUGCCAUUUUGACUCAUAGGGAAGGCUGUCCGAUCUGCUGAUCAGGCAGCACGUCACUUCGGUCUUUUUAACUGAGGCCUUGUUUAGUUCCGAAAAGUGAAAAGUUUUCGGUACUGUAGCAAUUUCGUUUGUUUGUGACAAAUAUUAUCUAAUCAUGGACUAACUAUGAUCAAAAGAUUCGUCUCGUGAUUUACAGCUAAACUGUGUAAUCAGUUUUUGUUUUCGUCUAUAUUUAAUGUUUUAUGCAUGUGCUACAAGAUUCGAUGUGACAGGGAAUCUUGAAAACUUUUGGUUUUCGGGUGAACUAAACAAGGCCUGAAUGUUGCUGAGUUCUCAAGGAAUGUUGGUGCAAAUUGCGAUUGCCCCUGUGAUGUGAGUGCAGUAACCUAGAGAACGAUUGCUGGUUGGUGGUGCAAAGAGGGUGGUGGUAGAUAGGUAAGGAAAUGAGGUCAACAUCAGCACCGGCACUUAGUUGCGAUGUCACGAACUGAAAUGGUAACUGAUGGCAGUUCAGAAAUGUAUCCCAGAUACAAGGUUGUCUGUUGGGUCUGGUCUGGUGCUAUGUUCCUAAAUGGCCACAAACAUUGGAAAUGGUGGGAGUUUGUAAAAUUUUAAAAACCGCGCUACAAAAAAAUCCCUCAAAUUUUGCGCAGCUCCAGGUGGGUGAUGUUUUCAACCACAGAUAAAAAAAAAUCUCCGGUAAGGCGUCGUGACUGUUGACUGGUCCGUGAGGUCAACGAAAGGAGGAGGAAGGUAGAAAAAACAUUAUGGCGUGCCAUGAUCUACCUAACUGGCUGGAGAAGACGACGAAAACGACCACCUAACACAAGGUAGAUCAGACAGACGAUCCAAGUCAAAUAUAGUAGGUAACGAGGAGAAAAUUAAAAAAAGAUUUUAUGAAAAGGAAAAAAAUAAAAAAAGGCGUGAAGUGUGACCUAAGCAAAGCGACAACGUUGCAAAAAAGGAAGAGGCAGUACCAGCAAUAGCCUAGUACUACUGUACUGCCACUUUCCUGGAAUUUUAUUUAUUUAUUUUUCAAGGACAAAACCACUGCUGGAGUGCUGGUAGUGGUGGGAGGAGUCCAUGGGAAUGCAAAAAGUCAUCAUUUGCAAACAAACACAGGGAACCUGGCAGGCACCCACCACCUCACCUCCGCCGACAGCGAGCACGGCCACCAUCACCCCUGCCAUACUCGCUUUGACUCCGCGUCUGGGCGCCUAGUCUAUUCCUCUUCCUGCCAAGAAUCCCGCCAGUUGCCUACCACCUCUCCCGGACUCCGCGUUCCUGCCUGAGCAGCUACCGAGAGUAGAGGGAAGGCAGGCGCUCAGUCUAAUGGGGAGGGGGAGCGCGAUGGCGCAAGCCCUUGCGCUCGUCGCCUUGCUCCUCGCCUGCUCCGACGUCGCCGUCGUCGCGGCGCAGGAGACUGAGAGGAUCCAAGGUACGCGGCCUCGCCCUUGCUUACUUCGUCGUCCUCUGCUUCUCUUUGAUCCGAUCAGUGAAUUAUGCGUUGCCUGCGCCCGUCGGGUGUAAUGAUCUGGGGAAUUCGUCCGUGCUCGUCGCCGCGCCCGCGUUUCUGCUGGCCGGAGUGGAUCUGAUGUUGAGGUCUUGGGAAGACGAGCGAGCGCGUAGUUGGCGAGAUAGAUCAGGUCUUUACUGCCAGAGAUGCUUCCACGCUUCCUUUGUUAAUCCAUGAACGAACUAGCAACUCGGCGCUCCCAUUCAGACAUUCAGUCAAGCGCUCAGUGCGCACAAUGAAUUAUUUCAUCAUGGAAAGGAACAAAAUUCAAAUCUUGAGAUCAAACCUGCCAUUACUUUUUUUUAAUGCAAUCUGGAAUGGAUCAUGAUCCUACCUUUUAUAUGCUCCAAAAUGACAAACUUGAUUAUCUUAUGAAUUCAAAAACGAGUUUGCACCCACAACAUUUGCGCUAAAUGGAUAAAGUUCACCUGUAGAUUCACUUUUGGAUGUGCCAUGUUAAAAAAAAAUAUAGAUUCAUUGAAUUACGUUUUUUGAAUUCAUCUCCAUGUUUCCACCUAAGAUAUGUUCACCGGUACAUACUUUGCCCACUAACUACACUUAUUACUUAUCGAUUAUCAACUUCAUAGAAUUGCGAUGGAUCCUUCAAUCAAAAUCUUAAUUGCUGUGAUAUUUAGCUACACCCUGAGCCUACUAAAAGAAUUCUGCAUAACUUGCUUGUGUGCCUGCUUGUUAUAUAGUUUCAGUUAUGCUUUGCCUGAAGGGGAAAAAAAGUACUUUUGCAAAACUGUUAGACUCCAUUGUCAUUGCAUUAGGAUCAUGUUUUUUCCUUCAAAUAGGCAAGAUAUCCGUGUAACAUUGUAUUAAGAAGAACACGAGUUUACAACACCCCCAAAACACACACACACCUCGGCUAGAAACACACACACCUCGGUUUUGAAUUCAUCUCUGUGUACAUUUGCGCUUCUUACAACAACGCACAAACAUGACCAAUGACCAGCCAAUCUAUCUAUGAGCCAGGACCUCCACAUGAAUAAAACCUCAGCUAGACACCAGAGAUGGACCUCCUAGGUGAUUUGUCUAAGAACACCAGAGAUGGACCUCCUAGGUGAUUUGUCUAAGAAUUAGCUGUAUUAGUAUUGGCUCCAUUGAACACCACGUUAUUUCGAUGUUUCCACUGAGACCAAGUGGCCAAAAUAAUCAGAGAGAUAAGACCUCUCUUGAGAGCUCUGGGGAUCAAGCCAUUUACCCUCAGCCACCACUCAUAUAACAUCAUUGUAUUGAUCAUGGCAUUAAGGUGCAUAUCCUCAUGUUUCCAAUGCGGAUGUGAUUAAAUUUCAGGGAGUGCUGGUGAUGUGCUUGAAGAUGAUCCUGUCGGAAGGCUCAAGGUAUAUGUCUAUGAGCUGCCCCCCAAGUACAACAAGAAUAUACUGGCAAAGGAUUCGAGAUGCCUCAGCCACAUGUUUGCUACAGAGAUAUUCAUGCAUCGCUUCCUCUUGACGAGCGCGGUCCGGACUCUAAAUCCGGACGAAGCUGAUUGGUUCUAUACUCCAGUAUACACAACGUGCGACCUUACACCAUGGGGUCAUCCCUUGACUACAAAGUCUCCACGAAUGAUGAGAAGUGCGAUUCAGUAUAUUUCCAAGCGUUGGCCCUACUGGAACAGGACGGAGGGAGCAGACCAUUUCUUUGUCACACCACAUGACUUUGGAGCAUGCUUCUAUUUCCAGGUGAGUCACAGAGCCAUAAACCAUGAAUUGGAUGAGUACCAAUGUAACGUUGAAUGCAAAGUUAUAAAAUGGAAUUCCAGCCUAGUCAUUUCCCCAUAUAUACACAGCAUCUGUUCUUGUAGCACCAUCCACCUACUGUGCACUCAGAAUUCUUAUUGUCCAGGAAGAGACGGCCAUCCAGCGAGGUGUCCUUCCGGUGCUGCGCCGUGCUACACUGGUCCAGACUUUUGGGCAGAAGCAUCAUGUGUGCCUGAAGGAAGGCUCCAUCACCAUCCCGCCGUAUGCUCCUCCUCAUAAGAUCAGAACUCACAUUGUUCCACCAGAGACCCCUCGUUCAAUCUUUGUCUACUUCCGUGGUCUGUUCUAUGACACCGCAAAUGAUCCCGAGGGUGGUUACUAUGCAAGGUACGCACCUAAAUCAUGUAGUACCUGACAAGCAGUCUUAUUACUGAAUCAUUGAUUGGAAAGUCUUGACGCACCUACCAUACACACAAAUGCAGGGGUGCCCGUGCGUCAGUAUGGGAGAACUUCAAGAACAAUGCUCUGUUCGACAUCUCCACAGAACACCCGCCAACCUACUAUGAGGACAUGCAGCGUGCCAUCUUCUGCCUGUGCCCACUGGGGUGGGCGCCAUGGAGUCCCCGUCUAGUGGAGGCCGUGGUGUUUGGCUGCAUCCCCGUGAUCAUCGCGGACGACAUCGUGCUCCCCUUUGCGGACGCGAUCCCAUGGGAGGAGAUCGCCGUGUUCGUGGCCGAGGACGACGUCCUGAAGCUGGACACCAUCCUGACGUCCAUACCCAUGGAGGAGAUCCUCCGCAAACAGCGGCUGCUGGCGAACCCGUCGAUGAAGCAGGCGAUGCUGUUCCCGCAGCCCGCGGAGCCCCGGGACGCGUUCCACCAGGUGCUCAACGGGCUGGCGCGGAAGCUCCCCCACGGCAAGGGCGUGUUCCUCAAGCCCGGGCAGAAGGUGCUCAACUGGACCGAGGGGACCCGGGAAGACCUCAAGCCGUGGUAGGUGUGUAUAGUAUAGUGGCGACUGGUGAGGUUGAGGCACCGUCACCAUUUGGUGCUCUUUUGUAAACGACACAACAACCAGAUGAGAGGCUGAUCGAAGAUGGUGAUGCUGAUGAUGAGUGAACCACACAGCCAUUGAUGAUUAAAUGUAAAGCUCUUCUCUUGCUCCUCCAACCAUUCUUCUUUUUUGAGGCAAUGUGCCUGUCUUGCCUGUAUAUAUAUAUACUAGUAGCACAUGGCAAUCAGGGUGGCCGGGGCAAAGACAAAUUACACUAAUGGUAUUAUUAUUCUAUAUAUUAACUAGCAUGUCUUGACAACACAGCCUCUGUUCUCUCGGAGAACAAGUUUCCUUGAACAGAAACACAUCUUUUUGGGUUCUGGCUUACAGUUGCCCAAACGAGAAACUUUCACAGCUCGCCUGAGCCUACAGCCUAGGGUUAGAAUUGGAAGGGAGCUGCAGGAAGGCUCAAGUUGGCAAUGGGGCCCCGAUCCCCGAUGGAGAUUUCAUCUAUUAGGGGAAGAAGAUGGAAGGAUUUGUAUCCCCGCGGGGAGUUUAAUGGCUGAAUUUCAUCCCCGUCGGGUGAAGCAGGUGACAGAACGUUCUCUAUGCCCCGUCCCCAUCACCCGUCGGGGACCCGACAAUGCAAAAAGACCACCCCUAAAUAGGCCUACAAAGCUGCAAGCGCCGCUCGGGCGGCUCGGCCGCUCCAGUAUCAAACAUCUCGAUCCUGUUCCUUUCCCCUCCACCUCUCCCAUAGUCUCAUCCCCUCCCCUCGUCAUCUCCCACAGAUUUCUCUCCUCCCAAUCUCGUAGUCUCUAGUAGGCCAAGUUGUGUCUCCCUCCCCCCAAUCCCAUCCUCCCAUCCGCAGCCCUCAAGGGCGGCCGCCGCUUGUGUCGGAGUCCCAGAGACGACGCUAGUCCCUCCCUGUGCAAGCUGCAGCGCCUCCCUUCUCCCAAUGCCAUCGUCCUGGACACCGGCAGUUCGAACUCUAAUCGAGCCCAACAAUUGCAGAUCCAUGGAGGCAGCGGAUGCUUCACCUUGACGUGAGGAGGCCAGAGGCCUUCACGGUGAGGAGAACUAGUUGCCCUACCUCGAUCUGAGAAAUGAGAAUGAUAUUGUCCCCAUUGAUUCCUGUCAAUUUUUGUAUCUCAAAUGUGAAAUUCAUACUAUAUUUUUUUCCUUAUGCUAUUUGAUUUGGUCCCCUCAUGCUGUCUGAUGCUCUGUGUUUCGGGGACGGGGACCCGUCGGGGCUGGAUUCCUCGUGCGGGGACGGGGACGGGGAGCGGGGAAUUUUUAGAGAGGCGAGGAGCAAAACGUUCUUCGUAUACCCGACGGGGAUGCCCCCGUUGCCAUGCAUAAGGAAGGCGCACCCCGUCUGCCGUGUUUAGUUCUGGAUGGAGAUCGGCCAUGUUUAGUUAUGGAUGGAAAAAAUUUCAUGACACUAUAGCACUUUCGUUUGUUUGUGAUAAUUAUUGUCCAACCAUGGACUAACUAGGCUCAAAAGAUUUGUCUCGUAAACUCCGACCAAGCUGUGCAAUUAGUUUUUAUUUUCGUUUAUAUUUAAUACUCCAUGCAUAUGUCUAAAAAUUCGAUGCGACGGAAAAUCUUGAAAUUUUUUUUGAGUUUUGCGUGGAAGUAAAUAAGGCCUAACAAAUUGUGGGUUAAAAAAGAUUCCAACCAGACAACAGGAGAAAAAUUCAGAUGGCGACAGUCCCAGCAGAGGAGGGGAAGCGCUUAUUUUAUAGCGGGAGCUCGCGCGCAAAUCCAGCUUUGCCUGCCGAGGUACGCUCUGCCUGCAGGGCUGCAGGCCUGCAGCUGAGUUAUCGACUUCUCAUGGGCUACCGAAUAUAUGGGCCUUGAAGAUUGGGUCGACAGGAAACAGCCAGACUGCGCUGCGGGCUGCGAUAUGUUGGCCGUCUAGCUUUCCUUCUCCUUUCCUUCCUAAGACAUGGAUUUAUGCUAUUUUAUAGCAUAUCAUUUGUGUUCUUUGUUAUAUUUAUUGGUGUAUGACUAUUUUAUAAAUUUUUGAAGUGAAUAUUUUUGCAGAAGUAAAGAAGAAUGCAAUUUUUUAUUACUUUUGGAUUUAUGCGUUUUUCCAGUGAGUCCUAGUAAAAUAAUAUUUUUAGCCUUUUUAUUAGUGCUAUUAUAUUUAGCCUUCCCCCAACCUACAGCCAUUAAACUGAUAUAGGACAAAGCUGAAUCUGUCAGCCAUUCAGCAAUGUUUUUCUCUUAUAAUAAAUUAACAAACAGUAUUUUCUAGCAUGACUUAUCAUGCCAAACGAAAGGCAACCCAGUGUCUAGACUUUGCACACGGUCGCCCCUUUCCUUGUAGACCAGAAACGGGCACGAAAUUUCAAGAGCUGGGAGCCGGGGUUGGGUCGGACACAUGAAGAAAAACAGUCCAUCGGCAUGGGGCUCAUCACUCAUCAGCGCACUGGUUCCAGUUCCGAAUCCGGUUCCGGUUCCAGAAUCCAGAUCCACGUCGGUCGUCGGCUUCACCUUUGCAGUUGCAGUACCACGGAUUCCUUGGUAGUUGUUGAAAUGGACCUAUCAUUGCACCUGAGUUCCAUCGCACGACAGCGGACAAAUAUAGCAUGUUCUCUUACUCCCUCCCUCCUAAAUUGUACGUCAUUUUAAAAAUAUUAGACAGUCAAAACAUCUUAAGUUUGACGAAAAUUAUAAAAAAAUUAGUUAAAUAUAAAUUUAAUUGAUAUACUAUGAAAAUAUAAGUAAUCAAGAACCUAAUGAUAUUCAAUUGAUAUCAUAAAUAUUAUUCUACCAUAUAAAUUUAGUUAAAUUUAAGAUAUUUUGAUUUUUCAAAAUUCAUAGAAUGACUUCCAAUUUAGGAUAGAGGAAGUACCAGGGGCGGUUCUAGAGUAGUAGCAUGGGAGGACAGCAAAUUUUUUUGAAAAACAUUUAAUAUGUAUAUUCUUUAAUAAUAUAUACAUGUAUAAUGCAUUGUUAUACAUAAUUGCUAGUCUACUCAGCUUAUAUAACAACCUUAAUACUCUAUAUUCACAACUAUUUUAUCACCGUUUAGUGAUCUAAUUAUGUUAUGUUCAUAUCGAUGAACUAUAUCGUUUUCGUUCGUACCCUCAUGAUUAAAAUCCUAGAUCCGCCACUGGGCGCACACGUUAACCUUUCAUGCUGGCUGGUCUGUGGCUGGGCAAAAAGACAAGAGACACAGCACGGUGGCUUAGUGACUGCGGUUCCAGUUCCAGCUCCAGUUCCGGUUCCCGUUAUGCCCGGUUCCACGGUUGGCUUCGAAGAUUCGAACACGCGUGCACUUCAGCGGUGCAACUAGUUUCCAAAGUAUGAGUACUGCCAGUAGCUACGUAGGCAAGCCCUGAUAUCGCAUUCCUCCAAGCUAUCAUUUUUCUACUCCUAUAUCUGACGCUCCUUUUCCUUCUUUGGAAUUUUCUACCUGACAUACUACCGGUUCCGGAUCCAGUUCCGGUUCCAGUUCCGGUUCCGGUGCCAGUCCCUCGGUCACUAUUUAUAUCCCACGACGAUUCGCCGAAUGCAGCAGGGGCCUCACUUCAACCGUCAACCUCUUGCCAUCUCCAAAACUCAAGCCAAUCGCCAUUGCUGCGGCACGAGCGACUAGCGAGGACCACGAGCGAUCGAUCAUCGAUGGACCCGGAAGCCGCGGUCCCGAGGGUGGUGAGCUCGGCCUCCGCCGCGCUCCGGAGCAGGCCGAUGGUGCCGCCGGCGAUGCUCACCACCGGCGUCUUCCAAGCGGUGGCGGCGCUCGCCCUCUUCUUCUACAGGACUACCCCCGAGGGCAUCUUCUCCCACCACGGCAAGCUGGCCAUCGUCGUGUACUACGGCGUCCUUGUAGCGGGGCUCGUCGUGGGCUCUGCGACGGCCUCCGCUUCCUUCUGGGUCGCGCGCCGUCUGGACGACGCCCGGCAUGGCAUUGGCAUGGCGCUGCUCUGCGCUUCGACGCUCAUGCUGAUCCCCGUGUUCGGGAUACUCGUCGGCUUCGUCAUGCUCGAGAAGUAGUCUCAUCAGAUACCUUGUAUGUAGUACAGUAUGUUUUUGUGAUGUGAGUUAUGUUUCUGGGUUUUUUUUUGUUUGAGGCCAGAUUAGUUUGGGUUACCGUUGAUGUGAUGAUUAUUGAUUAUUCAUACAUGGUAACAAGAUUAUGGUUGUAAAGUGGAGGAUCUUCGUGUGUUGCAUGUCUCCCUGGGACAGAGCAACAAAGGUUGUUAUUGUGAUGAAGGCAACUGGACCUGCUCCAGUUCUGGUUCCGGUUCCGAUUAUGGUUUUGGUUCCGGUUCCAGUUCUCAUUUUGGAAGCGAUGUUAUUCUCAUGAUCGAAAAAUGACACGCCCAACAGAACAAUGUGAAUUUAUUUAUUUAUCCAUCUAUCUCAAAACUCAAAUAGAAGGAGUAAAAAUAGGCAGCGUAAAUAGAAGGACUGAAGGAGCAAAUAAAUUUGGUUAGCUAAAAGUGGUGACUGAAUUUGCGAACGAAGUAUUCGUUUCGAUCUUACGAUUUUAAUCUCGAUUAGUUGAGCUUACGAGCAGACCACGGUGGGCAGGGGCGAAGCCAGAAAUUAAGAUCAGAGGAGAUAAAUGUCAAUAGGGGAAGCCAUUUACGCUUUAGUUACCUGACAAUUUAGCUAAGUCAUCAAGGAGCAUUGGAAAGGCAUCAAAGAUAGUGGAGGCCAGAACCGGCACGAAAUUUCAUGGGGGGAGCUCAUCAGUCAUCACCAUAUAGCGGUAACGGUUCCAGUUCCAGUUCCAGUUCCAACUCGGCUUCCGGCACCAACACGGUCAUUGAAAUUGAAAUGGACCAAUGGUUCCAUCAGAGAACGUCGGACAGAGACAGCUAGAAGUAUCCGAGCUGAAAGCGCAAAGCACAUGCUGGUUGGCCUUCUUUCAUGCUAUGCCACGAAACAUCAAAAGCUGACUACAAAGCACUCAGCCACAAGGAUACCGGUUCCGGUUCCUGGUUCGGUUCCAGUUCCUGGUUGAAGCAGAGCGAGCCAGGUGAAGGUGAAAGCGACCUGAUACCUCUCCGCACGGCACCACUGUUUUAUUACCUGCUAGUCAAUUCUUGCUCCUUUUUUUUUUUCUGUACUCGUAUUUUAUUCCUCUCUCUCUCUCUCUUUGGUCUCUUGAAGCUUUGUUGUUAAACUUGUAAGUUUGGUUUUUAAUAAAUCUCUGUAAGGGCCUCUAGUUUCGUUAAAAAAAACUUUUCCUGGACAAUUUCACCUAUAAAGCUUUGGCACGACUAGACGCCUUUAUUUUGUCUAAACUGCAGUCUAGUAACUCUAGUUCGUGUACACUGUCUAUAGACAAUUUAAAUGGCCUUUUAGCUCCGCUAAUUGGUUAAAUGAUAGAUGACCAAAUUGUUUAGAUGAUGUCACAUCUUCUUUAUUAUUAUAUUUUCAGACACAUUCCACAACGAGAAAGGGCAUUUUGUUAUUCACCAUCCCAUCUACAAAUCUCACUUCACUAACCAUUGUUUGCUAGUAGCAUUUCUUUAGGCUUCGUUUGGCAUAUAUUUUUUUUCACGAAUUUCACAAGCCGUUUCAAGUUGUGUUUAUGCCAAACAUGUAUUUUUGAAACAUGCUCUCAGGAGGAAUUAGUGUGAAAUAAGGCUGAAAAUAACUACUUCUGCUAGCUAGCACUCGCUAUGCUGGGCCUAGAGUGCGUCGAAGUCCGAUUUGCCCUCGACAGGACAUGAGUGCCGCAGUCGAGACGCACAGGUGUGCAGAGGCCGUCAGAGAUCAAGGAAGAAGAAGAUUGUGAGCAUGUACAUGCUGCGUUGUAUUACUGUAAUAAUCGGAUAAGAAAGAAGAAGAAAUAGAAGAGGAGAAAAAAAAGAAAAAGAAAAAGAAAGAGAAGAUCAUUAUAGUAAUUUUUUAGUUUUCUUGUUUAUCAUGAGAAAUUGUUUUGUCGAACACUAUAAAAAAUAAACUUUAGUUUAGUCGGUAGAGUUAUUUUCGCUCCAUCGGUAGAAUUGCUCGUGGCCUGAAGGCAAAAAAUCUGCUUCAGAAUCACUUAUGCCAAAUAGAGACUAGUAAUUUGAUAGAACCACACGUCUCUCCCGAUCGUAGGAAUUUGAUAGGUUCAUUUUCACCGGGGAAAAGAAACGGAGGAAGGAGAACGUUUAGAGAACCCGUGCCUCUGUCCAAUAUUUAUGAAAACAAGUCGGUUGUGUUUUGUCUGAAAGAGCAAGCACACACAUGCUCAGGAUGUGCUUUGCUGGGCACAAUGAACCUUUCAUGCUGAUGACAGCGUACGGUUGAUAUUGACACCGGCUAUCCAGUUCCAGUUCCAGUUCCAGCUCCAGCUCCAGUUCCGGUACCGGUACCGGUUCUGUAUAUAGCUUUUAAAGAUUGGGAAAACGCGCAGUUGGCGGUCAAUGCAGGAGGGAUAAGUCCAUGAUCAUUCUCUAUAUACGCAGGCAAAGGCAACAACCCAAGACACACUCAUCAUCGGUGGAGUAGAAGAAGCUCGAAGCUCAAUCUUGAACCUCUGCCAUUCAACCAAACCAGCCAUCUCUCUCUGUCUCACAUACAGCACUUGACACUAGCAAGACAGAUGGACUCAUCCCCAGCUGCACUCAUGAGGGUCGUGAGCUCGAUCGCCGGCGCCCUCCAUAGCAGGACGAUGGUGCCGUCGGCGAUGUUCUCCGCCGGCGUCGUCGAGGCGGUGGUGGCGCUCGCGUUCCUGGUCGCCAACACUCCUGAAGGUAUCUUCUCCCACCACGGCAAAGCACUUGCCGUCCUGUACUAUAUCAUCCUUGUGGCCGGGGUCAUCGUCGGCUCUGCGACAGCUUCUGCUUCUUUCUGGGUGGCACGCGAUCUCGAAGGCCGGCAUGCCACUGGCAUGGCGCUUCUAUGCGCGUGCACGUUCACUCUCAUCCCUGUCAUUGGGCUUCUCGUCAGCUUCUUCUUGCUCAAAAAGUAGCUUCUUCAGUUCAGACACCUUGUAAUGUUGGGAUUGUUGGAGUAUCUCGUAUGUAUGCUUGUAUGAUUGUACCAGAGUUUAGCUGCGUUCGUUUUGGAAGCUGAUAUUCGAAGGUGUUUUUGCCAAAUUUGUAGUGUCAUCUGUAAGUAAGAGAAAUGGUUGAUCUCAUCAGUCAAAUUUUCAGUCAAUUGUUCUGUCCAAAGAAAGAGUGAUUUUUGUUAUUGUGCUGUAAUGAUUUGUGUUUGUUCAAGGCAAUGAGAUUCUGGUGGCGCUGAGGUGGUGUAUCCUGUGUUUGUAUAUCUCUGCUACUUUGAAUUAUACGUCAAAUAGAAAAGCCAUUUGGUGUAACUUGGCUGGUCAUUAGCUUGCUGUUUGCAUCUGAAUCCACAUUAGCCGGAACAGAGCAACAAGGCUAUUGUGAUGAAGAUAACUGGGCGUACUCCGGUUCCAGUUCCGGUUCUGGUUCCCGUACCGGUUCCGGUUCCAGCUUUCUACGAUUAGUUUCAGAGAGUCUACUGAAGUCAACUUGCGGUAAAGAUGGUUGCGCCGUGGACAUCCUGAUUUGUCUCCGAUGCCUGCCCCGCUGCUUGACACAUGUCACCUUUGCUAGCACGACAUGUCAUCUGCGUGCCUGGGGCUCUAAGCUGUUGACGCACACACCAAGCUUGAUUAGUUCACCCCAAAAAUUAAUUUUUUUUUUCAAAAUUUCCUGUCAUACCGAAUCUUGUGGCAUAUAUAUGGAGCAUUAAAUAUAGACAAAAAUAAAAACUAAUUGCAUAGUUUACACUAUGAAUCACAGGAUGAAUCUAAGCCUAGUUACUCUAUAAUUGAAUAAUAUUUGUCAAAUAAAAAUAAAAAUGCUAAAAUUCCAAAAAUCAAAAUGUUUUGGGAACUAUACAAGGCCCAAAGCGAUAGAAGACAAGGACUGUAAUAGAUCGAUGAACUUUAUACAGGCUUGCAGCGACCUCGUAAAAACCCGGACAUUCUGUUUCACGACGCCGGACCAUCCUGUUUCGUGGUCUGGUUUAGCUUUUUUUUUAAAAAAAAUAAUCACGAUAGCACUUUCAUUUGUAUUUGACAAAUAUUAUCUAAUUAUAGAGAUUAAAUUUCUUUGCUUUCAUCUAAGAGCAAUUCCACCGGAUUGAGCAAGACCAAUUAUAUUUCCCUAUAUGAAGCAAUAAAAAAAACAUGAUCCUAUUUCGCUAAAGAAUUCUCAAUUCCUCGAAACCACACCUCUCCCCUUCAAACAAAAGAGAACAAGCAACAUUCUUUUUCUCGAUCUCCCUUUCUUUCUUUCUUUCUCUCUUUGCGGAGUUGUUCAUCGCGUACGAGCACCACCGUACCUGCGUAGCUUGGUUGUCGCGAUCAGAGUAGGUGAGCCGCACAUUAAAUUAGACAAAUUACAUUAAAUAAUGAGUUAAGUUCUCAUAUUAAAUUAAACAAAUAAGUCAAGUUCUCGCAUCAAAUUAAACAGAUUACAAUAUGUUAGACUAAGGCCCUGUUUAGUUUCUCACCAUCCAUCGCAUCGAAUCUCUGGACACAUGCAUAAAACAUCAAAUGUAGAUAAAAAAAUAAGGCAGAAUAGCCAUUUUAGUCCCUCAACUAUUACUCGAGGCUCAAUUUCGUCCUUUAACUUUCAAAACGUCCAUUUUAGUCCUCAAACUCUACUAUUAGACUCAAUUUCAUCCUAGAACUAUGAACAUGAUCGUUUUAGUCCUCAAACUUAGUAUUUUGAGCUCAGUUUCAUUUAAAAACUAUCAAAGUGUAUUUUAUUCUGUGAACUUUUAUUUUUAACUCAACUUUAUCUAUGUUGUACGUGGAAUGUUGCACUACUGCACAUGAUUAGCUCCACACCACCAGCGAUUGAAGAUAGAAAAAUAAUAUUUAUCUAAAAACUCUUUCAUGUCCAUUAAUAAUUCCAAGCUGUUAUGUUUAGCAUUACCUUAUACUUGUACCAUUUAUAUGUAUCCAACCAAAUUGAUAUUUGUGGAAAGAACUAUAGUUACAUCAAACACUAUUUAUUCUUCAAGAAUACAUGGAUAUAUUGAAAUAAUAGCAAAUCUAUAAUUUUGAUAAUUUAUGGAUGAAGUUUUGUCUAAAAUAUAAUGUUUUCUUUUUUAAUAGACAAAUUUGAGUUGAAAAUAAAAGUUAAAUGCACUUUAAUAGUUUAUGGAUGAAAUUGAGCUUAAAAUGCAAAGUUUAAGGACUGAAACAAUCAUCUUCAUAGUUGUAGGAUGAAAUUGAGCCUAAAACUAAAUUUUGAGGACCUAAAUGGCCAUUUUAAUAGUUUAGGGAUGAAACCGAGCCUCGAAUAAUAGUUGAGGGACCAAAAUGGUUAUUGGGCCAAAAAAUAAACUAAUUACACAGUAUGGUUAAAAAUCACGAGACGAAUCUUUUAAGCCUAGUUAGUCUAUGAUUAGGCUUAAGUGCUACAGUAACCCACAUGUGCUAAUAACAAAUUAAUUAUGCUUAAUAGAUUUGUCUUGCAGUUAUCAGACGAGCUAUGUAAUUUGUUUUUUUAUUAGUUUCUAAAAACCCCUCCCGACAUCCUUCCGACACAUCUGAUGUGACAUGAAAAAAAUUUUCAUCUCCAAUCUAAACAGAGCCUAAUAAAAUGCACCACCUAGAUAGUUGCCAUAUUAAAUUAGAUAAACUAUAAUAUUUAGGACUAACAUGCAUCCACUUGAAUAAUUGUUGUACGGUGAGUGAAAUUUUCUCUUUCUCUUGUACUAGGUUUUUAAAAUAGCGUCGCUGACAAGUGGACCUAAGUCGAAUCUGACCGGUGAAAACUCCUACCCUUCCGUUGGGCAUUCGCCCACAGCCGUGCUGCCCUGCCGCCACCCCGCCCCACCGUGUUCCGUGAACCAGCGCCAGCCCAGGGCAGGGCUGCUGUGCCUGUCCCGCUCGGCCGCUCCCCCGCCGCCCGCACCUCGCCGCCUGGCCCCUCGCGCUCCUGCUAUCGUGUCACCACCGCUGCCACCUGCCCUGGGCCUGCGAGAUGGCUCUCCGGUUUUCGCAUGUCGCAGCCCAACUAGAUCGGUGCUCCUGACUUCGAUCGGUGAGUCAGUUUUGUGCGUCGGCGUCGCCUAGGCCGGUGCUGGUUCUGUGCAGCUUGUGCAGUAGCGGAGGUGGAUUAAGCGCCGGGAAAGGGCGUGCUGCAAAAUCCCCUCCUAUUUCUGAAAGUACAUUGAGAUAUAAGGAAUUGAUUCAGGGCUUUUGGCGGUUUCUUUGUUGAACUAUUUGCAAUAGCAUUUGAAUAAUGAUAGCUUAUUAAAGAAAUUUCUUAGUAGAUAUACUGAUUUGGCUCUAGCGUAUGUUUGGGUCCGUAAUCUGCAGAGUCUCGCCCUCUUCCUGAAAGCGAGCAUGAGCAGUGCAAUCUGCACAACUGAUCUGCUCUCACAUAGCUAAUCAUCUAGGAUGUUUCUGCUAUAAGCUUGUAUACACAUAGUAUUAGGAUAGUAAUUUGUUUUAUGGAAUCAAAUUCCACAGUUUUGCAACUACCCCUCGGUUUCACCACAGGCUACAUGGGCCGUUAAUCUGAAUUCUGAACCUAGUCUAGCUCCGGCACUGCCCUCCACUUCCCCUGUUCCCCAUGUGCACACGCACCUUCUCUUUCUUUUAGCGUUUUUUUUCCUAAGAAAACUAUUUACCCGGCAUUACCUCUAUUAUCAAGAUUGACAUAAUUGUUGAUCAUGUACCACACAUGCCUGUAUUUUUUUUAAAAAAAAACCAUGAAGGUUUUUUUACUUUGAUUUUGUUUUUGUUUCCAAGUAGAUAAUAACAGGGGACAUGCUUCUCAACUCAGCUGUGCUCUAAUCAUAAAUAAUCUCUUAGGGAUAAAAUUAUUCUGCAUGGCAAUCAAGUCCAUAUCUUUAUGGACCAAGCAAAUGACCACAUGGAGGUAGGAUUAUUCCUUUUUUUUAAAAAAAACACUUUUCAUCCCUGCCUGGUCUGCUUUUAUCUAUUCUCUUUCCUUGACCCAAGUCAUUCAGAAAGGGGUUUUGGCUAUCAUCACAUGUUGUAUGUAUUUGGAGUUAGCUUUUUAUGUAAAUUCCUGCAAUGAUAUUCUCCCAAAUGAAAUUGGCUAAGAAUAAAUGUGCCAUCUCCAUGGUGGAUAUAGAAAAUCAGAAUAAACAGGUUGUAUAGAUUCACUUGUUGACUCCUGUUGCCUGUAGCUUCACUGUUGUUUCAAUUUAGGAGUGCCUUCUAUUGCUUAAUAGUUUUUGUUAAUACUAUGUUUUCACAUGCCAAAAGAAUUGACUAGAAACAUCAUGUACAAAUACAUUUGGAAUUGAAUGCCAUAGGUUUUUCAAAAUACUAAGCGUGGUCCUAAAUGCCUGUGUUUAAUUGGAAACCUGUCAUUCUCUACAUUUUCACCAAAUAAGGUUAAUCUUUGUGUUCAUAGCGCACCUACAUUGCUUUACACGGUGUAUCUUAUUUAGGCAUUCAACACAAUAUAUAUUUCCUCUUCCCCUUUGAGCUAUCACUGCAAACUUCUGUUUUUUUUCUUGAUUGAUGUGUGUAUGCCUCAGUCACAUGUGUAUUCUAUAUUGCAACAAUUUCCUGUUGUUGCUGUUUGGGAUGCAUGGGCAAUCUCGCAUGCUAUGCCAGUUCAAUAAAAACAGUGCUCAUGACUAAUUUUUCCUUUUGUUGUUAUUUUGUAUUCUUACAGAAUAGGUUGUAUCCGUACUUGCACCUUCAAUUCAUCUGCAUCAUUACAGCCAUAGAUAUUUUAUCUUGAUAUAUUUUGGCAUCUUCUUUUGACUCUCUAAUACUAGGUGUUUGAUGAUUUGCUUAUUUUGCACUUAUAUAACAUUAUAUGACUGACUAAAUUUACUAUUUAGCUACUGCAUGCAGCAUGGCAAUGAGGAUCUAUGGGCUUUGAACUACUCAGCUUUCUAAUUAAUUUUGUUAUUGCUGCUUUUCCAAUCUGCCUUUGCUCCUGAUCUUGGUGAAGACAUUGCUUCCUGAUAUAGGUGUUGGCCAGGUAACACACACAAGUGGAGAAUUUUGGAUCUGCCAGAGGGCAGCUUGGCCAUAGGCUGCUUCUUGCAUUAUAUAGCAAAAGCUUACUUGGUUUCCAAGGAAAAUAGUUCAACCAUUACAGCAUAUUCUAGUGCAUAAAGUAGAUGCUACCUAGAUGCUAAAGCAUCAGCUGUAAACAACAUUACAAUGAAUAGUAAAUUGCUAGAUAGAUAACUAGAUAUAUUGAGGAAUCAGCACUAGGCUUAACCCUCAAUAGGUACAUCCAGAAAACCUACUGCAUUCAGAAUGCUGCUUCUCUGUUUUCUGUAGAUGUACUACUGUUGUUCCUUCAAGCAGUUGUCCUUGGUUAUGCUGCAUAUUCUUUAUGAUGCAAAUUACUGGAGAAAUUAGUAACUGUGUAUGGUUCAACUGUCAUUUCACUGUUCUCAUGACUUCUUUGGUUUCCUCAGUAUUUGUUCAUGUUGUUUUAUGCUGCAAUGAUGGCAGAUUGGACAAGAAAAAGCAUCUGUGCCUAUGCACACUAGAUGAGAAAUACACUGAAAUACAACAUGUUUUUACACUAUCAUGCACUGGCUGAAAUUGUUUACAUGGUUGGUCUGCGGUUACACAUUACUUAUAUUACUUAUAACAUCAUGAGAGUAUCGCUGGAUGAGAAGCAUGAGCUUUGCAGUUUGUUCAUCUUAUCUCUAUUUUUUCUUUUAUGAAUAUUUUGCAUGAACUGGUCCACCACACCGGCAACAGUCAUGCAUAGUUUAUGCACUUGGAUAAAUAAUCUGCCUUGCCUUAGUCUUUCACUGUAGUCCAUCAAUCAGAAAUUGUUCUAAUUAGAUAUAAAAAAUUUGAAUGAUAAAAACAUUAGUUUUGCUAGCAGUCAAGAAAAUGCCUUUGCCACAUCGUUAAUUACAAAAGGUCACUGCAAUUUAAUUGCGAGAUAGCCUUACAAAAGGUUACUGCAAUUUAAUUGCGAGAUAGCCUUCUAUGCUGUAACAAAAUGACAAGGAGCUCAGAUAAACAAAUGGGAUGACGAGACAUCAACAAAUGUAUGGUUCCACAUUAUAAACAAUUAGUUAAAUAUGCAUAUAGCUUAGAGUUAUUAAGAUACUUGCCACAAAAUGAUGGACUGUUUUAGUGAUUUGCACAUAUCUUCUAAGAGAAGAGUUACAUCAAGAUGAAACCAUUUCAGAAGAAUUUGAUUUUGUUUUUUACAUGUUCAGUAAAGUAGCUAUUACCCUCUCUUGCUAUUUUAUAGUCAUUGUCAUCUAUUGUUAUUUUCGAGCUUAACUUUGGCUGAUAUUAACCAAUAUAACGGUUUGUCUUUUUUUACCAUGUGGUUUCAGGAACAGACUAACAGUGCUCCAUCACUAUGAACUUCCCUAAUGUAAGCUUGCCUUGGGACAUAAUGAGUAGCUACAGCUUGAAGGACCGAAAACGACGACCAACCGGGGGGGGAGGGGGUCAAAUUUCUUUCAAAAUAGUUGGCCAUUGUUCCAAGAUCAAAGCCUAAAAGCAACUCACACUCGAGCGGAACACAAGAGUGUGAGAUACACGAGCUAACAAGUAGCUAGAUACAUCAAGCGAAGUCUUAGGCACACCAGAGAACACUCAAACACAGAAUAGAUCGAACCCUUUGAGAGUGAGGUGAAAAAGCUUUCUCUGAUAGUCUCAGACUGACCGUGGUACAAGCACUGGACUGUCCGUGGUACAAGCACCGGACUGUCCGAGAUUGAGGGUUGGACUGUCUGAUGUUCAACUCCUAGAAAGCGGCGGACUGCCUGUGGUCAGGCCCGGACUAUCUGUAGGUCAAAACACAAAAACCACACCGCAAGAAACUAGUUCUGUCUGCUGAGAAACAUGAACCACGCACUGUCUGGGUUUUGGGGCGGACUGUCCGGCAUUCAAAAUAGCGAAAAACGAAGUUGGAAACAUGUUCUGGAUGCAGAACACGCAGGAUUGACGGACUGUCCGUGAUCCAAGCCUGUCUGUGAUCGGGCACCCGAAGGGGCUGCCGUUUGCGAUACAAACAGUAACGGCAGACUAUCCUCGGUCUAGGGGCGGACUGUCCGCAGGUCAAGAAAUCAGCGCGAACAAAGUCACCCGGUUGAAGAAAAAUCUUGAUUUGUGGCUAAAUCAAAACCAAUUGCCACCAAAUUUUAACCACAUGGUCACAAGGCAAUAGGUGAGCUACCUCUAAGAGAUCAUUGCCCAAUUUGAAGUCAAUCAAUGAAAAAUUGGAUGAACACGAAAAGCACCGAUUUUUCUCCCCGAAAGCUUGAUUCGCCCCGAUCUAUGAACUCGUGUGGAAUUGGUUGAUUUUCUUUAGUGGAAAGGCUCAACUCAUGUCAUUGCUCAAGCCAAUGCAAAAAGAACGAAUCAAAUUGGUCUCAAAAUGACGAAUCAAGGCAAGAACGAGAGGGGGAAACAAGAACGCGAUUCACAAAAGCAUCUCACAAAAUUAAAUCUCGGGGGACACAAGGAGGUUAAGGCCUCCAUCCUCGUAGCAAAUCUCAAUGCUUACAUAAAUUUUUGGAUCUAUGGACCUCUCCCACUCAAGAAGACUAGAGGUAGGGAAAAACCUAAGUGGAUGGUGGCCCACUCAAAAAGACUAGAGGUAAGGAAAAACCUAAGUGGAUGGUGAAAAAUAGGAAAUAAAAGACAUGAGAUGGGUUUGGGGCUCCCAUCUCUUAUUUAUAGGACUAUUACACAUUUCCCAUUUUAGAGUGAACUAGUUAGCCACAGGGGCAUUCUAAUCCAAUUCGAUAUAGUUUUCAUGCGACGGCCACAACGCCUCUCAUAAGGUAGCUUCGCCUCGACGCGAGCUCCUUGAUGCCGCCACAUGCCGUCUGUUCCUCCUCGGAACAUCGGCCUAGGUUUUGAGGUCCAAACCCGCGAAACCCGCCGCAAGUAGCAUACUCCAUACGCGUCUCUUGCCACUCGACAUGUGUCACCGCCGUCUUCGACCGGCUGCCCGCCAAGUCUUCCCGAGAAUCGCUCGACUCGCAUGUCUGUCGUCUUGACUUGGUCAACACGGUCACUCUCAUGUACACUUACGCUUAUCGAUGUCCUAGGUGUCAGCCACCACGGCUGAUCACCCGACCUCCUGGUCCGUCAGUCCAAUCCUCACGUCCGUCCUUCACCGCUCCGGGUCCAUCAGCAUGACAUGUCUCUACUUGACAGUUGACAUUCACCUCGCCAUCGACCACCGCCUCCGAGCUCCAUACCUACAUACCAUAAGCCAAUAGACAUGUCGCACGACUCAACUCACGUCAAUAGUUAGUCACCAACUCAACCUAUUUCGUGGAUCACGUUGACAAUCACUCAUUAUAAAUCGAACCAUAAGGACACAUUUCAAUCUUAUGUUCCCACAACUGUCGUAGCCUAGUAACACGUACACAGAGGUUUGGAGACGAUUCCCCUGGUGUACUCAAAUUUAUAGGAACAGGAAGGCCAUCGAACUCGUUGAUUCUCAUUUAUAUACUGAAAUGCAUUCUUGCCACUUUAGUUAUUCUGCAAUUGCUCAAUUCCUUCGAUGAACUGAAAAAGGGACGUAGCCACAACGAAGACACUAAGAAAUGCAUGGUUCCACAUUAGGAACGAUUAAGCAUCUGAAUCAUUAACAUAUUUGCCACAAAAUAUGUUUUUAAGAGUAUUUUACAGUUGCACUGGGAUAGUGAUCUCCACCUAAUACCUACUAGUAUAAUGCCGUGCUAACGUUACAGUUUAAUUUUGGGAUGUUUCUAAAAACAAUAAUUAUAGUUUGGAAAUAUUUUUUCAUGUAGCAAGGCGUAAUAGAGCUAUUUGUCGUAUUAUGAGCAUCUAUGUUACAUUUUGUCUAAUUCUUUAAUCAUGUAUUGGACAUCUUCAGGAAUGUUGUCGAAACAUUCGUUUGCUUUGGUCACUAAAAUGUCCGCCAAAAAUUCCAUCCUCUCCGAUACCAGCUUUACAGACAUUCUCCUCUCGUUCUUUCCCAUCUCAUCUCAUGUCAACGACAGCAACACACAGUGUCCAGUCAGUGACUGUCAACGCUACCAUGCAUUUUACACCCUUUUACCAGGGUUUUUUUUUUCUCUUUUACGUACACAUUUGGAGUAAGUACUGUAACUAAGAAGAGUCUGAAUGGCACAACGAAACAAAAUGAAUGAAAUCUAUAACCCUUCCCCCGUCGCACGCUGUCACUGCUGUGUCUGUAUUUGGACCCAGAUCCCCUCGCUAGGGAUGUGCCCGUUCACCACGAACACCAUGUAGUACCCCGAUGGCGCCAGCACCGCCGUCGCCGGCAUCGUCACCGACGCAUUGAACGUGCCGGCUCGACCACGCACCGCCACGUUCUUGGUCACGUCAAGGAACAGCAGCCGCUGGUUCAUCGCGAACGAGUGCGUCGUGAACGACGACGCCACCAUCGUCACCGACACGUCACCGAGGCCCGCGGCACCGCCACGCCUCCUCCGUGCCGAUGCCGGGACCGAGAACUGGAGCGUCAUCGUCGCCCCGUAGGCCACGCUCGUCGGCGCGCCGGUCGGGGACGGUUCGAGGAUCCUCGGCCGGAGCAUGUCGUUGGACGCAUCGAGGUACUCCGACGAGAAGGCUUCCAGGCUGAGGUCGGUGGGGAACUGCACGUUGCUGAAGUUGUAGUAGGUGUGCGGGUUGCUGCCGCCCACCAGCAGGUGGUCGUCGCGGAGGAGAACCACCGAGGAGUGGUACAGCCGCGCGACACCCGUCGCGGUCUGCUCCUCGAACCGGUCCCCCGACGAGUGGUCGGGAGGUAGACGACGGGCGCGUACGCGGGGGUCUUGGCGGACUCCCACCCGGCGGUGCCGUCCGCGGCGCCAUUGAUGAUCGCCACCUCCGCGCCGUUGGGCAGCAGGAUCAUGUCGCCCAUCACCCGCGGCGACAGCAUUGUCUCGAUGACCCACGCCGGCGCCGCGUCGGUGAUCUUGAUCCGCCCGCACGUCGUCAGCGCCGGGACGAAGGUGCCGGCGCCGCCCUUGGUGGAGUUGUAGGAGCCCACCGGCGCGACACCGCAGACCAGCACCUCGGCCUCGAUGGGGUUGGGUUUCAGCGGCAGCAGCACCAAGGAGCCCGAGCUGGGGUAGUUCCGCGGGUCGCCGUCGCCCAGCACGGGGUACGUCCGCACGAUCCUGUUGCUCUUGUAGUCCAGGAGGACGGCGCGGUUGUUGGAGAAGAUGAAAAAGUUGCCAUCUAUGUUGAGGUGCACGAACGGAUAAAGAUUGUUCUCCUCGAGAUCCUUCGUCCGUGCCAAAAAUGACAUUUGGACGACAGACGUAUCCGACGGGCCGGCCUUCGGGUAGAACUCGUAGUUGAACUGCCUCCGGCCACCGACGAUGAACGCGCGGCCAUCGUGGAGGAUCUGGUUUGUGGCGUACCACCGGUUGGCGGCGAGCGCGUCCUGCUUCUCGGACCAGUCGCAGCUCUUGUCGUCCCCGGUGCCGCCGCACGCGGGCAUGGUGCGCGCGUUGCGGAACCCGUCGUUCCAGCCGCCGGUCUGGACGAGCGUGCCGUCGGGGGCGACGGUGGCCGAGGAGCACCAGGUGUCGGUGAAGAUGGAGAGCGGGCGGAACGCGUUGGCGGCGACGUCGUACUCGGCGGCCCGACGCGAUACGGAGUUUGGCGAGUGUUGGGCCUUCCUCCACGGCCGGGAUCGGCAAGUUGCGGUCGCCCUUCCUCUACGGCCGGGAUCCGCAAGCUGCGGCACCAGCCCGACGCGAUACGGAGCUUGGCGAGUGUUCGGCCUUCCUCCACGGCCGGGAUGGGCAAGUUGCGGCAGCAGCCCGACGCGGUUUUCUGCGAAUACGGAGUUAAGGAGUUUUUCACGGGAGUUUGGCGAGUGUUGCGAUACGGAGAUGACGCGAGGCGACGCGUGAGGGCGGAUGUAAGGUUGUGAUCAUACUUUUAAUCUGAGCCGUCUAAUCUGUAGGACAUGUGCUGUGAGUCGUUGAUCUUACAUGUGAGAUUUGCUUGGAGAAGAUUUCAAUUAUAGUAGAGAAUAUUUUGUCGUAAUCAGGAUGUCUGCAUUGUCGAUGAAUAAAGAAGUGGUUAGCUCCACCUCCACGUUAGGGCGUCCGGUUCAACCAAAUAGCAAGAUGACGUGGACAUGCGAUCAAAUAAAAAAGAGAAAAUUUAAAGUGCAUACUAUACAUUGAAGAGAGAGACUGACACAGUAUUCAUAGCAACUCGUGCGAGCUUCUCACUCCGUUCUAUUAAAAGUGACAUUUUUGACUUUUAAUUACCGUAUUUGAUCAUUCAUUUUAUUUAAUUUUUAUAAAUUGUAAAAUAAAUAAAUUAUUAUUAAGAUAUUUCUAAUAAUAAAAUAAGUCAUAAUAACAUAGUUAAUUAUAAAAUUUUUUAAUAAGACAAAUAGUCAAACAAUAUGGUACAAAGUUUAAAACGUCACUUUUAUUGGGACUCAGAGAGUAAGACCUUGUUUAGUUGAGAAGGUGAAAGUUUUUGGAUACUGUAAUACUUUUGUUUUUAUUUGACAAUUAUUAUCUAACCAUGGACUAACUAGACUUAGAAGAUUCGUCUCACAAAAUAUAGGUAAACUGUAUAAUUAGUUAUUUUUUUAUUUAUAUUUAAUAUUCCAUAUAUAUAUCGCAAGAUUUGAUGUGACUGUGAAUCUUGAGAAGUUUUUAGGUUUUAGGGUGAAGCCUAAGCGAUUUGCUCAUUGCUAGCUAUAGACCUAUAGUGCAAUUCUCAUGCUCUCUCUCCUCUAAACACUAUAAAAAAUUAUGAUACUGGCUAUUUGGACAGCCCGCCGGAGCCGCCCUUGCGUGUGUUUGGUUGGGUUGUUAAGAGGUGUUUGGUUUGAGUUUAGCAUUUUUGUUUUAUUUAACAAUUAAUAUUUAAUUAUAGACUAAUUAAAUUCAAAAGAUUCGUCUCGUAAAUCAUUCUCUAAAUGUAUUUUUAGUUUCAUAAAUAGUCUAUAUUUCGUAUUUUAUAUAUAUGUCCAAACAUUUGAUGUGACGGAUGAUAAAUUUUACGGGCCAAACAAGUUCUAAAAUUUAAUAGAUACUAUAGCAUUUUUAUUUUAUUAAGUAAUCAGUGUCUAAUCAUAGAUUAAUUAAACUUAAAAGAUUUGUUUCGUAAAUUACUUUCUAACUAUAUUUUUAAUAUAUAUAUAUAUAUAUAUAUAUAUAUAUAUAUACGGUAGCGCUAUUCUACACCCUAGGUGUAGAAUAUUAUUCUACACCGCAAGUCAAAAUUGAGCUGAAAAAAUACCGAACAGUACUGAGCAAUGUUCAGUAUCAUUCAUGACUACACCUAGGACCACGAAAUACCGAGUAAUACUGAAACGUAAAUACUGAAUGAUACUGAAUUCUGCUCAGUAUAACAGUUCGAUGUAGAAUAGUAUUCUACACCUAGGGUGUAGAAUAGCACUUGUAUAUAUAUAUAUAUAUAUAUAUAUAUACCAAAAUUCAGUAUCGCUCAGUAUUCGUGUUUCAGUAUUGUUCAUUAUUUUGUGGUCUUGAGUGUUGAACAAGUUGAUACUGAACACUCUCCAGUACUGCUCAGUAUUUUUUCUACUCAAUUUUGACUUAUGGUGUAGAAUGAAUAAUAGUUAUAUAUAUAUAUAUAUAUAUAUAUAUAUAUAUAUAUAUAUAUAUAUAUAUAUAUAUAUAUAUAUAUAUAUAUAUAUAUAUAUAUAUAUAAAUAUUUAAUGUUACGGGAGUAACGACGCCGACUCAUGAAGUAGUGAGACAGGCCACACGGCCCGAGGCGUUUGUCACUUUUGCCGUUCCUUUACCAGUUUUCUACCACCCGCAUGCGGCUUUACUCCUCUGAUUCUGCUCUGCUUUGGCUACCCUCUCUUUUGCUUCCUCCUCCGUUGACCAUUGCUCAAGAACAAUGCCUCGGCCAGAUCUGAUGGAGGUGGCAGAGGCAACCAAUCUGGAGGCCGCGAUUCUAUGGCUGGUGCAAACCAUCCUCGGAGCUCUUCUGCCAGGAAAACUUGCCGAUUGGCUUCGUGAAGCCGGCCUCGCCGGUGCCAUCGAGGAACUCAAAUAUGAGGUGGAGAGGAUGGAGACGGUGGUUAAUGGUGUCAAUGGAAGGGCGGUCGGGAACAAGCCGCUUGCCCGCUCCCUCGCUCGUGUCAAGGAGCUCAUGUAUGACGCUGAUGACGUGGUGGAUGAACUUGACUAUUACAGGCUCCAGCAACAGGUCGAAGGAGGUAUGUAAGCAUCCAUCCUUGCGAUUUGUGUUUGUUUCUACUGUUCUUCCUUCUAGAAAUUGUGAUCAUAACUUUCUCCUUUCUCAUCUGUCAGUUAUGGUUGCUCCUGCUACUGAGCCGGAAGGCAUGGUUGUUGGAGAUGGAGCAGAGCAAGCAGUUGCAUCGACCAAUACUGUUGGUAUACUUCGAUCCUCGUGAUUUGUGGUUUUCCUUUACAGUUCGGUUUUCCUUUUGAAUAAUCUGUGAUUAUAAACACGCCCUCGUACCAUGUCAUCGUUUACUCCUUUCUCUGUCAGUGAUGCUUGCUCCUGCUAUUGAACCGGAAGGCAUGGUUGGAGAUGGAGCAGAGCAUGCUGAUCCAUCCGCUAGUACUGCUGAUAUAUCGGCCAACAACGGGCGCAAAAAUCGAUCCAAGGAGCGGGACUAUUUUCACAUUACACCAGCGGUAAAUGGACAACCUGGGAGAGCGAAGUGCAUUGAUUGUGGCACACAGGUUAUUUUUAGUCACGGCACAUCAGUUUUGCGCAAGCAUCGUAACAGUGCUAGUUGCAAGAAAAAACGUGCAGCGAUUGAAGAGGUGCCGAACUGUCCAAGGUACUGCUUACCCCUCAAGUUCUGGAUUGCAUCACUUUCGAAUAUCCAAUUAUGUCUGUUAUGGUAAAAAAACAAGGGACCCAGUACAUUGGUCAUGCAUAGAAGUUUUUAUAUGACCGUUUCAUUUGUUUUGGAAAGAAAUGAUUGGUUCAUUUAAACUAUGACUUGCAGUGCAAAUCUGAAUUGUGCUAAUAAAUUUGGGAUAACCAACCUGCGAUCCUUUUCCUCUUGUAGUGCCGGCGAUAGUAUACAAAAUGGUGCCACAAUUUCAACUUAUGAUUUAGAGGGCAGAAAAAGAAUGAGAAUUGAGUACAGUGUAUCUACUACCACACACCUCUGGGGCAAGGCCGAUUUUUUUAUAAGGAUCCAGGAAAUAGCUCUUGAGUUACGGAGCAUCCGAGGCGAUGUGAUUGAGUAUCUUAAGGACUCUGUUGCAAGGUCUGAUCAGUACCAGAGUAACACCACCUCAGAUGCACGAGUAAGAACAUCAGGCUCUCUUCUUGGAAGAGUCUAUGGAAGGUAUAUUGAGAAACAACGCAUCAUGAGUGUUAUAGAAGAUGCUAAGUCGGACAACAUAACAGUACUAGCUAUUGCGGGCAUUGUAGGAGUUGGGAAGACGACUUUAGCUAAACUGGUAUACAAUGAUGUAUUUGUUAAAAGACAAUAUGAGCGAAUAUGGGUUUGGGUGUCCAACAUCUUUGACGAAGUAAGAGUGACAAGGGAGAUCUUAGAUGUUGUUACUAUGGCCAGCCAUGAAGGAUCUUGCAAAAAAGAAAGCUAUGAAGGAGUCAGCAACUACUCGAAGCUUCUAGAGGUCUUAAAGAAACAUAUGCCAUGUCUGUCCAAAAAGUUUCUACUUGUUCUAGAUGAUGUCUGUGACUGCAUGGAUCAUUCCCAAUGGGACGAUCUCUUGGAUGCAUUGGGAUCAAGUUGCAUAAACGGUAAUGUGAUUAUUGUGACAAGUAGAAAUUUAUCCGUUGCAAAAAGGCUAGGUACAGUCAAACCAGUUGAAGUAAGAGCUCUUGAAAAUGAUGAUUUUUUGCAGUUCUUUAGAGCUUGUGCAUUUGGUGAUAACAAUUACAAAGAGCAUCCAGACACCAGCCAACAAAUAUGUGCAAAGUUGAAGGGAAACCCAUUAGCAGCGAAAAGUGCCGUGGAAAUGUUAAGAGAGCAUCCUACUCUUGACCAUUGGAAAAACAUCAUUAAGAAUGGUAUUUGGGAAUCUAUGCAACUCCGUGGAGGCAUUGUGACUACAUUGAAGAAUAUCUAUUACCAUCUACCCUACCAUUUACAACAAUGUUUCUUGGUGUGUUCUAUAUUCCCUAAUAACCAUCAAUUUCAUAUUGAUGGUUUGAUCUCCAUGUGGACAUCAUCGGGAUUUGUGAAAUCUAUUGAGGUAGGACGAGAUUAUCUCAAUGCUUUGGUCAACUUAUGUUUCUUUGAGCAAGUUGGAACAGAAUAUGACUCAGAACAAUGCUAUGUUAUGUGUGGUAUGAUGCAUGAAUUUGCGAGACUGAUUUCAAGGACCGAGUUUGCAACUAUAGAUGGUUUCGAGUGCAAAGUGUUGCCAACCGUGCGCCAUUUGUCAAUUCAAAUUGAAACUAAUUUGGAGUACCAUAUAGAUGAAUGUGAGAUCCUAAUUCAUAAUGUGAAGUUUGAAGAAAAAUUGCAAAGUAUAGCUUCUUCAUUGAGGAGAUUGAGGACGGUGAUCUUAAUUGGGGACGAUUCUUUAUUCGUCCUGAAGUCCUUCCAUACCUUUAUUUCCAAUUUGGUAAAUUGUACCCAUCUUCGCUACUUAAAACUUGGGAAGAAACUCAUCAAUGAAUAUUUGCCUAUAUCUCUAAGCAAGCUUUACCACCUUGAAAUAUUAGAUGCUGGGUGCCGAGCAAUUGUAAAUGAUCUCAUAAGCAUGAGGCAUCUUGUUCUAACAAAGGGAGCAUGCAGCCCUUCCUCCAUAGCUAGGUAUGCUAGCUUGCAGACGAUCCAUAUUGAGGAUUGUAAAGGAUGGGAAGUACUCACAUCUCUAGAAAGUCUGUCGUCUCUUACAAAGUUGAAGUUAAGGAAUAUGGUGGAAGUAACAGAGUUGUUAAUACCUUCGUUAGAGGAGCUGGUGUUGACUGAUAUGCCAAAGUUGUAUAGAUGUUUCAUCAAUUCAGUGGAGGACUUGAACUCAAGUUUGAGGAUCCUGAAGAUCACAAGUUGCCAGGUACUUAUGUCCUUUCCCCUCUUUGAGAGGGGUGAAAAUUUUGAAAUCGAGCAAAAGUCAUGGUUGCCCAAUGUUAGCAAGCUAACCGUCUAUGGGUGUCCUCAUUUAGUGGUAUCAAAUCCUGUACCACCAUCAAGUAACUUUUGUAAAUUUUUCAUCGCAAAUAUUUUAACACUUCCAACCAUGGAAGGAUCAUCAAACGGAGAAAUGAAAAUUGCAAGGCAUCUUGUUCUCUCGAGAUUCAAGGAGUUGUCACUGGACGACAAAUUUUUGUCAUUCCACAACCUGAAGACCAUAACUCAAUUGCAAAUAGUGGGAUUGAUAAUGAGUGUAUUGUCUAUGUCACCCAAAGGUCUCAUGCAACUUGUCAGCUUGAAGAGGUUGGAAAUAUGCUACUGCAGAACAAUUUUCUCUUCGGAUGUUCCGUCAACGCAAGCCCAUGAAGACAUGGCAGCCACAGUUUUUGAUGCCCUCCCAUCUCUCGAGUGUCUCAAGAUUAUGUAUUGUGGAAUAACCGGAGAGUGGUUAUCUGUGAUGCUGCAACAUGUGCGAGCCUUAGAGGAAUUGUAUCUAGAAAGUUGUAAGAAGAUACCAGGGCUAAUGAUAGAAAGGGAAGACAGUAGUUUUUCAAAUCUCACCUUGGCUCCACGUGCUUCGUCACAGGGAAAUCCAGAUUGUGCAUCAAAAAGGUCAUGUUCUGAACUCCUGUGCAUUCCAUCUAAUCUCGUUCCCUCUCUCAAGAAGAUGUCUAUUAAAUUUUGUGACCUAACAAAGUUCCAAGGAAACAAGGAAGGAUUCUCUGGAUUCACCUCUCUUGAGGAGUUAAGUAUUUAUGGAUGCCACGAGCUGAUACCGUCUUCGGUACAUGGAGACGAAAUCGAUGAGAAAGCAAACGGAAGAUGGCUUCUCCCGUGUUCACUUGGCGUAUUGGAUAUCAGAGGCUUUUCCCUGGAAACGCUGCAGCCCUGCUUUCCGGGAGAUCUGACCCGCCUCACGGUACUAGAAGUGUCAGAUAUCAAUGCAUUGAAAUCUCUACAGCUGCAUUCCUGCACAGCACUGGAAAAGCUGACAAUUAGAUAUUGCGAAUCGCUGGACGCACUAGAGGGUUUCCAAUCCCUCUGCAGUCUCAAGUAUUUGGAAGUAUACAAAUGCCCUGGUUUACCUCAAUGUUUGGAGAGUCUAUCAACGCAGGGUUAUGAGCUGUGCCCUCGUUUGGAAAGCCUUCGGAUUGACGACCCGUCUCUUCUUACCAUGCCAUUCUGCAAGCACCUUACCUAUCUCCAAUGCCUACAACUCGACGGCAAAUAUGGAGAUAUCGACGCGGCAGGACUAACAUGGGAGCAAGAGGCAGCGCUUCAGCUCCUCACGUCCCUGCAAGAGCUCCGAUUCGAAGAUUACCGCAAACUCUCGGAUCUUCCCGUGGGUCUGCAUAGCCUUCUCUCUCUCAAGCGACUGGAGAUCUUUUAUUGCGAGAGUAUCUCAAGGCUGCCACCAUCGCUGGAAGAACUGGAGGUCUACGAGUGCAGCAAGGAGCUAGCCGAGCAGUGCAGAAUGCUAGCAACAAACAAGCUAAAGGUAAUUAUCGAUGAUGAAUAUGUGAACUGAUUACUGGGUGGCUUGUUUAGCAAACGUGUCUACCAGAACAUCAAACGUUCCCGACAUCGCGUUGACGCCUUGGAAGGUACAUAUGCUUCUACAGCUGACCAUGUUUAUCUUCAGGGUUUUUAUACGUGGCUGUAAUGCUGAAGUAAGAAGUCUCUUUACAGGCAUUCAAAGCUACCAUCAUAUGGCUGCAGUGGCUGUUGUCAGAACCAAUAGGAGUACCGUACGAGUAUUACAAGCUGUUCGAGCAAGUGUUGAAAGCCCCUCCUGUUUUUCCUAGGUGGCCCUGCUACAAGGCUUGUAUUGGCCAAAGAUGAGGGGCCAAAAAUGUUUUUCUUUAUUAUACUCUGUAGACUAAAAAAACCUGGAUUUGCUGUGCAAGGUUCUCUGGUUUUGCACAGGCUUUGUUCCACUUGUAAACCUUGUCCUAACGUGCUCAUGUUGCUGAAUACGGUUUUGGUCAUAGGCUUGCCGCCUUGCUGAGAUAGAUGUCCAUGUCAUAUGACUGAAAGAGGCCUGUUUAGUUCCCGUGGAUGUUUCCUGUGUAUUCUGUAUACUACAGAAGGGACUCUAAGAUAUGUACAGCCCACUUUACAUCAUAGAGAAAAUAGUUGGUGUAAAUAAUCGCACCACAACUUCCUUGCUAACACAUGCAAAAUGCUCUGAAUCUACAGCAUGACAAUGCCCAGUUUUCGGCCUCUGAUGUGAUGAAGACAGGGCUAACAUGAUGGGUUUGAAGCAACCCGUUUCGCUCUGACCCUCUGUGCUAGAGAUGAGGAUUCAUAUUAAUGAUGGUGCAGCGAUGCAGACAAGAAAUGAGUUACACCAAUCCACAAGAGUAGAAUUUGCAACAGAAAUAACAAUCUUAUAUUCAAACUUUUUUUCGCAUCAGUAGAACUACAAAAAACACAGUUCCUCAAUUCAUCUAAAACCACACACACUCAAAUUAUAUUGACUUGUCGUAGGAUCAUACAUGUUCUAUGUGCUGAUUUUUGUGAUCACGUCAACCGAACCAUCUAAAUGAUACAUUCAUGGCUCAAAAAAUAUUUAUCUAUACACUUAAUUUUUACUGAAAAAAUACUCAUUACAAAGAUCUAUAUAUUCUAGAACAAUACAGAUGACAAGUUUGGCACAAGAACCACAAUGCCGAACACCUAAUUUUCAGCUAGAUCGAUAGAAGACUUGAGGUUAAAUACCAUCUACUAGAGCUAACUCCGCGCAAAACCAAUCUUGUGAAAUUAUUUGGGAAACAAAUAGUCCAUGCUCUAAUGAUGAAUCCAUUAGUUUUGUAUGGAGGGAUGCCCCAUUGUUUUGCCAGGUUGUUGACACCCAUUGCCACUUGGACAGAAAACCUACAGAUUUGGUAGAGGUAGCGACAUCUGCCAGAAAAGAGGACAUUAAAAGCAAACAAACAGAGAAACAAAGUUCUCAAGGAACAACUUAAUAUUAUUUUUGUCAAGAUAAAUGAGCUGGGAAAUCCAUCAAUACAUGGUUAGUUAAUUAUUCCUUCAUGAAGCAGGACAUUAAAAGCAAACAAACAGAGAAACAAAAUUCUCAAGGAACUACUUAAUGCAGCUGGGAACUACUUAAUAUUAUUUUUGUCAAGAUAAAUGAGCUGGGAAAUCCAUCAAUACAUGGUUAGUUAUUUAUUCCUUCAUGCAGCAGGACAUUAAAAGCAAACAAACAAAGAAACAAAGUUCUCAUGGAAUUACUUAAUAUUAUUUUUGUCAAGAUAAAUGAGCUGGGAAAUCCAUCAAUACAUGGUUAGUUAUUUAUUCCUUCAUGCAGCAAGAAUUUACAACAAGUAAACUUAAUCUGUCCACAGACUAUACUUCACUUAAGAUUUCUUGUUUGCAACUAUAUAUUCAGAGUAGGUCAAAACAUGCCCAAAUAUGGAUGCAUAUCAGUUUUGGAGUUUUCCUUUAGCAUUUUCUCCAGUACUCUCAUAGAAGAACACUUAAGGUGGUAGAUCUCAAGCAAUGCAACAUAUCAAAAUCAGAAUGAAUAUAAGGCAGGAGACAGAUGACUGAAAUGGACAGUUCCUAUAGAGUUGAUGAUUUGUAUAGGCCACAAUGUCAUGAAUAAAAGAGAGGUCACUAACCUUAUGCAUCCAACUCUACUGUUCGAUGAUCCAAAGUCCAAACAUAACGUGAUGUUGCCUUCUCAAAAACUCACCUGAUUAUGCAACUGCCCGAUGGUCCCUUUCUCUGCAUACAAGCAACUAUUUAUUCAGUUCAGAACUUUGAACACAACACUGAGGUUCCCAUGAGGCCACGGCCAAUUUUCUAGGAAUAAGUACGUCAAUAUAGCAGUGAAUAAAACUUCUUAUAGAAGUGGAUGAGUGCAGUGUGAAGAUGAACACACAAGUAAUAUACAUUCAGGGCAAACCUCAAUUUCAUGAAAACCAGUCCUGUAGCAUGAAAGACUAUUGCUACCAAUUGAGGAGAAAAUCCUUUUAAAUUAAACAAAAAGAAACUAAUUAGCUCGGUUUGAGCAUACAACAUGGAUAGAAAUGUAUGAAUAUAUUUUUUAUUAUAUUGAGGCAGUAGGAGGUAGUUACUGGAGUAAGAUUCAUAGAUGACAAGAAAAUGUACACACUGUGGACCUGGUUUGAUAGCACGAAAUACAUAAAUGAUAUCUGUUGAGUCGCAUUGCAGGCCACCAUAAACAUCAUGAUCUACACAUGGAUGCAAAUUCCAACUGGGAGACAUACCUCUGGGCGUGAUGUAGGCUGGGGUGCUGCAAAACAAUGAGAAGAGGAAUAGGAUUAAUCUGACAGAGACCAUAGUGUCGGUAGUUUAGCGCAGAGCACGAUUAGGAACCCAGAAGAAAUCCUGGCUGGGACGACUCCUCCAUGGGCUCAUCCGUGUCCAUCUGUGAGCUAUCCUCCUUGCCUAGGAACGCCUCGAAGGGCGUGAGCCCAGCGGCUGUGGCGUCGGAGCGGCAGUCGGAUAGGAAGCAGAUGAGGGAGACGUGCUCCAGCUGCAUCGGGGGCUCACCCGACGGCGAGCUCCCCACUGCUGUCGCGACCUUCGCCUUCACCGCCGUCCCGCCGGGGUCGCAGUGGCAUGGCGCGCAUUGUCGCUGCGCGGCCGCGGGGUCUUCGUCGUCAGCAUCGCCGGCGGACGAGCGGCGAGUCAGUCGGAGGAAGAACCCCACGGACUGGGCCCUGGGCCGGCAUACUCGUUUGGGCUACUGGCCCACAGCAUAGACUAGUCGAUGCUUUGUCUGAAGAACCCCACGGACUGAACGUGCUCUCCCAUUGCUUCCUCCUCCGUUGACCACCGCUCAAGAACAAUGCUUCGGCAAGAUCUGCUGGAGGCAGGAGAGGAAAACGCAGUGUUGGGCGCGAUUCUAUGGCUGGCGCAAACCAUCCUCGAAACUCUUCUGCCCACCGGCGAGCUUGACGCAUGGCUUCAACGAGCUGGACUCACAAGCGCCAUCGGAGAACUCAAGUCUGAGGUGGAGAGGAUAGAGACGGUGGUUAAUGGUGUGGAGGGGAGGGCGGUCGGGAACAAGCCGCUUGCCCGCUCUCUUGCUCGUGUCAAGGAGCUCAUGUAUGACGCCGACGACGUUGUGGAUGAACUUGACUAUUGCAGGCUCCAGCAACAGGUCCAAGGAGGUACAUGUACAUCUUGUUUACAGUUCUUUCUUCUGAAAACUGUGAUGAUAGUAACUUUCUCGUUUCUCUGUCAGCUGCUAUUGAGCAGGAAGGCAUAGUUGUAAAUGCAGCAGAGCAAGUAGAUGCAUCGGCCAAUGCUGUUGGUAUACAUCGAUCCUUGUAUUUUGUGAUGAUAGUUUUUUUUCUUCUUUUGAAUAAACUGUGAUUAUAAACGCGCUUACCAUGUCACCGAUUUCUCCUUUCUCUGUCAGUUAUGCUUGCUCCUGCUAUUGUGCCAGAAGACAUGGUUGGAGAUGGAGAUAGUAGAGCUGGAGCAGAGCACGUAGCUGCAUCGGCUAGUACUGCUGGUAUAUCAGACAAUAACGCCCGAAAAAAUCGUUCCAAGGAGCGGGACUAUUUUCACAUUACACCAGCCGUUAAUGGACAGCCUGCGAGAGCCAAGUGCAUUGACUGUGGUACACAGGUUGCUUUUAGUUACGGGACGUCAGUUUUGCGCAAACAUCGCAACAGUGCCAGUUGCAAGAAGAAACGUGCAGCGGUUGAAGAGGCGUCGAAUUGUCCAAGGUACUACCUAUCCCUCAAGUUCUGCAUUGCAUCACUUUUCCAGUAUCUAAUUAUGUUAGUUAAGGGAAAAAACAAGACCUAGUGGCUUCGUGUGAUCUGUGAUGCAUAGAAGUUUUUACAGGAUCAUUUCAUUUAAACUAUAUGUCCUGUGCAACUCUGAAUUAUGGUAAUAAAUUUCUAAUAAGCAACUUGUGAUACUUUUCCUCUUGCAGUGCCAUCGAUAGUGUACAAAAUUGUGCCAUAACUUUGAAUAGUACUGAUUCGGAGUGCAGAAAAAGAAUGAGAAUUGAGAGCAAUGUAGCCACUGCUACACACUCCUGGGACAAGGCCAAUUUUUUUGAAAAGGAUACACGAAAUAGCUCUUGAGUUAGGAAGUUUCCGGGGCUAUGUGAUUGAGUAUCUCAAGGACUCUAUUGCAAGUUUUAAUCACUAUCAUCAGAGUAACAACACCUUAGAUACAGGAGUAAGGACAUCAGGCUCUCCUCCUGGAGAAGUGUAUGGAAGGUACAAGGAUAAAAACAAGAUCAUGAGUGUGAUUGAAGCUGCUAAGUCAGACAACAUAACUGUACUGCCUAUUGUGGGAGUUGUAGGAGUUGGGAAGACAACUUUAGCUAAACUUGUAUACAAUGAUGGACUUGUGAAAAACCAAUUUGAGCGAAUAUGGGUUUGGGUGUCCAGCAACUUUGAUGAAUUAAGAGUGACAAGGGAGAUAUUAGAUGCUAUUACCCUAGACAGCCAUGGAGGAUCUCCUCGCGUAGGAAGCUAUGAAGGAGUAAGCAACUACACAAAGCUUCAAGAAGUCUUAAAGAAUCAUAUGGCAUGUCUACCCAAAAAGUUCAUGCUUGUUCUAGAUGACGUCAAUGACUGCAUGGAUGAUUCUCGAUGGAAAGAUCUGUUGGAUGCUUUGGGAUCAAGUUGUACAAAGGGUAAUGUAAUUAUUGUGACAGCUAGAAAUCUCUGAGCAAAUGAAGUUUUGCCUAUAUCUCUGAGCAAAUAUUACCAUCUUGAGGUACUAGAUGUUGGUCAACCAGUUAUUGUUGAUGGUACCAGUGAUCUUGUCAACAUGAGGAAUCUUAUUCUCUCAAAGGGAGCAUGCGGUGUUUCCUCCCCAGCAUGGUUUUCUUGCUUGCAGACAAUCCAUCUAGAAGAUCAUGAAGGAUGGGAAAUACUUCCGUCUCUAGAAAGGCUAUCACAUCUUACAAAGUUGAAGUUAAGGAAUCUGCCUAAUGUAACAGAAAUGUCGAUUCCUUCGUUGGAGGAGCUGGUGUUGAUUGAUAUGCGAAAGUUAGAUAGAUGUUUGUCCAAUUCAGUGAGGGACCUGAACUCAAGUUUGAGGGUACUGGAGAUCAGGGCAUGCUGGGUACUAAAAGCCUUUCCCCUCUUUGAGAGCUAUGAAAAAUUUGGAAUCGGGCAGAAGUCAUGGUUGCCAAAUAUUAGUGAGCUGACUAUCCAUGAAUGUCCUCAUUUAGUGCUAUCAAAUCCUCUUCCACCUUCAAGUAGCUUGUGUAAAUUAUCGAUCAGAGAUGUUUCAACACUUCCAACAAUUGAGGGAUCAUCAAAUGGGGAAGUGAAAUUUGUAUUAUGUGGUGAUUCAUCUUUCAUUGAGUUGCUGGACGAGAACGACAGCAUGUUGUUAUUUGACAACCUGAGGACCAUAACUAGAUUAAAAAUAGUGGGCUGCGGAAACCUAUGGUCUUUUUCAUUUGAGUGUUCCCCUUCGGAUGUUCCAUCAGCGCAUGCCCAUGAAGACAUGGCAGACACAGAUUUUGAUGCCUUAGAGGAAUUGCAUCUAGUUAGUUGUAAGCAAACAACAGGGCUGUUGAUAGAAGGGGAAGAGGAUAGUUUAUCAAAUCUCACCUCGGCUCCACGUGCUCCGUCACAGGGAAAUCCAGAUUGUGCAUCAAAAAGCUCAUGUUCCGAACUCCUGUACAUUCCAUCUUAUUCCGUUCCGUCUCUCAAUAAGAUGUCUAUUGAAGAUUGUGAGCUAAUAAAGUUCCAAGGAAACAAGGAAGGUUUCUCUAGGUUCACCUCUCUUGAGGAGCUAAGAAUUGUUGAUUGCCCCGAGCUGAUACCGUCUUUGGUGCAUGAAUACGAAAUCGAUGACCAGGCAAACAGAAGAUGGCUUCUCCCGUGUUCACUAGGCGUAUUGGAUAUCAGAGGCGUUUCCCUAGAAACACUGCAGCCCAGCUUUUCAGGAGAUCUGACCCGCCUCACAGUACUAAAAGUGUCAAGAAUCCAUGCAUUGAAGUCUCUACAGCUGCAUUCCUGCACAGCACUGGAAAAGCUGACAAUUGGACUUUGCGAAUCGCUGGACGCACUAGAGGGCUUCCAAUCCCUCCGCAAUCUCAGGUAUUUGAAAGUAUACGGAUGUGCGCAAUGGCAAAGUCCAUUGGUUGGGGGGCUUCCAUCCAGGGUUCAAAUCCUGGGUGCGGCACUUUAUUCUGGAUUUAUUCCAGGAUUUUUCGGCGCUAUGCAUUAAGUGGUAGGCGACGUGCCCGUCGACAGCGAGGCGCCUGUGGUGACUUCGUGAACUUCAAGAUUUGCCGGCUCAGUCCUUCGAAGGUGCUCAUAGGGGUAGGGUUUGCGUACGUGUGUUCAUAGGGGUGAGUGUGCGUGCGUGUUGAGUGUCUGCGUUGUACUGUGUAAUCUAAAAAAAAAAGAAAGUAUACGGAUGCCCAAGCUUACCUCAAUGUUUGAAGAGUCUAUCAACGCAGGUUUACGAGCUGUGCCCUCGUUUGGAACGGCUUCGGUUCAGCGACCUUUCUCUUCUUACCAAGCCAUUCUGCAAGCACCUCACCUCUCUCCAAUGCCUACAACUCGAGUACAGAUAUAAAGAUAACGACGCGGCAGGACUAACAUGGGAGCAAGAGGCAGCGCUUCAGCUCCUCGCGUCCCUGCAACACCUCCAAUUCCAUGGUUACCACAAACUCUCGGAUCUUCCCGUGGGUCUGCAUAGCCUUCUCUCUCUCAAGCGACUGCAGAUCUUUUAUUGCCCCAAUAUCUCAAGGCUGCUAGAAAGGGGCCUCCCACCUUCGCUGGAAGAACUGGAGGUCUGCGGCUGCAGUGAGCUGCUAACCAAGCAAGUCAGAAAGCUAGCAACAAGCAAGCUAAAGGUAAUAAUCAAUGGGAACUAUGUGAACUGAUUACUGGGUGGCUUUUUAAGCACACGUUUCACCACAUCACCUUAGAAGGUACAUAUGCUUCUGCUGCUAACCAUGUUUAUCUUCAGGGUUCUUAUACAUGGCUGUCAUUCUGAAGUAAGAAGUCUUUUGCAGGCAUUCAAGCUGGCACUGUGGCUGUAAUGACUGUUGUCACAAUCUAGGAGUAUCAUCAUACUACUACUACUACUAUUACAAGCUGUUUGGAAGUGUUGAAAGCAUCCCUAUUUCUCCUAGGUGACCUGAUACAAGGACGAGAGGCCAAAAAUGUUGGUCUUUAUCAUACUCUGUAGCCUCAAAAACCUGGAUUUUCUUUUGGUGCAAGAUUUGCUUCUGCACAGACUUUGUUUCACUUGUAAACCUUGUCCUAACGUGGUCAUGUUGCUGAAUACGGUUUUUUGUGAACAGGGCGUUGCUGAGAUGUCUGAAAGCAGCGACUGAAAAUAGCCUGUUUUCGUUUCCAUGGAUGUUUACUGAUUAUUCUGUAGAUAAGGGACUCCAAGAUAUGUGCAAUCCAUUUUUCAUCAUAAUGAAAAGAGUUGGUGUAAAUAACCGUAUCCUCAAUUUUCUUGCUAAACAUGUAAAAUACUCUGAACCUACAGCACCAGUGUCCAGUUUUCAGCCUCUGAUGUGAUGAAUGGGGUUUCUCUCUGACUCUGUGUGCUAGCAAUUAGGAUCGACUGUUUCAAAAAAAAAAGAGGAUUGAGAAUUUAUAUUGUAUUGAAACCACAUACACGUAAUUCUUUUACUAAUUUCCCAGUUUCAAAAGUUAUUUCCAGCCUUGGUAAGGUAGGCAUCAAUCUAGACUCUUCAGAUGUAGCUAUCUUAAAAAAUCUAGAAGCUGAUAGUUUGGUCCUCCAUGCUAAUAAAAAAAGAAGUAUCCCUAAAUGUAAGUACUCCAGCAUAGACAGUGAUGAGAACGGGAAGAAUGACUCGAGGCAGUUCUCAGCCACGCUUGUGGAAAUCUUAAUGAGAACAUGCUGGAUACGGAGAAUGAUAAAAUCAUAGAUCUCUCUCAUCUUCGUCGUAAGAAAAAAUAUAACAAAGCCAAAAAUACAAACAAAGGCAGACUUCCCCAAAAGCCUAAGACUCCCUCCAAAAUUAUUCUAAAAUGAAAGGAGUUUUCUAGAAUAGCAGAGGUCUGGCAGACUUGGCUAAACACAGAUUCUUGGCUGAAUUAGUUAAAGAAGAGCAAAUUAAUUUUAUCGCUGUCUCUGAAACUGGCGGGAUUCUUUCCCGGGUCAUGUCCUCAAAAAUCUUUGUGGGGGUCAUGACUUUCUUUGGCACACCAUGGCUCCUCAUGGUAGAUUAGGGGGUAUUCUGCUAGGUGUGGACCUAAAUGUUUUUGAUAUUGGAGCCAUCGAUGAGGGAGAUUUCUAUGUAAAGUUCACCCUCAGAUGCAAAUUAAAUGACUUCAAGUUUAAUUUAUAUUCAGUCUUUGGGCUAGCUCAAGCAUAGAACAAAAGUGCUUUCCUAGUGGAACUCGCCAACACUUGCUCCAAAGAAACUCUUCCGUAUAUCAUAGGGGUGGGGACUUUAAUACAAUGCGAGGUCCUGAGGAUAAGAGUUCAGGGGAUUUUAACCCCAAAUGGCCUAAUCUUUUUAAUGCUGUCAUCGAAUCCUUGGAUUUUAAUGAGAUUGUGAUGCCAGUAUACUUGGACGGGGCCAGGGGAUUAUCCAACUUUCGAAAAGUUAGAUAGAGUCCUUGUAAGCACUAAAUGGGAAUCUCAAUUCCCGCUGACGACUGUUGAAUCUAGAGAGAGAGAGAGAAAUAUUUCAGAUCAUACUCCCCUAGUGCUUAACACAGGAGCCUCAACCCAUCAGCUCCAAAACUGUCCUUUCAAAUUUGAGAGAGGCUGGUUGAUACGUGACGAAUUUUAUAACAUGGUUGCAAAUAUUUGGGAAGCCCCAUGCUCUGAGUUGACCCUGCUUGAAUGUUGGCAGUCAAAAAUCCGUAGGCUUAGACAAUAUCUAAGAGGCUAGGCUAAACACACUGCAGGGACAUACAUAAAGGAGAAAAAAACCCUGCUAGCUCAUUUAGAGAUUCUAGAAAAGAAAGCUGAGGAUACUCACCUCUCUGAUCAAGCGCCUAGUUACCCUUCUGAGAGAAGAGGAACUGAAAUGGUAUGAGCAAGCCAAAGUCAAAACGCUAUUGGAGGGAGAUGCUAACACUCUUUCUUCCAUCUAGUGGCUAAUGGGAAACAUCGUAAGCAACACAUCUAUAAACUUGAAGAUGAUCAAGGUACGAUAGUUGGGAACAUGCGCCUCAAAAGUCAUAUUACCACGUAUUAUAAAAAAUCUCUUUGGGCCACCUGAACACUCCAAGAUCACACUUAUGAAAGACCAAAUUUUAGAUAUUCCACAAGUAUCCCCAGAAGAAAAUGAUAUCCUUAUUAGUCCUUUCACCGAAUCUGAGGUGAGGGAUGCAGUAUUCCAAAUGGAGAAUAAUAAAGCUCUAGGCCCAGAUGGAUUCCCUGCAGAAUUCUAUCAGGUGUUUUGGGGAGUUAUCAAGGACGACCUUCUACACCUCUUUGCUGGAGGCUCUCGAACUUUAUAGCCUGAAUUUUGGAAUCAUUACCUUAAUUCCAAAAAUUCAAAAUGCUACUAAAAUUCAGCAAUAUAGACCAAUUUAUGUCCUCAAUGUGAGCUUUAAAAUAUUCACAAAAGUAGGCACAAAUAGGCUGAAUAUGGUCGCAAAAAUUGUGGUGAGCCCAAUGCAGACUGCCUUUAUGCCGGGCAGGAAUAUCAUGGAAGGAGUAGUGGUAUUGCACGAAACUAUUCAUGAGUUACAUACUAAAAAACAAUAUGGGGUCAUCUUCAAAAUUGAUUUCGAAAAGGCAUAUGAUAAAGUCAAGUGGUCUUUCUUACAUCAAACCUUACGCAUGAAAGGUUUCUCCCCUAAAUGGUGUAGGUGGGUAGAGAGUAUGGUCACUGGGGGAAGUGUGAGGAUCAAACGUGGUCUCAGGCAGGGAGAUCCUAUGUCCCCCAUCUUAUUUGACAUCGUCGCUGAUAUGCCAGCUCUUCUUAUUAAUAGAGCAAAAGCCGAUGGACAAAUAAGAGGAGUCACCCCCACCUUGUUGAUGAUGGUUUAUCUAUUCUACAAUAUGCAGAUGACAUCAUUAUCUUCCUAGACCACGACCUAGAAUAAGCAAAGAAUCUAAAACUUUUGCUAUGUGCUUUCGAACAAUUAUCUAGGCUUAAGAUCAACUUUUACAAGAGUGAAAUUUUCUGCUAUAGUGCAGCUAAAGAGAUGGAGCCUUAUUAUACCAGUCUUUUUGGGUGCAAUGCAGGGGAAUAUCCCUUCACAUAUCUGGGGAAUCCCAAUGCACCAUAGACAGCUCUUGAAUUCUGAAUGGAGAAUAAUAGAAGAACAUUUCCAAAAGAAACUCUCUUGCUGGAAAGCGAAAUACUUGUCUUAUGGGGGAAGACUGGUCUUGCUAAAUUCUGUCUUAAGCAGCCUGCCCAUAUUUUUGAUGUCCUUCGAGAUUCCUAAGGGAUUACUCAAGAACCUUAACUUUUUUAGAUCAAAUUUCUUCUGGCAAAGUUCUUCAGACAAACAUAGAUACAGACUUGCCAAAUGGGACAUAUUAUGUUGUCCUAAGGACCAAGGGGGUCUAGGUAUCCUGGACUUACAACUGCAGAAUAAAUGCUUAUUGUCCAAGUGGUUGGUAAACCUACUCAACAUAGAGGGCUUAUGACAGUCCCUCUUAACAAAUAAAUACCUACGAUUGAAAACCCUUACCUAAGUCAAAGCCAAACCCAAUGAUUUACAUUUUUGGAGAGGACUCAUGCGUAUUAAAGAUAAGGUGCUGACCAAUGGUUCCUUUGAUGUUAAAGAUGGAACCAAGACGAGGUUUUAGGAAGACACGUGGGUGGGAGACAAGCCUCUAAAAAUAAAAUACCCUUCCCUUUAUAAUAUAGUGCGGGAUCGCCACGCAACUCUAGUCCCCUCAACAUCUCCUUUCGCAGGGCACUGGUAGGCGAUAAACUUUUAGAGUGGCUUACUUUAGUAGCACAGAUUUCUAGAGUUGAAUUGGUGGCUGGUUCAGACUAUUUUAGGUGGAACUUAACCAAUUCUGGGUUAUUUUCUGUCCACUCACUGUAUCUCCAUCUCAUUGAUCCACAACCACCUUUUCUCCACAGGAAGCUCUGAAAAAUAAAAAUUUCUCUAAAGAUCAAAAUCAUUCUUUGGUUCCUACAAAGGGAAGUUGUUCUAACCAAAGACAGCCCCGCUAGAAAGAACUGGAAAGGGAGCCAGAAAUGUGUCUGUUGUAACAUGAAUGAGACUGAUCCAACACUUAUUCAUUGAUUGCCCUUUCACCAAGAUGAUUUGGAGGAUUAUUUUCUUUGCUACUAAUUUAACUCCACCUAAAUCUAUCAACCACAUAUUUGGUACAUGGCUUCGUAAUCAGAAUAAGAGGCUUAAAUAUGUGAUUUGGGUUGGGGUAGCUGCCAUGUGCUGGGCCAUCUGGCGUUGGGGGAAUGAUGUUAUUUUUAACAAACUCAAAACUAACUCUAUUAUGUAGGUUAUUUUCAGGGGAGCGUUUUGGCUCCGCUUUUGGGCCCCGCUGCAGCGUGAUGAGCAAACCAAGGAUAUCCUAUCUUCGAUGAGCAAGAGAUUAGACACAAUUGCUUUAGAGGUUUCUAAUUAAGGAUGGAAACAUAUUUACUGUUUACUUUAGAGUCGUGGUCAAUGUUUGAGACCAUAGUUUGCUUUUUCUUUUUAAUCCUAAACUUUAUAAUAAUUGACUGUGUACAUCUUUGGAUGUAGAGGCCGGAUAUUUUUUCAUCCCUUAUCUAAAAAAUAUACAUUCAAAAUUGUAUUAAUUUGUUGGAGGAUCAAUGUCAACCAAAACAUCUAAAUUAUACAUUCAUGCCUAAAAAGUAUUUAAGUAGAAAAGGCAGUGGCUAUACACUUAAUUUUAAAUUUUUAUUGAAAUGAUAUUCAUUACAAUCACAUAUAUAGUCUACGUGAACGAUAAAAAUGACAAGGUUUGACACAAGGACCACAAGGCCGAACAGCUAAUUUUUAGCUAAAAAAAGGUCCACUAAAAAAAGCUAAAAAAGGGGGAAAAAAACUUGCAUACCAUCUUUUUUUUUUGAAAGAUCAGGAGGGGCAAGAAGCCCCUACUGCAGCAUGUAUUGAAAAAAAAACCCAGGUACAGUUACAUAAAUAACAGUGGUAGAGUGAGCAAAGAAAAGGGGCUAGGGAACUAAAAAGGGAAAACUGAAAAAAAGAAAUGACCAAACUAAAGGCCUCCAAGUUAAGGUAGAUUGUCUAUCCAUUCUUGGAUUCUAGGGAAGUACUUACUCUUUACCCUGCAUAGCAGCCAAAGGAACUCAGCUCUGAAAAUUGUUUUACACCCUUGAACAGAAGGUGGGAUAUCUCUGAAGACGUAGUUGUUCCUGCUCAUCCAGAUUGCCCAGCAAAAAAGAAUGAUGAUUUCCAUAAAGAAACUCUGGUUGAUCUGUGCUCUGAGGAAUUCUAGGUUUUGCAGUGGUUGCAUUCCAGAAUUGACAGAUAGGUUGAUGGAUUGCCAAGCUUCAGAUGCAAAUUGGCAGCUGAUAAAUAAGUGUUCAAUUGAUUCUUCAGUCUGUUCACUACAUAAAACACAAUUAUAAUUUUCUAAAUCCAUCUGCGUUCAAUUUUUUUUUUCUAUAUCCAUGUUCCUUCUCCUCAGAACACCUCUGGUGUUUAGUUUAUUUAUUAGAUCAGCCAAAAAAACACGUGAUGCUUGUUCUGACAGGAGCUAUGCCACAGCCAUUUAAAUGCAGGGUGUACCGGCAUGUGCCCACCAUCUAAAAGAGCUAACUUGGCACAAAUCCAAAGUUCACAAUCUUGUGAAAUUAUAGUCGGCGCUCUAAUGAUCAAUCCAUUAGUUUUGUAUGGACGGAUGGCCAUUGUUUUGCCAGGUUGAUGGCACCCAUUGCCACUUGAACAGAAAACCUACAGAUUUGGUAGUGGUAGCGACAUCUGCAGAAAAGAGGACGUUAACAGCAGAUAAACAGAGCAACAAAUUCUAAAGCAACUACCUAAUAUUAUUUUUUUUGUCAAAACAAAUGAGCAGGGCUAUCCAUCCAUAUGUGGUUAGUUAUUUAUUCCUUCAUGCAACAAGAAUUUACAACAAGGAAACUUGACACAGACUAUACUAUUCACCUACAGAUCAACUUCACUUAAGAGCUCUUGGCCUCUUGUUUCCAACUACAUAUUCAGAGUAGGUGACCACAUGCCCAAAUAUGGAUGCGCAUCACUUUAGAAGUUUUCCAUUUAGCAUUUUCUCCAGUACCCCCAUAGAAAAACAGGUUUGUUGUAGAUCUCAAGCAAGGCAACAUAUCAAAAUCAGAAUGAACAUAUGGCAGGAGACGGAUGACUGAAAUGGACAGUUCCUUCAGAGUUGAUGAUUUGUAUAGAACUCAAUGUCAUGAACAUAAGAGAGGUCACUAACCUUAUGCAUCAAAUUCUUCGGUUUGAUGCUCCAAAGUCCAAACAUCACGUGAUGUUGCCUUCUCAAAAACGUGACCUGAUUAUGCAACUGCUUGCUCCGUUUUGCUGCAUACAACCAACCAUCUAUCCAGUUAAGAACUUUGAAGACAACACUCAAGUUCCCAUGAGGCCACGACCAAUUUUCUGGGAAUUAAGUAUGCCACUGUAUCAGUGAAUAAAACUGGCAAUCAAAUUGGAAGAAUGCAGGCUGAAGAUGAACACACAAAUAAUAUACAUUCAGGCCACAUCUCAAUUUUAUGAAAAUCGGUCUUGUAGCAUGGCCUGAAAGACCAUUGCCACCAAUUGAAGGGAAAGCCCUUUGUAUAAAUUAAACAAAAGAAACUAAUUAGCUUCGUUUGAGCAUACAUUAUAAUUAAACAGAUAUGAGAUAUCAAAUAUUUUUCUGUCAUAUUGAGGCAUGGUGUAGACAGCAGUUAUCGAAGUAGGACUCAUAGAUGGCAGGGAAAUGUGCACAUUUUUGAACUGUUCUGAUAGCACGAAAUACAUAAAUGAAACCUACUGGGUUGCAUUGCCUCCCACCGUAGAUAUUAUCAUCUAUACAUGGAUGUGUAUUAAGGUAUGGAUUCUUGAUGCAUGGUGGAGGCAUCACGCACCUAUCAGCCCAGAGCCACUGCCGAUUGGGAGGCAUACCGGCCCCUGUUUGCAACACGUGUAACAAGUUGCAUCAGGCUUUCUUCCUCUGAAUCAGACUGUCAAACUGAAAUGAACUAACCUUCUGGUGGAAAGGGAAAAAAACUGUGAAUUCGAGACCUUUGGGAGAGCAAUCUACAAGUAUUGGCAUUCCCCCACUCAAGAGGGGACAAGGAAAUGUAGCGAACCAGUCGGGUAAUACGUUCAUAACAAUUACUCUUACUCUUACUCAUUAUAGUUGGAUGACUGGAUAUUGCGGCAGAAACAGAUGCAAUUUCCAAUCAAUCGACUGAGAGGUGGAAGUCUCACUCACCGGUUCCACACCUCUUGCUCUGAUGAAUUGGUUGAUUUCUUCGGAGACAUGGGGCAAGCCGGCAAGGGAUGUUCUGUAAUCUGUACAUUAAGCAGCAACACUACUGGUUCCGGUUUGGAAUCCGGUUCCAGUUCGAGAUCCACGUCGGCUUGCAGUAGCACGGCAUGGACUCCACGGUGGUUGUUGAAAUGGACCAACCACUGUCAGCGCACCUGAGUUCCACCGCGGCAUCGCGCACGACGGCGGACAAAUAUAUAUAUAUAUAUAUAUAUAUAUAUAUAUAUAUAUAUAUAUAUAUAUAUAUAUUGUCUACUCGCACAUGCGAGUAUACGCACACGGUGCAGGUAGUCUGCGCGAACCUAUGUUAACGGGCUGGUGCUGGAGCUAACGGGUUUGGAAAUAAAUGUGGAGCAUGCGUGUAUCUACACGAAAUUAAAAAAAGGAGGCGCUAAUCACGGGAUUCUUUCUUGGCCAUAGACGGCAGUUCCCCUUUUUAAUAUGUACGUAUAUGAGUUUUUUAAAUAAAGUAUUCAUGCAUACUUCUUGGGGUGAUUGGUAUGUAUUUAUAAUUUGUUUAAUAGAGUAUUUAUACACUUUUUGAAAUGUUGUAUCUGUAUAUACUAGUUUUAUAAAAGGAUGUAUGCAUUUAUACUGAGUAUAUGCAUAUACUUUACGUGACAAGAGGGUAUGUGUACUAGUUUUUAAAAGGAUAUAUGUAUUCAUACUGAGUAAAUGCAUAUAUACUUUACGUGACAAGGGAGUAUAUGUACAUACUUUUUUAAUACUUUGAUAAAUACACUUAUUGUUUAGAGAAGAUGGUAUGUGCAUAUACCAAUUUUCAAUAAGGGUAUAUGUAUACUAUAUGAGCUUUUUUUUUUGAGUACCCUUGCAUACCUUCUACACGGGAGUACUUGUACAAAUUUACCUAUAUACUCUGCAAGCUAGUAUAUACACAUACUAUGUUCUAAAAGGGAGUACUUGUACAAAUUUUUGAGAUAAAAUUUUAACAGAAUAUGCUUACAUACCUAUAUACUCUGCAAGCUAGAUAGUAUACACAUACUAUGUUUCAGGCUAUACAAAACAUUUAACUACAAAAUCCCUCCCUGAAAAACUUAAAAAAAAGGUGUAUGUCCAAAACAUACUCCCAACAGUAUGGUGAGUCUUUCCGGCAGGCACAUUACAAAAACAAUUAUCUGAAAAUUUUUCUAACAAAUUAGUCCAAGAGAAACUUCAUUUAUUCAUACAUAACACGAUGUAUGCAGCCAGCAAUUAGGCCGGUAACGAUUCUUCUUGCAUAUACAUAUUGGAAAACCAUUACUUUAAUCCUCACAAGUAUCAACUGAUACUCUAAUUAGUGAAGAAGUAUUUAAUAAUACACUUAUUGAAAACGUAUGCAGAGAUACUAGCUAUUUUCUAAAAGAUAAUCUGAAAAUACCAAAACAUCAGUUGGAGCUUGUUAUAUGUAUAUGCACUGUUCACUGAGCACGAACAGAUUGAGAACCCGAUUUGAAAAUUAAAGGAAAAAGGAAAUUAUAUUAUAUGGAGUGCACUCAUACUUGCCAUAUGGCCAUACCUCAAUGUCAAAAUCACAUCGAUUAAUCGAUACAACUUCCGUGGCCAAACACACAUGCUGUCUCAUAUUGCAUUGCGCUAACUGUCACAAACACAUCGAACUUGUCGUCGUCGUGUAUGAAGAAGAUUAGAGAAAAAAAAUUCCCCUGAGCAGGACCUGUCCUGCAAAUGCAAGAUUGAUGAACAGGACCAACCGACCAAGACUAGUAACAAAUCCACGAGCUUCAACAAGAAGGAAAGCCAUGCCGACGUCAGGGUGCCGUGCGCUCACUGGAAAGGGGCCGCCGUCAACCACAUAGCACCGCGCUCUCUACGAUGCUGAUUGGGAUGGGGACCGCCAAGACCCAGGAGCGAGCGCCACCGGAUCUGCCAUCGGGGACGAUGCAGGCGGCGCCGGAUCUUGAGCGGCAUGGCGACGCCGGAUUCCGGCAUGGUGCUGCUCAGUAGGGGCUGAGAAUCUUGCGUGCUUGCGCAGGCCGCUCGAUGGAGGAGGUAGUUGCAUCGCGGCGGUGCCACAAGAUCAAGAGGAGGAAGGGAAGAGGUGGUGGUGGCGGCGGCUACUGGGAGUCGAGGCUCAAGAGGGCCUCUGAUGCAGGAUGUUGUAUAUAUGAAUAUAUGGUGUAACGGGUGAGGAUCUGCUACUAAACCCGAUAAGCCAGAGAAGAGGGCAAUUUCUAUGGAGAAUCGGUCUGCAUCGGUGGUGGGCGACGACUGGGAAAGAAAUCGGAGUAGCUACACGUACGUGUAAAGAGGAGUUUCCCUAUAUAUCUAGGCUAUAGUAUCUCUACGCUAGGUAGCUAAGCGACCGUUUUAUUAUCCGCACCUGACGUCAACCUUACAUGCUGGCUGGUCUGUGCCUGCCCAGUGCCCACCCAAAGACAAUAGCGGUUCCAGUUCUUGGUUCCGGUUCCAGUUCCCGUUCCCCUUCUGUCCGGCUCCAUGAUUGAUCUUUAAAGAUUCGAACACGCGAGCACUUGGGGGGUUCAAAGUAUACCUUGGAGUACGUAGGCAGCAGCCCCGGGAUCAAUCUUGUACCUCUCGCGUUCCACUUCCACCAAGCCAAGCCAUUUUUCUAGUAUCUACACUCUUUUUCUCUCUUUGGAAUUUUUUAUCUGAUGACACAGCUACUAGUACAGUGACAUCAGCUAUGGUUCCGGUUCCGGUUCCAGUUCCGGUUCCGGUUCUCGGUCACGCUCACGCGUCGUCAUUCGUCAAAGCAGGCAUCUAUUUAUAUCCCAUGUCCACGGCCACGGCGAAUGCAGCAGCAGGGCAUCGAUCGGUCUUCAACCUCUCUCGGCUCUCGCCAUUUCCCAUUGCUCCGUCACACACUGCUGCUACUAGCAAGUACACGACGCGAGAGAUCGAUCGAUGGACCCCGAAGCUUCGCUGACCAGUGUCGUGGACUCUGCCUCCGGCGCGCUCCGCAGCAGGGCCAUGGUGCCGUCGGCGAUGCUCACCGUCGGCGUAUUCCAAGCUGUGGCGGCGCUCGCGCUCCUCUUCUCCGCCAAGACUCCGGAGGGCUUUUUUACCCACCACGGCAAGGCGGUCGUCGUCUUCGUGUAUUACGGCGUCCUUGUGGCUGGGGUGAUCGUCGGCUCGGCGACGGCCUCUGCUUCCUUCUGGGUCGCACGUCGGCUGGACUGCCGGCAUGGCAUUGGCAUGGCGCUGCUCUGCGCUUCGACGCUCACGCUGAUCCCCGUGUUUGGGAUACUCGUCGGCUUCCUCAUGUUCAAAAAGUAGUCUCAGACGUACACCUUUAAUUUGUAUGUGUUGCCAGUGUUGGGAUUGCUGAUACUUGUAUGAUUGUACCCAAACUUUUCAGUUGUGUUUGUAUGAAACCUGCACGAGGUUCACACAGGUGGUUGCCCAUUACUUGAGUGUCAUAUGUAUGUACGCAAGACGGCAAGAGAUUCAUUUGAGUAAUUUUGUUUUUUUUCCCACCUGAGGAAAGAUCGAUUUCAGUUUUACUGUACUGUGAAUCUGUGAUGAUUGUUCAAGGUAAUAAGAUUUUAGAAAAGUCAUUUGGUGUAUUGCUGUUUGCUGCUGAAUCGUUAUUAGCCGAAACAGAGCAACAAGGCAAAGCUAUUGUGAUGAAGGCAACUGGACGUGCUCUCGUUCCGGUUCCGGUUCCGGUUCCAGUUUCAGUUCCGGUUUUGGUCCCGGCAACUGGACCUGAGGUCCAUCAGACACGGACGGACAAAUAGAAAGUAGCCUCUGAAAGUGGAACCACAUGCUCGAUCUCGAAUCGAGCUUGUGCUGGCUGGCCUUGACUGUUAAAACUUGAUGUUGGCGUCUGAAUCGUCAUUAGCGGAUUAGCCUGAACAGAGCAACAAGUUAAUUAUUGUGAUGAAGGCAACUGGACCGGUUCCGGUUCCGGUUUCAGUUCCACAGUUCGUUGUAAAGAAGAUUCUGAGGAAGGUUAUUGCGCGUUUAUCCUUUGCUUUGAUUGAUGAAGAAGAGUACCGGACCUGCCGAUUUUGUCUCCUGUGUACGGGUGGGGAAAGGGUUGGGUGGGACCUCGGCGUCGCCCAGUGCGCGCCAGGGCGGGGGGAGAGCCGAGUCAAAGGAGCUCCUCCUGACGUCCAAGUUCAGUUCUCAUUUUUGGAAGCGACCAUAUUAUUCCCAUGAUCAAUAAAAUGAUACGCUCUAACAGAAGGACGUGUGUUUAUCUCAAAACUCAAAUAGAUGGAGCAAAUGUGACAAGUUCGAGCAAAAUAGGGCGCAAUUAGUUUGGUCUACAUCGAAAAACGAGCAACACGUUGCGACAACAAAUCUUGGCAUCAUUUACUUUGUUAGAAAAGCAUGUUUUGACAGUAAAAUAUCCCAAGGUAAACAUAAAUAUAUCAAACACUAACACUAAUACAGUUGUUUUUUGAUAGAAACACUAAUACAGUUGUUACCACUUAAUAACAUAUAAACAUUCAUGAAAGUUCAGAUAUAUAACACCUAAUCAUCAAGCGAAUAACAGCUAUUUCAGUUAACUGUGGGUUAAUGACUGAAGCCUAAGACUGAAAUAUCCAAAAUAUUUUCGGUUAGCUACAAAUGAUGACUGAUUUAUGAACGAAGUAUUCAGUUUCGAUCAUGUCAGUUUUAAUUUAACUUCAAAUAAUUAAUUCGGCUCGGUCUUUCGGGUAAUUAUAGACGCCCCUAGUUACACGAGCACAAGCAAGCCGCGGUGACUAGGCACGGGCAGCCCCAUCAUACAUGCUUGGCUAGAACUGGCGCGAAAUUUCAAGAGUGGGUCACAUAUUCACAUCGAUGGGUGGAGGGGAGCUCGUCACUCAUCACUGUGUACUGAUUAACGGUUCCGGUGGGGAGUAUUUCGUGCAUGUGUUUAAAUAUUAGAUGUGACAGGGGUUAAAAAACACAGAAGUAACUAGAUAGGGGAACUGCCUUUUCUGUGCAUUAUUUAUGCAGACAAGUGGGCUCUGUUUUCUGUCCGAAAGAGCAAACAGCACAGUCAAGUAGUCAACCUUGCAUGCUAACAACAGCCUACUGUUGAUAGUGACAUCUGGUUCCGGUUCCAGUGCUAGUUCCGGAUCCUUUUAAAGGUUGUGGAACACGCGUGCACUUGGCGGUCAAUGUAGCAGUAGCAGUAGCAGGCAUCCAUCCAUCCAUCCAGCAUCCAUGAUCCAUCUUUAUAUACGCAGGCAGAGGCAACCCAGACGCCAUGUUCAUCGACACAAGCACAAUAACGAACCUGAUCUGCCAUUCCACCAAGCCAGCCAUUUCUUUCUCACACAAACUUGACACUGCUAGCAAGGCAGAUGGAUGGGGAAGCAGCGCUCGCGAGGGUCGUGAGCUCGAUUGCCGGCGCCCUUCGCAGCAGGACGAUGGUGCCGUCGGCGAUGUUCUCCGCCGGGGUCUUCGAGGCGGUGGUGGCGCUCGCGCUCCUAGUCGCUAACACCCCCGAAGGUAUCUUCUCCUCCCACCACGGCAAGGCGCUCGUCGUCGUGUACUACGUCGUCCUUACAGCCGGGGCCAUCGUCGGCUCUACGACGGCCUCUGCUUCGUUCUACGUCGCACGCGAUCUCGAAGGCCGGCAUGCCACUGGCAUGACGCUCCUCUGCGCGUCCACCCUCUCUCUCUCAUCCCUGUCAUUGGCCUUCUCGUCAGCUUCUUCUUGCUCAAGAAAUAGCUUCAGACAUGUUGUACACUUCUACGUAAUGUUGGGAUUAUUGUUACUGUGAUGACUGCACCUGUUUAUUUCUUAUCCUUGUAUUGUUGCACCAAAAUUUAGUUGUGUUUGUUUCGAAAUAAAAAAAGAUUUGCAGGUGAUUCGGCCAUCUGUAGUGUCAUCUGUACGUAAGAGAAAUGGAAAAAGUCUGGCCUUGUUUAGUUCCAAAAUUUUUUGCAAAUUUGGCACUGUAGCUCUUUCGUUUGUAUUUGACAAAUAUUGUCUAAUCAUGGACUAACUAGGCUCAAAAGAUUCAUCUCGUCAAUUUCGACUAAACUGUACAAUUAGUUUUUAUUUUUGUCUAUAUUUAAUACUUCAUGCAUGUGUCUAAAGAUUCGAUGUGACGGGGAAUCUGAAAAAUUUUACAAAAUUUUUUGGUAACUAAACAAGGACUUACAUAACCCCCAAACUAUUUAGGGUGGACUACUUCACCCCCGAACUAUAAAACCGAAUAUUCUACCCCCUGAACUUUUAAAACCGGUCAAAUAACCCCCUCGAGUGGUUUUGGAGGGUGGUUUUAUCUUUUUCUUUUUAUUUAUUUUCGCUGAAUCUUUGAAAAAUCAUAAUAAAUCAUAGAAAAAUCAUAAAAUGAAAAUUUUAAUUUUGUUGGACUUCUGAUGAGUUGAUCUACACAGUGAAUAUAUAAUAUGGUAUUCUUUAGUACAAAGUUUUUGUUGUAGCUUUAAAUCUAUGUUUUUCCGUAAUUAAUUUGAAUAAUUCAUAUAUGCAGUUCCUGUGGUCCAAUUGUGGUAAAAUUUUUUAUGGUGGGUGCACUAUUAUAUGCUUGAACUAUGGUAAAAAUUUCAUACUCAUUGGAUCACGUAUAACUUAGUUAUAGAUAAAGCAUAGAUUUAACAAGAAUAAAGCUAAAUAAAUUGAUAACUAAGUUAUACGUGAUCCACUAGGUAUGAAACUUUUACCAUAGUUCAAGCAUACAAUAAUGAUCUCACCAUAAAAAUUUCAUCACAAUUGCAUCAUAGGAACUACAUAUAUCAAUUAUUCGAUUUAAUUAUAGAAAAACAUAGAUUUAAAACUACAACAAAAACUUUAUACUAAAGUAUACCAUAUUAUAUAUUCACUGUGUAGAUCUACUCAUUAGAAGUCCAACAAAAUUGAAAUUUUCAUUUUAUGAUUUUUCUAUGAUUUAUUAUGAUUUUUCAAAGAUUUAGUAAAAAAAUAAAAAAGAAAAAGACAAAACCACCAUCCAAAACCACUCUAGGGGGUUAUUUGACGAGGUAGAAUAUCCGGUUUUAUAGUUCAGGGGGUGAAGUAGUCCACCCUUAAUAGUUUGGGGGGUUAUGUAGACUUUUUUUUCUAAAAGAAAUGGUUGAUCUUAGCCAAUUUUUAUCCGAAGAAAGAGUAAAUUGUGCUGUAAUGAUUUGUAUCUAUUUUCCGUUAAAAUGAAUUGUAUCUAUUCAAGAUAAUGUGAUUGUGGUGGUGUAUCUUGUCUUUGCGUAUCUCUAGAGUGUACACACAAAUGCUGCACUCUGUUAUACGUCAGCUAGAAAUGUCAUUUGUCUCAAACAGAGCAACAAGGCUUUGUGAAUUGUGAUGAAGACAACUGGACGUGCUCCAGUUCCGGUUCCAGUUCCAGUUACAGCUCCUGUUGGUUUCAGAGAUUCUGUUGAGGACAACGUGCCUUCUGUUGAAACUUGUCCAUCGGCUACACUGCCCUCAAUCUUCUGCAUAGGCACAGUGGGUGCAGAGUUGGGCUUCGAUUUCUUCUCUUGGAAGGUUAUCUCCAUGGGGAACAUUGGCAGACACUGAGAUCCAUUCUGCCACUAUACCAAGCAAUCACGACUGUUUUGGUCGGGGAUGGAAAGACCUGCUCGUUCUAGUAUGACGUCUGGGUCGGGGACGAACCUUUGGCCGAUCGGUUCCCCUCGCUGCUAUCUCACUGUACAGCCAAGACAUCUCCUCUGAGUGUAGUCAAAGCUUCUGGCAUCCAUACCUCUUUGGUACCCAGGCUUUCGAUAAUAACAGCACAAGAACUGAACAUGGUUCAGGACAUACUGGACUCCACUCAACUCAAUGGUGAACCAAACAAGAGGUGCUCGGCUUUCAUACGAGUAGACAGCUCCCUUGACAGUGGGCAACUAUACAGGAUGAUCAAGGCUAGAGGUCAAGGAGAGGAUCUGAGAGCGAAAUUCAUUUGGAAAACCUUUGCUCCACCAAGGGUUCAGCUGUUUAGCUACUAACUCAGAGGAGGAUUAAGUGUCGAUCGGUGCUGCUAAAGAAACACAUUGUAGAUUCUGCAACUUGCGAAAUCUGCAAUACCAGCGAUGAGUCUCCUGAGCACAUCAUCCAUGGCUGCACCAUCGGCAGGGAGAUAUGGCAAUGUCUAGGCCUUCAGUCCAUAAUCUCCAUGGACAUGACACAGCUACACACUGUCUCCAAUUGCAAUGCUACCCCCAUCCAGGAAUUCCCUUCCUUCAUUGCACUAGUCUGCUGGCACAUCUGGAAAGCCAGAAAUGCAAAGAUCUUCAGCAAUGAAGCACAUUCAGUUGAUCGCGUCCUCUGUGAUUGCAAGUCAGCAGCUGAACUCUGAAAGCUCAGAUUGCCGAGGCGAAAAAGAGCAGCAGUUACCCAGUGGUGCUCAGUCCUUGACAUGGCUAGGCCUUCAGCAAACUAAACAGCUCCUUUCUAGGACUUGUAAAACCCUUUUAAUGCAACUCUUAGUUGCAACUUUUGUAAUAUGCUGACACUAUUUGCGAGCUGUUUUGGGCUAAAAUAAAAAGUUUUACCAGGUGGGGAACGCCUCCCCCCGUUGAUCCUAAAAAAAAAAGAUUAUUGCGCGUUUACUAUUAUCCUUUGAUUUGAUUGACGAAGAAGGCUACUGGAUAUCCUGAUCUUUCAGAGUGGGCAUUCCGUUUAAACCGAUAAAUCGGUUCGGUCUCUUCAGUUUGAAAGAAAAUCGGUUUUCAAACUAUACCAACCGAUCGGUUUGUGGCAGAAUUAAGAACCGACGAAUUCGGCUUCGGUUUCUUUGCCUCGGUUCUUCGGUUCAACCGAACUAACCUGCACAUCAGGUAUGCUGGUCGUCACCGUCCGCCGCUGCUGGUCCUACUCGCCAUCAUGCCUGGGUGUUGCUCCCUGGCCACGACGCGCCUUGGCUGGCCUUGCAGUCGCACCUGGCCCACUGUUCGCUGGCCUUCGCCGCAGCUCGCCGAACGACGAGGUCGCUCGCUACUCACUGCCGCCGCUUCGUGGAUGCGCUGCCAAGCCGGUGUGCCGCUCCCCACCCCCUUGCUGCCACGCAGAGGAUCUGCUCCGCGAUCCCCAUCACCACAGACCAGGCGCUGCACCGCCGGCCGCCGCCGCCAUUGGUAGGGUUAGGAGCCGCCGCUGUGCACGUGCUGGGGCUUCGGCUGUGCUGCGUGUCCCGUGCGUAGGGAUUGGAACUUGGAAGGUAGGAAUAUAGUUGAGUGCGCUGUGGGCCUACUAAGUUGCUAUGGCUUCCGCUUUGGGCAGUUGGGCUGACGCGAGCGAAGGGCCAAAGGCCUUGCAAUGGGCUACAUAUGUGAGGAAAUGUGCGGGAGCCUUUAUAUAUUCGGUUUAUAUGGUGUUUCGGAUUCAUGUGACCUGGAAACCGACUACGGCACCGAACACCGAUCUUUGUAGAAUUGGAAACCGAAGCCGAACCGAGAAACCGAAAAUCGACAUUUCAGUUCGGUUUCGGUUCGCUUCGGGUCGGUUUUCGGUUAAAAUAAGCCCACCCUGGCUGAUUUUGUCACUAGAUGCCCGCGCUCAACUCCUGCCGCCCUUGCUAGUGCAACAUGCCGACAUGUCAUCUGCCUGAGCUGUUGGAUCAAUAUGGGUAUGCAGCUCGGGGCUAGCGGCCUGGCCCAAAGCCCAUCUUUUUGGCCUGGCAUGAGCACAGCCCGCCCUGGUGGCAAGCGGCCUAGGCUGACCUGGUCCAUAGGAGCAGGUCAUGCCUAGGCGACUACGCAAGCACAAUGGGCGGCACGACCUAGCAAUGACAUUUAUAAAAAGGUCCGAUGGCGUCCUGUUAUUUUUCACGGCCUGCUAAAAGUCCAACUUGUUCGCUAACUCUAAAUCCACUAUUAACUCAUUUCCUUCUCCCCCGCCCCCGUUGCACUCCUUCUCGCGGUUGCAACACACGAGUCGCUCGCUCUUGCCUCUCUAUCGUGGCUCCGCACCACCACACUCCCUGGCGACCUCGUCCUCACUCCACGCCGUCACGAUGCUGCCCGGCUCCUAGGCACCGUUGUCCUCCUUCCACACCGGCGUCCUCCAUAGAUCCGGUCUAGACCAUCGGUGGGCGGCCGCCGCCUCCUCUACACCCCCAUGUGGGCGCACCGCAGGCACUGACAGUGGGCCAUGGGUUGGCCCGCUCUAUUAUCCUGACCGUGCUUUUCGAGUUGGCACGACAGGAAAAAACAGCCCAAAGGCUUGUGCCUAGACCGUCGGGAUUCCUGUUAUCGGGAUUCUUGUUAUAGAUGAGCCUGAGCGGUAUAGGUCUCGAUGUAAUAUUUUCUUAUAAUUGGGAUUUCUGUUUGUGUUAAAGUCUGGAUGUAUUCCUUCUUUUUCUCUGAAAGCUUCAAAUUCUAGAGUUGUCUUAAGUCAAACUUUUAAAUUUUGACUGAAUCUCUAGAAAAAAUGCUAAGAUUUAUAGUACCAAAUUAGUACCAUAAGAUUAUCAUAGAAUAUAUUUUCAUAAGAUAUUUAUUUUAUGUUAUAGAUAUUGACACUCUUUUUUAUUUUUUUGAGGAAAUGACACUCUUUUUUAUAAAAUUGAUCAAACUUAAAAAAUUUGACUGAUGCGGACUGAGAAUUUAAAGUUUUUAGGAACUGAGGGAAUAUAUACAGAUGUCUGCAUUGUCGAUAAAUAAAGAAUUUUUUUUGACGAAAGAUAAAUAAAGAAAAUAGCUCCACAUUACAAGUCAAAAGGCGCAUGCUCUCUUUAUUCUCCACUUCUACCCGCUCUCUCAGCUUUACACGCUUUACCAGCUUUCCACCACCCAGCCGUAUGCUCUUCUGAUCGUUUCUGCUUUGGCUACGCUCUGCCCUCAGUUCUGCUUCCUCCUCCGUUCACCAUCGCUCAAAAUCGAUCUGAUGGAGGCAGCAGAGGCAACCGCUGUGGAGGGCGCGAUUCUAUGGCAGGCGCAAACCAUCCUUGAUUCGCUUCGACCCACCGGCGAGCUCGACGCUUGGCUUCAUGGAGUCGGCCUCGCUGGUGGCAUCGGGGAACUCAAGUCCGAGGUCGAGAGGAUGGAGACGGUGGUUAAUGGUGUGAAGGGGAGGGCGGUAGGGAACAAGCCGCUUGCCCGCUCGCUCGCUCGUGUGAAGGAGCUCAUGUAUGAUGCCGACGACGUGGUGGAUGAGCUCGACUAUUGCAGGCUCCAGCAACAGGUCGAAGGAGGUACGUAUGCAUCCAUCCUUGCGAUUUGUGUUUGUUUCUACUGUUCUUUCUUCUGGAAAUUGUGAUCAUAACUUUCUCCUUUCUCAUCUGUCAGUUAUGGUUGCUCCUUCUACUGAGCCGGAAGGCAUGGUUGUUGGAGAUGGAGCAGAGCAAGCAGAUGCAUCGACCAAUACUGUUGGUAUACUUCGAUCCUCGUGAUAUGUGGUUUUCCUUUACAGUUCGGUUUUCCUUUUGAAUAAUCUGUGAUUAUAAACACGCCCUCGUACCAUGUCAUCGUUUACUCCUUUCUCUGUCAGUGAUGCUUGCUCCUGCUAUUGAACCGGAAGGCAUGGUUGGAGAUGGAGCAGAGCAUGCUGAUCCAUCCGCUAGUACUGCUGAUAUAUCGGCCAACAACGGGCGCAAAAAUCGAUCCAAGGAGCGGGACUAUUUUCACAUUACACCAGCGGUAAAUGGACAACCUGGGAGAGCGAAGUGCAUUGAUUGUGGCACACAGGUUAUUUUUAGUCACGGCACAUCAGUUUUGCGCAAGCAUCGUAACAGUGCUAGUUGCAAGAAAAAACGUGCAGCGAUUGAAGAGGUGCCGAACUGUCCAAGGUACUGCUUACCCCUCAAGUUCUGGAUUGCAUCACUUUCGAAUAUCCAAUUAUGUCUGUUAUGGUAAAAAAACAAGGGACCCAGUACAUUGGUCAUGCAUAGAAGUUUUUAUAUGACCGUUUCAUUUGUUUUGGAAAGAAAUGAUUGGUUCAUUUAAACUAUGACUUGCAGUGCAAAUCUGAAUUGUGCUAAUAAAUUUGGGAUAACCAACCUGCGAUCCUUUUCCUCUUGUAGUGCCGGCGAUAGUAUACAAAAUGGUGCCACAAUUUCAACUUAUGAUUUAGAGGGCAGAAAAAGAAUGAGAAUUGAGUACAGUGUAUCUACUACCACACACCUCUGGGGCAAGGCCGAUUUUUUUAUAAGGAUCCAGGAAAUAGCUCUUGAGUUACGGAGCAUCCGAGGCGAUGUGAUUGAGUAUCUUAAGGACUCUGUUGCAAGGUCUGAUCAGUACCAGAGUAAUACCACCUCAGAUGCACGAGUAAGAACAUCAGGCUCUCUUCUUGGAAGAGUCUAUGGAAGGUAUAUUGAGAAACAACGCAUCAUGAGUGUUAUAGAAGCUAUGUCAGACAACAUAACAGUACUAGCUAUUGCGGGCAUUGUAGGAGUUGGGAAGACGACUUUAGCUAAACUGGUAUACAAUGACCGGUUUGUUAAAAAACAGUUUGAGCGAAUAUGGGUUUGGGUGUCCAACAUCUUUGACGAAGUAAGAGUGACAAGGGAGAUCUUAGAUGUUGUUACUAUGGCCAGCCAUGAAGGAUCUUGCAAAAAAGAAAGCUAUGAAGGAGUCAGCAACUACUCGAAGCUUCUAGAGGUCUUAAAGAAACAUAUGCCAUGUCUGUCCAAAAAGUUUCUACUUGUUCUAGAUGAUGUCUGUGACUGCAUGGAUCAUUCCCAAUGGGACGAUCUCUUGGAUGCAUUGGGAUCAAGUUGCAUAAACGGUAAUGUGAUUAUUGUGACAAGUAGAAAUUUAUCCGUUGCAAAAAGGCUAGGUACAGUCAAACCAGUUGAAGUAAGAGCUCUUGAAAAUGAUGAUUUUUUGCAGUUCUUUAGAGCUUGUGCAUUUGGUGAUAACAAUUACAAAGAGCAUCUAGACACCAGCCAACAAAUAUGUGAAAAGUUAGAGGGAAACCCAUUAGCAGCGAAAAGUGCCGUGGAAAUGUUAAGAGAGCAUCCUACUCUUGACCAUUGGAAAAACAUCAUUAAGAAUGGUAUUUGGGAAUCUAUGCAACUCCGUGGAGGCAUUGUGACUGUAUUGACGAAUAUCUAUUACCAUCUGCCCUACCAUUUACAACAGUGUUUCUUGGUGUGUUCUAUAUUCCCUAAUGAUCAUCAGUUUCAUAUUGAUGGUUUGAUCUCCAUGUGGACAUCUUCUGGAUUUGUGAAAUCUAUUGAGGUAGGACGGGAUUAUCUCAAUGCUUUGGUCAACUUAUGUUUCUUUGAGCAGGUUGGAACAGAAGAUGACUCAGAAGAUGACUCAGAACAAUGCUAUGUUAUGUGUGGUAUGAUGCAUGAAUUUGCGAGACUGAUUUCAAGGACCGAGUUUGCAACUAUAGAUGGUUUCGAGUGCAAAGUGUUGCCAACCGUGCGCCAUUUGUCAAUUCAAAUUGAAACUAAUUUGGAGUACCAUAUAGAUGAAUGUGAGAUCCUAAUUCAUAAUGUGAAGUUUGAAGAAAAAUUGCAAAGUAUAGCUUCUUCAUUGAGGAGAUUGAGGACGGUGAUCUUAAUUGGGGACGAUUCUUUAUUCGUCCUGAAGUCCUUCCAUACCUUUAUUUCCAAUUUGGUAAAUUGUACCCAUCUUCGCUACUUAAAACUUGGGAAGAAACUCAUCAAUGAAUAUUUGCCUAUAUCUCUAAGCAAGCUUUACCACCUUGAAAUAUUAGAUGCUGGGUGCCGAGCAAUUGUAAAUGAUCUCAUAAGCAUGAGGCAUCUUGUUCUAACAAAGGGAGCAUGCAGCCCUUCCUCCAUAGCUAGGUAUGCUAGCUUGCAGACGAUCCAUAUUGAGGAUUGUAAAGGAUGGGAAGUACUCACAUCUCUAGAAAGUCUGUCGUCUCUUACAAAGUUGAAGUUAAGGAAUAUGGUGGAAGUAACAGAGUUGUUAAUACCUUCGUUAGAGGAGCUGGUGUUGACUGAUAUGCCAAAGUUGUAUAGAUGUUUCAUCAAUUCAGUGGAGGACUUGAACUCAAGUUUGAGGAUCCUGAAGAUCACAAGUUGCCAGGUACUUAUGUCCUUUCCCCUCUUUGAGAGGUGUGAAAAUUUUGAAAUCGAGCAAAAGUCAUGGUUGCCCAAUGUUAGCGAGCUAACCGUCUAUGGGUGUCCUCAUUUAGUGGUAUCAAAUCCUGUACCACCAUCAAGUAACUUUUGUAAAUUUUUCAUCGCAAAUAUUUUAACACUUCCAACCAUGGAAGGAUCAUCAAACGGAGAAAUGAAAAUUGCAAGGCAUCUUGUUCUCUCGAGAUUCAAGGAGUUGUCACUGGACGACAAAUUUUUGUCAUUCCACAACCUGAAGACCAUAACUCAAUUGCAAAUAGUGGGAGGCAUAAUGAGUGUAUUGUCUAUGUCACCCAAAGGUCUCAUGCAACUUGUCAGCUUGAAGAGGUUGGAAAUAUACAACUGCGCAACAAUUUUCUCUUCGGAUGUUCCGUCACCGCAAGCCCAUGAAGACAUGGCAGCCACAGUUUUUGAUGCCCUCCCAUCUCUCGAGUGUCUCAAGAUUAUGUAUUGUGGAAUAACCGGAGAGUGGUUAUCUGUGAUGCUGCAACAUGUGCGAGCCCUAGAGGAAUUGCGUCUAGAUGAUUGUAAGAAGAUACCAGGGCUAAUGAUAGAUGGGGAAGAUAAUAGUUUUUCAAAUCUCACCUUGGCUCCACGUGCUUCGUCAAACGGAAAUCCAGAUUCUGCAUCAAAAAGGUCAUGUUCUGAACUCCUGCGCAUUCCAUCUAAUCUCUUUCCCUCUCUCAAGAAGAUGUCUAUUAAAUAUUGUGAGCUAAUAAAGUUCCAACGAAACAAAGAAGGCUUCUCUGAAUUCACCUCUCUUGAGGAGUUAAAUAUUUAUGGAUGCCACGAGCUGAUACCGUCUUCGGUACAUGGAGACGAAAUUGAUGAGCAGGAAAACGGAAGAUGGCUUCUCCCGUGUUCACUUAGCGUAUUGGAUAUCAGAGGCGUUUCCCUGGGAACGCUGCAGCCCUGCUUUCCGGGAGAUCUGACCCGCCUCACGGUACUAGAAGUGUCAGGAAUCAAUGCAUUGAAGUCUCUACAGCUGCAUUCCUGCACAGCACUGGAAAAGCUGACAAUUAGAUAUUGCGAAUCGCUGGACGCACUAGAGGGCUUCCAAUCCCUCUGCAGUCUCAGGUAUUUGGAAGUAUACAAAUGCCCUGGUUUACCUCAAUGUUUGAAGAGUCUAUCAACGCAGGGUUAUGAGCUGUGCCCUCGUUUGGAAAGCCUUCGGAUCGACGACCCGUCUCUUCUUACCACGCCAUUCUGCAAGCACCUCACCUCUCUCCAAUGCCUACAACUCGAUCACAGAUAUACAAAUAUCGACGUGACAGGGCUAACAUAUGCGAGCAAGAGGCAGCGCUUCAGCUCCUCACGUCCCUGCAAGAGCUCCGAUUUGAAGGUUGCCGCAAACUCUCGGAUCUUCCCGUGGGUCUGCAUAGCCCCUUCUCUCUCUCAAGCGACUGCAGAUCUUUUAUUGCAAGAGUAUCUCAAGGCUGCCACAGAGGGGCCUCCCACCAUCGCUGGAAGAACUGGAGGUCAGCUUGUGCAGCGAGGAGCUAACCGAGCAGUGCAGAAUGCUAGCAACAAACAAGCUAAAGGUAAUAAUCGAUUGGAAAUAUGUGAACUGAUUACUGGGUGGCUUGUUUAGCAAACGUGUCUACCAGAACAUCAACUUUCGCGACAUCACGUUGACGCCUUGGAAGGUACAUAUGCUUCUACAGCUGACCAUGUUUAUCUUCAGGGUUUUUAUACGUGGCUGUAAUGCUGAAGUAAGAAGUCUAUUUACAGGCAUUCAAAGCUACCAUCAUAUGGCUGCAGUGGCUGUUGUCAGAACCAAUAGGAGUACCGUACGAGUAUUACAAGCUGUUCGAGCAAGUGUUGAAAGCCCCUCCUGUUUCUCCUAGGUGGCCCUGCUACAAGGCUUGUAUUGGCCAAAGAUGAGGGGCCAAAAAUGUUUUUCUUUAUUAUACUCUGUAGACUAAAAAAACCUGGAUUUGCUGUGCAAGGUUCUCUGGUUUUGCACAGGCUUUGUUCCACUUGUAAACCUUGUCCUAACGUGCUCAUGUUGCUGAAUACGGUUUUGGUCAUAGGCUUGCCGCCUUACUGAGAUAGAUGUCCAUGUCAUAUGACUGAAAGAGGCCUGUUUUGUUCCCGUGGAUGUUUCCUGUUUAUUCUGUAUACUACAGAAGGGACUCUAAGAUAUGAACAGUCCACUUUACAUCAUAAAGAAAAGAGUUGGUGUAAAUAAUCGUACCACAACUUCCUUGCUAACACAUGCAAAAUGCUCUGAAUCUACAGCAUGACAAUGCCCAGUUUUCAGCCUCUGAUGUGAUGAAGACGCUAACAUGAUGGGUUUGAAGCAACCCGUUUCGCUCUGACCCUCUGUGCUAGAGAUGAGGAUUCAUAUUAAUGAUGGUGAAGCGAUGCAGACCAGAAAUGAGUUACACCAAUUCACAAGAGUAGAAUUUGCAACACAAAUAACAAUCUUAUAUUCAAACUUUUUUUCGCAUCAGUAGAACUACAAAAAACACAGUUCCUCAAUUCAUCUAAAACCACACACACUCAAAUUAUAUUGACUUGUCGUAGGAUCAUACAUGUUCUAUGUGCUGAUUUUUGUGAUCACGUCAACCGAACCAUCUAAAUGAUACAUUCAUGGCUCAAAAAGUAUUUAUCUAUACACUUAAUUUUUACUGAAAAAAUACUCAUUACAAAGAUCUAUAUAUUCUAGAACAAUACAGAUGACAAGUUUGGCACAAGAACCACAAUGCCGAACACCUAAUUUUCAGCUAGAUCGAUAGAAGACUUGAGGUUAAAUACCAUCUACUAGAGCUAACUCGGCGCAAAACCAAUCUUGUGAAAUUAUUUGGGAAACAAAUAGUCCAUGCUCUAAUGAUCAAUCCAUUAGUUUUGUAUGGAGGGAUGCCCCAUUGUUUUGCCAGGUUGUUGACACCCAUUGCCACUUGGACAGAAAACCUACAGAUUUGGUAGUGGUAGCGACAUCUGCCAGAAAAGAGGACAUUAAAAGCAAACAAACAGAGAAACAAAGUUCUCAAGGAACUACUUAAUAUUAUUUUUGUCAAGAUAAAUGAGCUGGGAAAUCCAUCAAUACAUGGUUAGUUAAUUGUUCCUUCAUGAAGCAGGACAUUAAAAGCAAACAAACAGAGAAACAAAAUUCUCAAGGAACUACUUAAUGCAGCUGGGAACUACUUAAUAUUAUUUUUGUCAAGAUAAAUGAGCUGGGAAAUCCAUCAAUACAUGGUUAGUUAUUUAUUCCUUCAUGCAGCAGGACAUUAAAAGCAAACAAACAAAGAAACAAAGUUCUCAAGGAAUUACGUAAUAUUAUUUUUGUCAAGAUAAAUGAGCUGGGAAAUCCAUCAAUACAUGGUUAGUUAUUUUAUUUAUUCCUUCAUGCAGCAAGAAUUUACAACAAGUUAACUUAAUCUGUCCACAGACUAUACUUCACUUAAGAUUUCUUGUUUGCAACUAUAUAUUCAGAUUAGGUCAAAACAUGCCCAAAUAUGGAUGCAUAUCAGUUUUGGAGUUUUCCUUUAGCAUUUUCUCCAGUACUCUCAUAGAAGAACACUUAAGGUGGUAGAUCUCAAGCAAGGCAACAUAUCAAAAUCAGAAUGAAUAUAAGGCAGGAGACAGAUGACUGAAAUGGACAGUUCCUACAGAGUUGAUGAUUUGUAUAGGCCACAAUGCCAUGAAUAAAAGAGAGGUCACGAACCUUAUGCAUCAAACUCUACUGUUCGAUGAUCCAAAGUCCAAACAUGACGUGAUGUUGCCUUCUCAAAAACUCACCUGAUUAUGCAACUGCCCGAUGGUCCCUUUCUCUGCAUACAAGCAACUAUUUAUUCAGUUCAGAACUUUGAACACAACACUGAGGUUCCCAUGAGGCCACGGCCAAUUUUCUAGGAAUAAGUACGUCAUUAUAGCAGUAAAUAAAACUUCUUAUAGAAGUGGAUGAGUGCAGUGUGAAGAUGAACACACAAGUAAUAUACAUUCAGGGCAAACCGCAAUUUCAUGAAAACCAGUCCUGUAGCAUGAAAGACUAUUGCUUCCAAUUGAAGGAGAAAAUCCUUUUAAAUUAAACAAAAAGAAACUAAUUAGCUCGGUUUGAGCAUACAACAUGGAUAGAAAUGUAUGAAUAUAUUUUUUAUUAUAUUGAGGCAGUAGGAGGUAGUUACUGGGGUAAGAUUCAUAGAUGACAAGGAAAUGUACACACUGUGGAGCUGGUUUGAUAGCACGAAAUACAUAAAUGAUAUCUGUUGAGUCGCAUUGCAGGCCACCAUAAACAUCAUGAUUUACACAUGGAUGCAAAUUCCAACUGGGAGACAUAACUGCCCCUCUUAUGCAAUGCAGGUGCUUCAGCUUCUCUUCUUCCAAACCAGAUUGUCAAACUGAAAUGGAGUAACCUAAUGGUGAAAAAAAACCUGUGGGCUCGAGACCUUUGGGAGAACAAUCUAUAAGUACAAGUACUGAGGUUCACCCACUUAAAGAGGGAACGAUGAAACGGAGCAAAGAGUCAAUUGGGUUUGUAACCAUUAGUACUAUAGUUGGAUGACUGAAAAUUGCGGCACAAACAGACCCGUACUCCAAUCAAUCGAUAAACUGUCUAAGAGAUGGAAGUCUCACUCACCGGUUCCGUACCUCUUGCUCUCUUGCUCUGAGGAUUCAGCUGACUUCACCGGAGCCCGGAGUUCUAGAACAAGGGAUGUUCUCCUGUACAUUAACCCGCAGGUGCGACCUCUGGGCGUGAUGUAGGCUGGGGUGCUGCAAAACAAUGAGAAGAGGAAUAGGAUUAAUCUGACAGAGACCAUAGUGUCGGUAGUUUAGCGCAGAGCACGAUUAGGAACCUACCAGAAGAAAUCCUGGCUGGGGAUGCAGCAAUCCUUCCCCUCGACUCCUCCAUGGGCUCAUCCGUGUCCAUCUGUGAGCUAUCCUCCUUGCCUAGGAACGCCUCGAAGGGCGUGAGCCCAGCGGCUGUGGCGCCGGAGCGGCAGUCGGAUAGGAAGCAGAUGAGGGAGACGUGCUCCAGCUGCAUCGGGGGCUCACCCGACGGCGAGCUCCCCACUGCUGUCGCGACCUUCGCCUUCACCGCCGUCCCGCCGGGGUCGCAGUGGCAUGGCGCGCAUUGCCGCUGUGCGGCCGCGGGGUCUUCGUCGUCAGCAUCGCCGGCGGACGAGCGGCGAGUCAGUCGGAGGAAGAACCCCACGGACUGGGCCCUGGGCCGGCAUACUCGUUUGGGCCACUGGUGUUGGGGAACAGCUGGUAGCGUCGGAGGUUAUCCUUCACCUGAGGAACCUCCGACGCCUGAAGCGUCGGAGGAUAUGUUUCAUCGGGAAAUGCUAAUGUUGACGACUCGUCUGGUCGUGCUAAGUGUGUGCAGAGACUGAGACACCGGCGGAGGUCCACGAGCGAGGAAAGGUGGGAACCUCCGACCCUCCCAGGUCCGAGGAUGGCGGGAGAACGCAGCCAGGCCGAGGGACCUCCGACUGGACCAGACUAAGGAGGAACUCCCGGAGUGGCCGGGUCGAGCAACCUCCGGCCCAACCGGGCUGAGGAACCUCCGACACGAAAGCGUCGGAGGAUCCGCGACUGGGCGGAGGAUCCAAGCCUCCGACCAGCUGAGGCCCCAGUCAGAGGAUGAACGAAGGGCUUGCAAUGUGAAAUUACGCAGGUGUAUUGGGGUCAGUACACUGCGAUGAAAGAAUAUACUGGAAUAUUCCCCCACCGUCACGGGGCAUUUAUGUAAAUGUCAUUAGGUCGGUUUCCGGGCCCUAUAUAAGAGGCGCGAUACCGCCAUUAAUAAAGGGAGAGAGCAUUCACUGUUUUCACCUACUACUGAGCCUACUAUCCGUUGGAGCUCAAACCUCUCACGGCACCGAGUGAGAAGGUUCACGGUUCACCGUACUGCUGGGGAGUGCGGAGGGCAUCUCCCCAACAUUGGCGCCCACCGUGGGGCCCGAAGUAUAACCUGCGAUGGCUGGAAAGAGAACAAGCACCACAAGACCUCGGGCAGAGCCCUCCAGGAGAGGAAGGCCGAGGAGGGCCGUGCGGAGCACGUACGCGGCCGUGGAGGGAGAAGGUUCUGAGGGCGGGCAGCCAGAGAACGAGCAGCCGGAAACACGCCAGGAACCUCCUCCCGCCGCGGGCCCGACGCAACCCACGGCCACGCAAGAGCUCCAGCAGCUGCAAACGCAGUUGCAGAACCUUCAGCAAGAGCGAGACCGGAUCGCUGCUGCCUACGCCGCCAGCCAAGAAGCAGCGGUGGCCGCGACGCAAGCGGCCGAGAUCAGGCAGCAGCUUUCACUUCUGCAGGCAGAAAUCCUCAGCAUGCAACCUCCACCUCAGCCGACGAUCCAGCCCGCUGUUCUGACCAGCGCCGGCCCGACAUUAGAUGUGCAACCGGCAAACUACGGUGGCAUGCUGCGGGGCACGUUGGACCUUCGUUCCCCCUUGUCCGAAGGAUUGCAGACCUCGCCUUGGCCAAAAACCUACAAACCUAUCACGCUCCCUAAAUUCAGCGGAAAGGCAGACCCGCGCCAAUUCCUGAUGAGUUUCGAGGCAGUCGUGGCCUCAGCUGGAGGGAAUGAAACUGUGAUGGCAAAAUCCUUCGUGAUCGCAGCCGAGGGAGAUGCCUUGGCGUGGUACUCGAUGCUCAGACCCGGGUCAAUCUAUUCAUGGGAGAACCUUCGAGACAAGAUUUUAGCGAAUUUCCAAGGAUUCGCGGUUGAAUCACUAACCUCCACGGACCUGUUCCAGUGUCGUCAGAAUCAGGGAGAGGCACUGCGGGAGUACUUCCAAAGGUUCGUGCAGACUAAGGCGAGAGCACCCGGUGUGCCGGAGGAGGUUGCCAUUGAAGCGGCCAUCAAGGGUCUUCGCAUAGGGCCCUUCGCGGCUCAUUUGGCCAGAGAAAAGCCAGCAUCCAUGCACGAGCUGUACCACGAGUUUGAGAAGUAUUGCAGGUCAGACAACGACUACCGCAAAAGGUUGGAAGACCAAAACUCUCAGAAGAGGCAGAGCAAUGAUAGAAAUUCACAGAAGAAGAACCUCAGCCAGGAUGAACGCCGGCCACAGCGAGAGGCUGGUGGACAGAUGAUGAAUAUCGAGCAACCGAAAAAUGACAGGCCGGAAAAUAACCGUCCACCAGCGGAAGCGCGAAGCUCGGAACGCAUACCCAAUCAAGCCGUAAGAGGGGGUCGAAAUGCGGGAUGGCGGAAAAAUCAAAGUCAGCGACCAUGGAAACAGUAUUGCUUCUUCCAUGGAGAGGAGAAGGGUCACUCCACCAGAGAUUGCCCAGAUGCAAAAGAAACUCAGGAGAGGAUCAAGAGCAGGUCAGCUCCGCAACCUCCGAUACCAGUUGCUCAACCUCGGGAAGUAAAUCACACAUUCCCUCAAACCUUCUACCAUUCAUACGUCGGAGGUUCAAGCCAGCAGCACCCAGCUCCACUUCAGCCCAGCGCGCUAGCCUCCGCUUACUAUCCCAGCUUCCUACCAGCUUGGCGCCCAGCCCAGCAAACCGCGGACCACAACCUUCCACCAAACUAUGUUCCUCCACGACCUCCACAUAUUACGUACAUCGAAAACCCGCAACCCUGCCAGCAGUCACUACCUCCUCCCCCAAACCAGCUACAGCUACUCCAAGCCCCACCACCACCAAAAACCGAACCCCACCCCGAUAAUCAGAUCGGCCCUCAUACACCCCUGCCCACGAUUGGAAUGAUCUUACCAAUAGCUGGAGGGUCUUCAAUGGAGUUCCAGACAAAGAAACAGAGGAAGGAUCACCUCCGGCUCGUUAACAACGUUGCAGUUCAAGGGCCAGUAAGAUGUACCGAUUGGUCCAGAACCCCAAUAACUUUCACCGAGGAAGAUCUAAGAUUGGAAAGCUACCCUCACACAGACGCCUUGGUCAUAACAACAAAUGUUGCGGGUUGGGGAGUAAGCAGGAUCUUAGUGGAUUCAGGGAGUUCCGCAGACAUAAUAAUUGCUGGAACCUUUGACCAAAUGAAGCUCAUUAGAAGCCAACUCCAACCUUCGGAGUCACCUUUGAUCGGGUUCGGAGGAAAGCAGAUACAUGCUCUGGGGAAGGUCGCCCUGCCCGUAUCCUUCGGCACAACGGAGAACGCAAGAACAGAGUAUGUCACCUUCGACGUGGUAGACUUGCACUACCCAUACAAUGCCAUAUUCGGGCGAGGAUUCUUGAACAAGUUCAAUGCGGCUGCUCAUAUGGGAUACCUGUGCAUGAAAAUCCCGGCUCUGCACGGAGUGAUAACGGUUCACGGAAGUCAAAAGGAGGCAAGGAACAUAGAGAAAGCAAUCUACAAGUCCUUCCGGAACAUAAACUCCGUAGACUCUACGCAGCAUGAAGCUUCCCAGCCACCAGACAUGCCAAGGGGGAAAACAGACCUGGCUGAUCAGGAGGAAACGAAAUGUGUCCCUCUGCAGGAAGCUGUUCUAGAUAAUAAGGUCACCAUCUCCGCCACCCUCGGUAGAGAGGAGGAACUCGAAUUGCUAGACGUGUUGCAAAAGAACCAAGAUAUCUUCGCUUGGAGUGCCGCUGACCUGCAAGGAGUCAGCAGAGACAUCAUAGAGCAUUCGCUGGACAUUGAUCCGAGGAUGAGGCCGAAGAAGCAGAGACAAAGGAAAAUGUCUGAAGAAAGAACCUUAGCCGCGAAGGCAGAGGUACAAAGACUCCUGGACGCAAAGGUCAUCAGAGAAGUCAUGUACCCGGAAUGGUUGGCAAACGUAGUCCUGGUCCCCAAGAAAAAUGGCAAAAUGAGGAUGUGCAUCGAUUUUACGGAUCUCAACAGGGCUUGUGUCAAAGACUCCUUCCCCUUGCCAAGGAUAGAUACCUCUGUGGACAAAGCAACUGGUUGUCAGAGAUUCUCACUGCUGGACUGUUUCUCCGGAUACCACCAAAUUUGGCUCAAAAAAGAAGACGAAGGAAAGGCAAGCUUCACAACCCCAUUCAGCACGUAUUGCUACACCAGAAUGCCAGAGGGCCUCAAAAACGCUGGAGCAACCUUCUCCAGAAUGAUGGGGAAGGUUCUAGGAAGUCAGCUGCAGAGAAACAUUAUAGCUUACGUCGACGACGUUGUCGUCAUGAGCAAGCGCAAGGAGGAUCAUAUCAAGGACCUUCAGGAGACCUUUGUCAACCUUAGAUCUGCCGGACUGAAACUCAACCCGGAGAAAUGUGUAUUCGGGGUCAGCAAGGGAAAAAUGCUGGGAUAUAUCAUCAGCUCCGAAGGAAUCAGAGCUAACCCAGACAAGACAAAAGCAAUCAUGUCAAUGGCAGAACCUUCAAACAAGAAAGAAGUGCAAAGGCUGACUGGCCGAAUAGCAGCCCUUAAUAGAUUCAUCUCAAGAUCGGCAGAACGGAGCCUCCCAUUCUUCAAAGUGUUGAGAGGAGAAGGUAAAACAGAAUGGGGUCCGGAACAAUCAAAGGCCUUCAGGCAUCUCAAGAAUUACAUUGCAACCAAUCUGGUGGUAACAGUGCCUGAGCCAGACACCCCACUACUACUGUAUGUGGCUGCCUCCGAUCACGCUGUCAGUGGUGUCCUGGUGCACGAGACAAGCGACAGUAAGGGAACGGUGCAAAGACCCGUUUACUACGUAUCUGAAGCUCUGUCAGGAGCAAAGCUGAACUACACGGAGAUAGAAAAAAUCGCGUACGCGGUCCUGUGUGCAUCGAGGAAGCUCAAGCAUUACUUCCAAAGCCAUGAGAUUAAAGUGCCCACUUCACAGCCAUUGGGUGAUAUCCUUAGGAACAAAGAGGCUUCCGGACGUAUAGAAAAAUUGGCGGCCGAACUAUCACAGUUUGACAUCACCUAUGUCCCCAGAACCUCCAUCAAAUCUCAAGCCCUGGCUGACUUCAUGGCAGAUUGGACACCUUCGAACAAAAACGAGGAGAAGGUAAUCGAUCAGCCGUGGACGCUGUAUACAGAUGGCGCCUGGGGUCAAGCGGGAGCAGGAGGAGCAGCCGUUCUAAUCGCACCAUCUGGACUCAAACUAAAGUUUGCUGAACGACUCGAAUUCAAAGCAACAAACAACAUAGCUGAGUAUGAAGGUCUCAUCCUCGGGCUGAACAAAGCUAAGGCUUCGGGAGCAAAAACCCUACUCAUCAAAACAGACUCCCAAGUGGUGGCAGGUCAAGUGGAGAAGGAAUACUUAGCACACAACCCGGAGCUGGCAAGAUAUCUGGCCGUCGUAAGAGGCCUGGAGAGAAGGUUCAAGGGAUUCACUCUGCAGUACAUUCCAAGAGCCGAAAACUACGAGGCAGACGAGCUAGCGAAAGCAGCAGCCAACAACACCCCCUUGCCAGAAGGAACCUUCCACCAGAUUGUUGCAACACCCGCAACCGAGUCGUUGCCAAAAGCUUUUCGCUCAGUCCUGCUGACAGAAAGCGAAGAUUGGAGGCAGGCAAUAGCUGAUUGCCUCGAAGGCAAGACAGCUGCAGAUGACGAAGCAAUAGCCAAGAGGAUGGAGGCAAGAGCAAGGAAUUACACCUCCAUUGACGGGAUCCUGUACAAGAAAGGCGUAGUCCAACCUUUGCUGAGAUGCAUAUCACAAAGCGAGGGCAGAGAACUCCUGCAAGAGAUACACUCUGGGAUGUGCGGGUCUCACAUUGGACCUCGCGCGUUGUCUGCUAAAGCAUUAAGACAAGGCUUCUACUGGCCAACUCACAUCAAAGAUGCUGAAGAAAUAGUGAAGACAUGCAAAGCCUGUCAAACCUUCUCACCAAUUCAAUCAGGACCUUCAGCACCAACUCAGCUUAUAUCAGCAUCAUGGCCGUUGCAGAGAUGGGGAAUGGACCUGGUAGGACCAAUGCCAACUGCACAGGGGGGAAACAAGUUUGCCGUCGUGGCCAUUGAAUACUUCACAAGAUGGAUCGAAGCUAAGCCACUGGCAACCAUAACCUCUGAAACAAUCAGAAAAUUUUUCUGGCAGAACAUAGUCUGCAGAUUCGGAGUUCCAAGCUUGCUCACAGUUGACAACGGGAAGCAGUUCGAUUCAGACAGUUUCAAGGAAUUCUGCCAUCACAUAGGAACCAAAAUUGCUUUCGCUUCUGUUUAUCACCCAGAGUCAAACGGGGCCGUGGAGAGAGCAAACAGAACAAUAUUCUCCGCAAUCUCCAAGACCCUACUCAACCUACGCAAGGGGAAAUGGGUCGAAGAACUACCCAGAGUUGUAUGGUCACAUAACACAACAGUUUCAAGAACAACCGGGUUCACCCCGUUCAAGCUCUUGUAUGGGGAAGAGGCAAUGUUGCCCGAAGAAAUCAAACACCAAAGCCUGCGUUCCAUGAAGCAGCAGCUGGCUGAAGAUGAAGAGUACUGCAAGGAAACCUUAGAAUCAAUAAGACUUGAGGCAGUGGAGAACAUUACCAUAUAUCAACAAGAAACCAAGAAAUGGAGAGACCGCAAGGUAGUACGAAAAGACAUACAAAAUGGGGACCUGGUACUCAGGAAAAAAGGAGAUCACCCAAACGCGGGUAAAUUGCAACCCAAGUGGGAAGGACCUUAUACAGCAAUACAAGCGGGAAGGUCGGGAUCCUUCUACCUAAAAGAUCUCGAAGGUAGAACCUCCAACCACUCGUGGAACGUCGACAAUCUACGAAGAUUUUACAUUUGAGUGUAAGGAUGACCCCCGCAAAAAUAAGCGACGGCAUCCACGUCCCUAAAUACGCUUGUUUUCUUUUUCUCUCUUCUUUUUCGCACUCCAAGGUCUGCACUCUUUUCCUC